rnacentral:lncRNA from 1 species
GCCACUUGGCCAAUCUAUGCAGAGCAACAAAUCAACGCAUUUCAAAUGGUGAAAGAUUUGGGGUUGGCCACAGAAAUUAAAAUAGAUUACAAUAAGGAUAAUGAUUAUGUUGUAAGUGCUCAUGAGAUUGAAAAUGGAUUGAGGAACCUAAUGAAUAUUGAUAGUGAAGUGAGGCAGAAGAGGAAAGAAAUGCAAAAAAUAAGUAGAAGAGUCAUGAUAGAUGGUGGGUCCUCGCACUUUUCUUUAGGCCAUUUUAUUGAAGACAUGGUGGCUAACAUUCCAUGCAAACAACAAAGACGUUAUACCUAAUGUAUGAAUUAGUUUAUACUAAUAUGAAAUAAAAAGGUGCAUUGUAGGCUCUAAUAAAUUAAUUUAUCAUCUCCUUUAUUUCAAUGCUCAAAUAUUUCUUUGAUGAUGUCAAGAAAUUUGACCUUUCAAACUAGGAAAUGUGUUCUUUCUUUAUUAUUUAGUGAACCAAGUUUACAAGGACAUGAAUUUAGUUAUAUGUGCAUCUCAUUGAUCAAUGAAUACACAAUUGAGCAUUUUCCUGUAGGAAGCUGGACUAGUGAUAAAAUCAACUAUAUAACUAAAAAUCCACAAACCCUAUUGAAUUUGGUUUGAUGGGGAUGAAUAGAUAUAAGAAUUUUUAUAAGAAUUUGUUCAAUUGGAUCACUAUUAAUUUGAUGCUUGCCUUCAGAUUAGAGACAACUAUUCGCUUGAGAAAUUUAAUUAAUUUCUGGGCAAUGUUUAUCUUCUUUUCUACAAGCAUGAUGCUCGAAGAGCAAAUUAAUGUUCUCAAACUAUUUGGUGUGUUGGUAUGGAUUUAAGAAACUAACGUCUCAUCAAUGCAUAUCAAGGCAUCUACGCAUGUGAGAGAUCAAUAGAUUCAAAAUGAUUCUAAUUGGAGCAUUUUUGAAUUAAGAGGUAGCUACCUUGAGUCUUGUGAGAAAGAAAAUAAUUAGAUGAAGAAGGUAAUUGGUAUGGAGAUGAGGAUUUAGAAUUAUAAGUUCUUUAGAUUUGAUUAUGGAGAGAGUUGAUAGAAUAUAAUUUUUUUUAAUAAGAAAAUUACUAAGAGAUGUGAAAAAAGUCUUUAAAAAAAUGAUAAUAAUAAUUUAAACACGAAAAUGAUUAUGUAUAUAGUAUUGAAUUAUCAAUUUGUCCUUUCCUUUCUUUUAAUGAAAAAUAAAUACAUAUGAAAAUUGAUAAUUGAAGUUGUUAUUCAAUCAUUUAAAGAUUAGCUUAGAUGGAAUAUAUUGUAAUGAUCUACUCCUAUGCAUCUCAGACAGCACAGACUCGUCCACCUGGGGUUUCACUUGGUACUCCAUUCCAUCUGGUAGAUCAUUAUGAGACCAUUUCGCCACCUACUGUCACAGUGCUGCCUCCCAUGGUUCCUACUAUUGAGGAUACUCGAUUAGUCGAGUAGGAGGCCAGGGUUGAGAGGCUUGAGUCCAAGGUGAGACAGAUCAGAUUGUAGGACGGAGGUUUGACUUGGGAUGACAGAGAUGGCAUACCGGCGGCUAGCUUGCCUGCCAAGUUUCGCAUGCCAGACAUUGAACGUUACAGUGGGAUUGGUUGUCCCAAGAUCCAUUUGGGACUAUAUAGCACAGUCAUGAGAGCACAUGGGAUAGAUGAUGCACAGUUGGUGGCCCUCUUCCCUAUGUCACUUAGUGGAGCAGCUCAGAGGUGGUUUGCUUCGGUUGAGCCUUCGAGACUCCGCACAUGGAUAAUGUGGCUCAUGAGUUCCUGACUCAGUUCGCUUUCAGUGCCGAUAUUGAUGUAUCUAGACGAGAGUUGGAGGCCACCAGACAAAGGCCAGAUGAGUUUAUUUCUUCCUUUGUCACUUGUUGGAGGGCAAAGGUGGCUGGUAUGAUAGAUCGGCCUAAGGAGCAGGAUCAGAUUGAUAUGGUUCUUCGGAACCUACAGUUGAGAUUCGCGAGAGGUCUUGUGGGCAUCCCGUUUUAGGAUCUCAGGAGUCUAGUUUAGGCAACUUUCAAUGUUGAGGAGGUCAUCGCUCGAGGAUUAUGGAGAGAUACUACUCCUUCCCCUGACAGUAAGGGGAAGAAGCUGAUUGGGCCAUUUAGUAGAUCUGGAGAGGUUGGCGCUAUUAGUUAUCAGCAUCGGAGGCCUGCACAUCACUCACUUUACAGGCCUCCUUCAGUCAGAGCUCAUUUCCUUCAUCCGCAAUAUCAGUGUCAGCCGGAUUAUGUUCAGGAGCUUGACAUUGCUCAGACCAGCAUGCAGCCAUGACCUUCGCAUUCGAGAGCCACUACUCACCCACCGCCUAGACCAUAUGCACAGAGGCCCCCGAGACAGUUCACUCCCUUGGGCAUGACCUUGACUAAAGCUUUUGAGAAGCUCAGAGAUGGUGGUUUGAUCAUUCCUUUGGCACCGCGCCCUUUGCCACAUCCUAUUCCUCCACAGUUUCGCUCCCAUGAGCAUUGCUUAUAUCAUCAGAUUCAGGGACAUGAUACUGAGCGUUGUUCGGCACUCCAUCAUGCGAUACAGGACUUGAUCGAUUCGGGGUUGGUCAACUUGGUUGGGCCCAAUGUGACCACCAAUCCUCUGCCUAUGCAUUCUACACAUGCAGUCCCUCCUCCUCCUAGUCUUUAGUAGUUUGAUUUGGAUGUUGAUGGUACUGUUGGCAUAUGGUAUUUCGGGAUCUUCCAGGUUGAGGACUUGGUUCAGUCGACAUGGAUACAUCACUUUACAGCAGUUCACCUUUUCAUCCUGAUUAUGGUCGUCAUCAGAGUCGUUUCCGUUUUGUUGAGUCCUGUUUUUAGUUCAUCAGAGUCAUCUUUGCUUUGUUGAGUCCAGUUUGAUUUUGGUUUAGGGUCGUUUGUAGUUCAUGUUGAGAGUCUGGUCAUUUGUAGUCCUUUAUCAUUUCACACAUGAUGUACUCGUUGGUUCAUUUAGUGAUAUGAUAUUUUAUUUGAGUAUGUGGCAUUUUUCUCGUGAGUGUGUUUUACAUAUCUUGUGUUGAUGUGUGUUAUGCUUUCGAUAUGAGACGUCUUUCGCUUAUAUAUCAUGAUCACUUUGGCCUGACCUAUCAUGGAGGAUAUUGAGCCUAUUUGACUUAGGAUCAAGAGAUCGACCUAGGGAGUUUGAGACUGUGACUCAUGUCACCUUUUGAUUAGAGCGGUACUAUAUCCAUAUUCGUACCUUGACUUUGUUGACUUGAUGGCCUACCCAUUUUGAGCCUGACAUGACACCACUCCUUCGUACCAUUAUGCGACCUUUACCAUUCUUAUUCGCCUUCGUAUAUUACAGUAUCAUUGCCUAUUCUUCCCAUUAUUUCCUUGAUCUAACCAGGUAGUGUCCGAGAUGGUUAGACCCGAGGUGGGCUUCACACGAUGAUAGAUGGAUCAUGAUGAGAGAGUGGCUUGAUUGUUUGAUGAUAUUGUUGAGAUAAAGGGGUUAUCAUGGAGCAUCCAGAUUUGAGCCAUUGCACAUGACUUUAAAGAGUCAGGAUGAUUAGACAUGGUGAUUUUAUGAGAUGAUGGUGAGUGGCUUGUGAUGAUAGAGUGAGUUGAUUUUCAGAGUACAUUGAUGGUUGUCAUAGAGCAUCAAUGGGAGCUUUCGCACGAUUUCAGAGGAGUCGCCAUGCCUAUGUUGGAUGGAUGCCAGACUUUAGUAUUGGCCAUGUGAGAUCUUGAAAGCACGAUUGUAGACCCUCAAUUUUGUCCCUUUAGCACAUGUCUUUAAGUUCGUUUUCAGUGCUCCACAGUAGUUCCUUGGUGGCCCAUUACUACUCGUACAACUUACCUUUUUCUGAGUCACCUCGGAGACUUUGGUUAAGGGAUUAUCUGACCCUUUAUUGUGAUCCUUGGCAGUUUUGAUUUAGAUUUAGGCUUUUCUUGCUUUUUUUAGGAUAGCUUUUAGAUACACUUGGCCCAUUAGGCACCACCUUAGGCCCACUUAGUCUCACCUUAGACCUGUUUAGGUAUACUGGGUUUAUUAAGACUUUUUUUUAGCGUGACUUAUAUGACUUGCGUGUUUGCAUGGCUUAUAUAAGUCUCAUAUGACUUAUAUGACUUGCAAACAAUGAAAAGACUGUCUUUUUGUCAAAAAUGUAAUUUUCGGAUAUCCUAAGAGCCUUGUCUUGCAAACGAGAUGAGACGGAUGGACUACGAAGAGAAAGGGCACUAAUCUCAUUCAUGGGCAGAAGUUUUGUGUCCAAUUUAAACUACUGAAGAAGUAGCGAUUCCAUGCACUCCGAAGAGUAGCCUUCCAUUAAGAGCCUCUCUUUCAGGCUUUUCUAUGGGAAGACUUGAAGCUGUUGGCAUUCCCCUAUGUAGAGACAGUUUUAGCAAUAGCUAGAUUCUCAAGCUCUGAUUCACUUGCACCCCUUCUUCUUGAAAUGGCAUUAGCUGCUCCUUCUAUGGCAUCCUCUUAGACUAUUUCUAUUCCAUCAAAGAUCCAAGCAGGGGAUUCUGUAAGAACAAGACAAGACCGCUUACGCCGACAUAAGAUAUGUCACUUCCACUUCCUUUAGGAGAUGCUUUAAAGAGACAAAAGAGAAGGCGUAUAGAAAAAAUGGAUCCUUUUGAUGCCGCAGAUCGUCUUUCGCAUUCGAUGCUUCCUGUACUGAUACUGAUACUUGCCAUCCAUAUCCAUACGUGCCUGCUACUGGUGCAUGAAUCCGAUUCGGGGAUAUCGUAUCUUCUUUUCUUUCUUAUGCUUAUGUUGGCAUAUUUUAAUAUGAAUUAGCCAUAUCGGAAAUACCCGGCAAGCUCCGCAUCUAGGAUUCUGUCAUAACACCCGGCGAAAGGCGAUCCUUAACAGCCUAAUUUUCGAUUCAAUCUGGUAUUCCAGAAUAGCCUAAGGGGCGUAGCGGUAAGAUCAAUUUCCAACAAUUGGAGCAGAGAAUGCGAUUGCAUUAUAAGUUUGUAAUUGAACAGAUCGAGCAAGUUCGAAUUGACGUAACAUGAAACCUAUUAGUCCAAAAGCGCCAUGGAGAGCAACAAAAGUCCACAGACCACCUAAUUGACACCAACGAGUCAAAUCUCCUUGUGCUUCAAGGCCCCAUAGUAACAAUAAAGAAUGUGCUAAACUAUUAGCAGGUUGAACUUUUUCUACGGCGGUUAAGAAAUUGUAACCUUCCAAAUAGGAACUGGCCAAUCCAUGGGUAUACCAUGAAGUUACAAAGGUUGUACCUGUGAACCAACCCCCUAAAGCGAAAUAGGCACAAGGGUGGUCGUAGAUCACCGGACCAACCUACAAAAACGAAACGGUCCCUCCGUAACCAGUCAUCCAUAAUAUUAAAUAAAUCACUUUCGUCUUUGGUGAAUUUACCAAGGGCUAUAGUCAUAGUGAUCCUCCUAUUCAACUACUUCAACCAUUUCUGAACACCUCAUAGCAUUUUCAGGGCAUUUGAGGAUUCGAUCAUUUAUGUAUGAUUUUCUUUCUCGUACACUGCCUCGGUUUCAAAGAUAAAAAUCCUUUAUUGGUCCAUAAAUUGACUUAAGUAAAUCCAUGAAGUCAAUUCGAUUAUUCUGAUUCUUAAGAAUAACCUGAACCAUGAAUUGUCUUAUGACUCAUUAAUCAGAUAUAUGCAUUUUUUGAAAUAACUGUUCAAGGAACAAGUGAUCCCUUCUCUCGCUACCAGUUGAUCUCCAGACUUACCCCCCUCGUUCCAUCAACUAAUCUUAUUCUCGUAUCUUGUUUGUGAGAUUGAGAAAAAUAAAUAUCUUGAUGUAUUCUUAUAAUUUUUAUUUAUAUGAAACAAAUAAAGUCUCAUAUAUUUUUAUACUUUAUACUUGACUCUUUCAUUUUCUUUUUUUGUCUUCUUUGUUAUAUUUCCUUUUCCUUCAGAUGAAUCUAAAACUCUAGAGUAUAUCUUUUCACAGGUCGAAGCAAGAAAGACACUUUGAAUAUUUUUCUAUUUACUUUUAUCUUUCAGAAAAAAGGGGAAUUCCCUAAUUUUUCCAAAAAGCACUAUUUUAUUGCCGCUCUCCUGCCCUCAACAAAAAGGGCUCGAAUUACAAAGAAGCUGUUCAUGUGAAGGGAUCUCUUUUCUACAAACGGAAAAAAACGAAGCAGAUUUUACUCGGCACAACCUAACGAUACAUCCAAUACCAAUGAUCUGUGCCUAGAAUGCGUUGCUAGAUCUCUGCUCUAGAAAGCUAGACAGGGUGGAAAUAUGGCAAGCAAUAAAAAAAGGAGGUUGGAUUACCUAUAGUUAUGAUUGAUGUUAUUAUGAAAUAUAUAUAUAUAUAUAUGCUCCACGUCCAUGCAAGUAUUAUAUUAGUAGAAUGAUAAUGGGUAUAGUAGAAAAUGUGGAAUCUCUUCUUAAUUAUAAAUUCAAACUUGCUAAUUGGUUCUCUGACUCAAUAAUUAUCUUCUUAUUGGGCACACGUGGUGGUACUCUUCUUUUUAAUAAAGCGAUGCCUUUACUCUUUGUAGCAACAAUGUCCAGUCUUUUGUAUCUUAUUUGUAUGAAACUCGGCUCAAUAGAUUUCUUUUAGUCCUUUCUUUCUAAAUUUUUUUUUUUAGAAAAAAGCUUUUACGAGGGUUUAGGAAUCAAUCAAAGAAACCUUUCUAACUGCAUUUGAAUCGGCAUCUCUAUCCAUAUCCUUACGGGGAAGCCAGAUCCCAAUCUUCUCGAUGAGAAAGGUAUUAUUAUGGGAACUUAUCAAUUUAUUAUAAUGGCCCCACGCUGGCCUUCCGCGUCAACCAGUGCACCCCAAUGCACCAACGUGCAUCAAGGUGUCAUAACUAGGUAGUCUAUAAGGACUUGCCUAAGUUUACCAUAGAAAACUCAAAGUUUCGGAUGUUAUCGUUUCACUUCGAGCUUUGAAGGUUCGCACGUGGGUUCCAUAGAUGCCAGAUUCGUUUCCGAUAUGCGCUUCCGUUCCAUCCGACUACACUGGACUCAUCCUAACGCAAGGGGCCACCCACCCUUUCCCCUUACCCCUCUCACUCCCUAAGGAAUGAGAGGGCCCCACCUAACUCUGAAUUCGCUAAAAGUCUAAUGGAUCAAAAUACGGAUGAGAUCAGAAAGGCCAUCAUUGGGGCAAACGAUGCAAUAGCUUCGGUUAGAGCAAAGCCCAAAAUGGCAUAACCAAAUGAUUGUUUAGCCAAUGAUGGAUUUCGCGCCACGAAAUGGAUCAAAGAACUGAACACGUUUCCAAUACUGAUUGCAGCUCCCGCUGAAGCAAUUGUAGUAGCUCCAGCACCCAUUGAUUUUGCACCUUCUAACAUCUCGAGUUGAGAAUUCUCGUCACGCUAUCUUUUUCUUUCACGAUUUUUUGUUAUGGAUUCGCCCUCUCGGAUAAAAUGAUUUACAAUCAGCCUGCUUAAGAUCGUAGACCAACCUCAUUCCUUUUAUCUUGGGCAUCUCACUUGGAAUCCAAUGCAUUCUUUUCGAUCUUGUAUCCUACAAAAAAUAGGCUUGCUUCGCAUAGGCUACACAAGCUUCGGUGGGUACAAUGAACACCAACAAAGCCGCAAAGCCAUUUGAUUCAAUUGGCUUUCAGGGUGGUCGUAGAUCAGGCUGGUCGAAGAUCAGAAGUGGUCGUAGAUCAAUGCUACUGCUUUUUUCCUAAAAUAGAGUAUGCAAAGUUGGCUCCACCCAUCUAUGUACUGACCAUACUCAACAAUGUAGCUCAUAUGGUAUUAGGCGCACUAGAGCUGGCAUGAUCGCUUCCAUAUCUUCCAUCUCCUAGACUACUACUACUAUACUAAAGGGGGCAAGCAAAGCCCUUCUUAGAAAGCUAUUAACUCUUAGCAAUACUUCACCAUCACCCCUAGUAAAUGAUGUAGCGAGUGCAGAAUCAACAAGUUCCAAACCUUACCCUUGAUAAAAAAAUAUUUAAGCUGCUUAGCCCAAACACUUUUAUUAUACUGUAAAAGUAUAUAAAUGCAGUCCCAGUAAUGAAUCGGGAGAGUUCUAGCUCCAACAAAGAAAGAUAUCAUUCCAAUGGAUUUUAGACGAUAUGGGAAAGGAAGUCUCCACUCCAUUUUUCCCUUGGAGCGAACUAUAUUGCUGUAAGCUCAGCCUAGAAAUAUCCAUCAACAUUUUGGGUUAGGAAAGACUAACUCCUAACUAGGUUCGACUUUACAGGAGAAAGAACCCCAUCGAAACUAAAAAACUCGAUCAUCUCCUUCAUUCUAACCUUGUUUAGAAAGAGCUCUUUCAUUUCAUAAAGGCAAUAUGGAUGGACUAAACUCAAUAUCUACGCGGGUCAAGGUUUUUUUUCCUUAAGAAAAGGCUUCAUCCAAAACUCUCAAUGCGCAAGCGAAAUCAAUCCCUUCACUCUCAAUACAUACCCAAAGGGCACUGUCGGCAAAUACUUGAAUCCAUUGACAGGCAGGAGGAACCUUAUGACAAACUAAAGCCUUGCAGAGGAACCUAAACGACCUUAUAUAUAUUGUUAUAUAUAUAUAUAUAUAUAUAGUAAGCUCCUCUAAAAAUUCCUUUUAAUAGGGGCAAAUGCGAUAUCAAGCUCACUAUAUCGAGUUGGGUCCCCAUGUUUAGUCUAUGGGCAUUUGCUAUGCCAACUCUGAUGUGGAACCUAGGAUAUUUCAUCAUAGCUUCGGAUUCUACGACCAGCACAGAACUUACCGAAGAUGUUGCAAAAACACAAGUGACGUCAGGUUUUUUCGAGUUGAAAACAAACUAUCCGAAGCGGUCUAACAACUUCGUCUGAUAAGGUGCCCAAAUCUCACUUACGAGCCUUACUAGUAAAGGGGCUCUACCAUCACCAAAAAUGCAUCAACAUCUUUCAACCAAAGGCUUACUAAUAAUGGAAAUGCCAGAUAUUCAAUCUUUCAGGUUCAAAGAAUAGGCUCCUAGUGGUUUUCUUUUUCAUAUAAUAAAUGCAAAGGGAAAGAUUCCUGAUUCCUAGCCUCUCUGUCCUCUCGGGUAAAAACCUUCAUACUAGCAUCAGCCUUAUGAUCUACGAGCAACCUCUCAUUUGUUCGAGUUUGAGGGGGAGUGUAAUGUCAUGUAUUAUUAACAAGUUUUAUUAUGUCUCUUUCUUUCCUUUGCUUUCUUCUUGAUUUGUAUAUGCCUGUUAAGUCAGAUUUGAUUUCAUUGCCUAAAGUUUCACUUAUAGAGCUUAAGCCCCUCUUUUCCAGUUAAUGAAAAUGCUUAUUCUCCCAAAACCUUUCUCUUCAAGCUAUAGCUAUCAGAGACGACAUAAGAUGGAGUGAUGAUGACGGCGCAUGAAUCAGAUCAGUGUGAAUUUGACACUUCAUGCAUCCCCUGACGAAUUUCUUAUAAUCUGGAUCUGUCAUAUCCUUUUUCGAAUGAUCUUUUGAGCGAGCAUCUGGCUGUUGACAUGUCCUCCGCAUAUGCAGGAGCGCCCUGUAGCUUUCUUCGCUUCCUUUGAUCAAAGAUAUUUUGAGUCUAGGUCGACCGAUAAGCCCUUCAUUAUUAUUAGUAAGAUGAGGCGGAGAAGUAUAGAGGUGCAAAACUUCUACCUAAUGGAUUCGAAGACUCGAGCUAUCCCUCUCCUCUCAAAAUCUCCAUAACCACUUGCCUAAAAGUGCUUGAUUCAUGAGCUUUACAGGCCGGAGACCUAGACCUCCCUCCUCUUUUCUCGGAUAGGGCCUCCUGUCCCUCCCUCGUCGUAGAAGGAGUGUCUAAAGACAGAAGUUCUAUUCGAUCCAACUAGAUUUUGCAGAACGUUUUCAAGCCCCACUCCCUCCUAUGUUGUAAAAAGGAAUAAAGAAGAAAUCCCUCCUAAACGCCCUUUACUGAUACAGAUGAUUGUUCGGACAUCUAUCUCCUCUCCAAUCUCUACUAAUUAUUAGAAAGGCGUUGAGUCAGAAGGCUUCUAUCCCUCGAGGUAGGAACGUGGGAUGGAGGCGGUAGAGAGAAUACUGAACCUACCUCCUUUCCACUAAUAAGCUUGAUUCUCGAUCGCUCCUUCCACUAAUAAUCCGAGGCAGUCUCUAGUCCAGUCUUCUAUCCCCGCUAGGGAGGAGGAAUAAAUACGAUAAACAAAUAUAGUCAAAAUAAAAUGAUGGCUUUCAAGCUUUACUAAUAGGGGCAUAGUUGGAGUCAAAGGUAUUUCACUCUUAUUCCGGCAUUUGAAAAAAUCCGCUAUUACUUACUGCUUUUAAGGGCUUUUUGCAAGGAAUGGUUAGGACAGAGCAUAGCCCCUUGGAAGGAGAACUCUCUAGAGGAGUUGAGUUCAAGGCAUCAAUAGUCGUCCUCUCCCUCACCCAACUCAUCGGAUACUAAAACAACUAUUAGGGCCGGGACGAGAAUAAUCAAUCCGCCUCACCUAUCGAUUAUAGGAGAAGGCCUUGACCCCCGAGCCUUCCCAAAGGCUAUGUGAAACUCUAUAGUUAGGAGGGCAACCAAUGCUGUUCCUAAACCCCCUCUUUACUGAGCCAAGUAGGUAUAUCCACCCCAAGGGCAGAGUUUCCAGAUGAGCAGGAAGGGUUGGAGGACGUAUUACCGGAGGAGAGGACAUAUUGAAUGGAAAGAAUGAAAGCGACGUACAUACUGGAUUGACCAGCGUGUGCCAACUACUCUACUUCCCUAUUUAUUGCUUUUUCACCUCUUGGUGCACUAUUUCCCCCAGAGAAGAAAGAGAUAAGCAAUGACCGGACUAGACCAAUGAAAGCGGACCAAGGUUUUUAUUCGUUAGCCAAGCGCCUCUAUUACAAAAGCGAAAGUGAUGUGCCCUAUUGACCAGCCGAAGAGCAUCCUUAAAAAAAAAGAAUGAAUGGGAAGCAGGCCCGAUCUAUAUUGCUAGAGUUAUCUUUACUUCACCCCCCACGUACUCCUCUAUUCAACUAUUUGAAUUUCGUCUCUAAGCUUCCCCUUUAGUGCCUGCUGAGACUUAUUUCCUCUCGACUAUAGUUGAAUAGAAGUUUCAUUUCCUAAGUAUCAAAUAAUGUCUUUUAUUGAGUCCCCAUAGUGCAUUCCCCUACAUAGUCUGUAGAGUAAUUUCUCACUAAGAAGGAUUGCAAUAUAAAAAAGAGAAUUCCAGAUUGAAUCUUUCUUGACCCAUAUACGAUCCAAUUCUACAUCUUAUCUUAGCGCUGAACUAAUGAAUAGAGAUUGAGCUUCACUUCGCGAGUCGGGAAUGGCAUCAUUUAUUAAUAAGUGCUAGCGUUGACAAGAGAUGAGCUAAAGAGGUGGCCGGGCAGUUGACCAGACCCUACCACAUACAGACAGCAAGCAAGAGCUGUGCCGGCUUAUCCGAAAAAUGAAAUUCUUGCCACCCCAAAUGCUACUACCUCUUUGCUAAGCACAGGAAUGCUUGAUCGAUAAAAACAAUAUAAUAAGCAGGAGGGUGGUCGUAGAUCAGGCUGAUUGAAGAUCAGAAGUGCUCAUAGAUCAGGCUGAUUGUAAAUCAGGGUGCUCUACUACGAUCUUAGGCAGGCUGAUUGAAGAUCAGAAGUGCUCUACGAUCAACUUUUAAGAGGGCUGAUCGCAGAUCUUAGUGGGCGUAGAGAGGGGAAUUGGUUAUAUCUAAAAUAAUAACAUCCCCUUCAUAUGAUCCCCUAUAGAUAUCUACAUACAUAUAGAAAAAUUGACUUUCCAUUUUAGACAUCCGACGAUCCUGAUCUAUUUGAAAAUGGCUAUAAUUCAUUUACACAUAUAUCAUGUUUCUGCAUAUAUAAGAGCUCUUUUUAUGUUUUGAAGAGUUAUAUCAUCUUGCUUAGCGAAGACUGUGCCGGUCAUCAGUCGUAGCUCAUUCCGUAGUGAAGUAGCGUAGCGAUCUGCUUGCUGUGUGUUGUAGUUCAUGCCUUUGCUUGUCGAGUCUUGUUGAAGCGGGAUCAACACCUCAGCUUGGCUUGAGUGAUUGAUGUCACAUGCUAUCUUCGGUCGCUUCGCGAAGUGCCUCUGAGGCGAGCUAGGCUUCAUGAUUGAGUGAGGCUAGCUUGUUUCCUAGCUGUAGCGCACGCAGCUACGUAGCGAUCUUUCUUGCAGCAGCCAUAUCUUUGAAAGGGAUUGAAUAACUUGUUAAUAUAGUUUUUAUCCAAUUGGGAUGCUUGCUCGGCGGGUAAGGAGAUAAUAAGAAAUGCCUACUUGCUCAACCAAUAGGAAGAGACGAUGCCGACUUAUAUUGGGUGGACUAGACAACCAGCCAUGCUAAUAUAAAUGCUUUUUUUGCAUUCCAAAAUUUGGAUUUGAGAUCUCAUAUACCAUACUAACGGGAUCGGGUCUCUAAAAAAGAGGUCCACUCCCGAGGAGCUGUCAAACCUCGACUGAAAGGGGAGAGAAGCUUUCGGCUUGACCACGGAGAAUAAUAGGGAGAAGGGCCAGGCAGAGGCGACAUGCUUUCUUUCUUGUGAUGGAGGACCCCUUCCAUAUCAUUAUGGAUGAAAAGCCCCAAAGCCAAUUAUCCGGAAAGAGUUUUGGAAACGUUGGAACUCUUCUUUUGUAAAAAACAAGAAGCAUUUUAGGUGACAUUUAUUAAAUACUACAACAAAGAAGACCACUUUGUGGUAGUAAGGGGUUCUCAAGCGUUUACCAACUGAUGGUACGUUCGAUCAACUGAAACCUCUAGAUCGAUUAGUUGGCGAGCAGAAAACAUAUUGUUUUGACUUGAAGUUCGCCACGGAUAGUUGGCCUUUGGUACUCCUAUUCGAGAUAAUGUGUUAUCUGUUCGAUCGAUCGUUCGCCUCUAGUGUGGUGAAUUCCGUACUAGCUUGGAACAUCUUCGAGAUCCCCUUUGUAAAGAGGAAGUUCUCUCAUAUUUCUUUUAUGGCUGGACAACCGCUUGGAUACUACACUUCUUGGCCUUUAUUUGCAUUGUCCCCUCCACAACUCCGGGACCACACUCUGAAUGUCGGCCUCAAGUUCCUCGGCUAAGUAACUACUAAUCCUUCUUCUCUUCCUUCUCGCCCUUAUUCCAUAAAAGUCUUUUUUUUUUUGCCUUCGGCUAUUACCGUCUGGCAACGCUUAGCCCAACAUUUGAUUUGUUUGAAAUUACCUCGGACAAAUCGUAGAUAUCGCAAUUCUUGGAAUACUUGAAGGUUAAUCUUGGAAGUGCACGAUAAGCAUACCGUUUUAUAAGUAUAUAGUGUGUGCACUCGGCCACGAAGAAAAGAGCGGGUAGUGGAAGAAGAGGAAUCAAGUCAUGCAGUUUCCAAUCCAAUCCUUGCUCCCACAGUCAGUCCUUGGUUGAUCUCCAGGUUCUGGUUCUGCCUCAUCUCAUAAUAGAAGUACCUCUGUAAGGACUCCAUCUCAACAUCAAUUCGCAUUUGAUGGCUAUUUUACUUGAACAUUUUCAUUAAGGCCUCCCGCGCUUGUAGACAGACAGAAAGCAGAAAGAGAGCCCGAGGUACUGACCUACAGCGAGGCAGGCCCGUCUAUCUUGAUCGGAAUGAUAAGGACUUGUCCUUACUUGAAUUAAGACUUGAAUGAAGCAAAAACCCGAGGGAAAUCUCAAUAAAAAAAGUAUCGGUUCACUCUUCGCCAUAGUAGUGUCGCAUAAAAAGCGGCUCCCCCCCUUCGCUAUAAGCUGAGUUCCCAAGUUGGGGAGUACUGGUCCCAGGUCUAUCUGUUCCUGUAUGGCAGGAAGUCCCUCCAGGUUGUCUGGUUAACCGGGCUACCUAUUCAAAGAUGAACUAAUUGCCUUUGGUUUCUUCUAAUGGCAGGCCUGUGCCUCCUCUAUCCUUGCUUUCUAGGGUACCUCUUCAUCUAGUAUUAGACGAUUCUUUAAACGAUUCUAUUGAUUUCUUCUCUGUGCAAAACAAAGGGGUCUAUCCCUAGGACUCUUUCUCGUGAACUAGGGUCAAAUAAAUAGAUGGACAUCCAUCACCAACCAAUCACAUUCCACAUCCCACUUCAAACUUUUCGAUUCCUCGGGCAGCCUCCUCUAUAAAGGCAGUCCAGCUUCAGAGGCAGGUGAGCCGGGUCAGGAAGGAGUUUGACUACUGGGAAGGGAUCGGAUCCUACUCGAAGCACUCCACCACGAAUAAGAGCAAGGAAAUAGCAUCUUUCAUUUUCCAUCCACGAAUGUUAAUGUUUUGAUAUCAAUUAAUUUAGGGGCAUAGCUUAGUUCUUAUAACACAUCUAUGAUACCAACAAGAACAACUUCAUCUGGGACAGAAGCUGGAAUUGGAUCGAUGAGUACUAUACGCGAGUUACAGGGUCUUCUCAAUGCCAUAUAUUAAAAAAAGGUCAAUCCAAAUGCACAAAUAGCAGUUUUAUUGGAGCUGUGGGUCCCUUUCAAGCAUAGGAGGACAAAUCGGAUUCUGUAACCUACUACCCUCAGGUUACUUUACUUAAUCCCGGGAGUUCCUGCGCUUCCUUCUAGCCUACCAUUGCUUGCUUUGCUGCCUACGAAAAAGCUUUCAAAGCAAAGAGCUUUUUCUCACCAGAUGGGAACUGAAACACCUUUCGAAUUGAACUUUCUUCCCCUAGCCUAUGACAGCAUUCCAUAGCUUUAUGCCUACCGUCUUUCUAGGUCACCCAUCAUUCGCACUGGUAAUUCAGGACCAUAUACCACGGGUAUAUAAUGAGGUAUUUUAUUCUGUGUCUAGGGCUGACUGUGGUGGCCACACUUAAGAAAUCUGGAAACAUCUUUAAAUAAUUUAGAAAAAUUGAUCUUUUUCUUUUUAUUUUGUCUAACUAUACGAUCCAUGGUUGUGAUGCCCCUUGCCUGUGGGACUGCUGCUGCCUGCCCUGCUUCCCAUGCACCUACUUCUCAUGCACUGCCCUGCUUCAUCAAGUCCAACCUCUCCUUACUUGCAGUGCAACCUUCACUCUUUUAGAAAUUUAGUCUAGAGUCAGAGUUCGUAGAAAAAGUGGAUUCGCCCUUGCCGUGUAAGGAGAAGCGUACUCCCUGGUACACCUAUAGCAGGGUCUCCAGGUUGAAGACUCAUUCUCUUACCUAAUAAGCCAACCCCCCAAUAUAUAAAGGCAGAUAUUCAUUAUACCUUCGUGCUUCCCUUCAAUUUCAAUCAUUUCUGCAAGUGCUAAGUCUUUCUUUAUAUAUUGGGGGGUUGGGUUUUCUAUCGGUCAUGUUCUCGAUCCUCGUUCCCCUUCAUAGAGUCGAUGCUGUUGUUGCUUGCGCGUAGGGCCGUCUCCCACUCCCGUCCCGGGGCGCUAAGGGGUUUUUGUUUUUGGAGCAGACGGCUAUGUUUUGCUGACGCCUCGAAUCAAGCUUUUGUUGCGACAUGCUAUGUUUUCUCCCUCAUUGUUAGUAGGUUGAUGGGUCGCACGCUCGGCACACAUGUUUUGGCUUUGUGUGUCCAUAACUCAAAAUAGGUGACCUAACGGCCACCGCCCGACUAAACAUACCAAUAGUCACCAGAUUCAUAUGGGCUACUGGGGAGUAAGCAAUGAUCUUCUUAAGAUCGAUCUAUCUUGAAGUGGUCGAGGAAGUAUAUAUUAUAGCAAUCGCGCUUGGAGUAUAAAUGCAUGCAUUUUGGUAACCAGUCCUGCAACUCCGUCUACCAUUCCACAUCCUUCAAUCACCACACCCAUGUCUUCCUUCUUCAUAUCCUAAUACACCCAUCCCCAUUUGUACCUUUAUUUUUCUUUAACACCCAAUACCCACUUCACUCACCACCUUUCUCAUAUUCACAAACCCACUACUCACUGAACCCAUUUCCCCCACACCAUGUAUCCUCCAUGGUCAUCUUUAAACCCGCUUCUCUAUCUAAAUCUUCACAUACCCAUCUUCUCCAUUUAUCUCACCCAUUGAAGUAGCUCCCUUCAUCAUCAAACCAUUGCCAAACCACCACCUGCAUCACCACCCAAACCACCUGCCCCCUCCAUCACCACUACCAACCCAUCUUCCAUUAUUGAGCCACUUGAAGCUGUUAAGGCUGCUGCUACAAUGCAUUAAGUGUGUCAUCAUGGAUAAUUUGGACAACAUGACUGAUCCUUUGCCAAAGAUUCUAGCACGGUUGUUGCUGUUAGGGACAUCGCUGAAGCAAGUCGCAGCUUACUUCGCGAACGUGCUUCAAGCUUGUAUAACCAGCUCAUGCCUUGGUACCUACACGCCUUUAGUUGGCUUUCGUGGCGUCCCUAUGUCCUUGGAUAGUAGGAUGAUUUGGUUCGUUUUUUUUUUUAGAAAGAAGAAAGGGUCGACUGCGACGGCGACUUUGGGUUCGUUAGUAAGGAAAGUGCGACCGGGUGGAGGCGAAACCUAUAGCCGAGAUGACCAAGGGAGCAAGCCCCAUUCCAGUCGACAAUCUCCCUGGCACCGAGAUCCAUGUCGACACCAGUAUCUGUCGGUGCAAUCACACCAAAUCUAGAAACGAGGAAGAAAUGACGGAAGCCAGGACCCUGGACGUCUUCGCUGAUCAUCAAAGACAAAAAUUCCUCGUGAUCCCAUGCAUGAGAAGUGCGCCACCGGUGGUGAGAGGAAGGUUUAGAGGAAGCAGAAGGUAGGGAGUUGAAGAUAUGGAGGAGCGCAAGGGAAUGGCCAGCAAAACGCAUUUGGUGAGUUUGGAGAGGUUAAGGAUUUGCAUUUAAAAUUUUUUAGUGUUGUAUUGGGCUUGCAAAAGGGAAUACGUUGUUGGAAUAUAUGAAUCUUGAGGGGGGCAUGGGCCAUGAUGAAUGGGACUGAACUUCUCACACAAAUAAUCAAUGUUGACUGGGCCUUCCGCAAUGGGCCAUUCCUAAAGAGAGGAUUCUGAUAUGGAUGAGUAUGCAUCCUAAAUUAAGGGCACCUUUUUUGUUUUGAUAUGCUGCCUCGAGCCCACACGUUAUAUGGCCACCUUUAGGCCUGCAAUACAAUGUUUUAAAAAUCGGACCAAACCGGCCGGUUCAACCAGUUCAACCGUCGACUAGUCAUGUUUUCGGUCCGGUUCACUCUAUUGAACCGCUUGGCUAUUGGACUGGACACGAACCACCUGAACCGACGGUCAGACCGAUGACUCGGUCGAACCGGACGGUUCAAAACGAACCGAACAGUUCAAAUUAGCCCCUCAUUUUGCAAGAAGGGCCCAUUGAAUUUAAUUGAUUUGUGCCAAAGCCCAUGCUGAGCCUUGUGACUUAUGACAAAGCCCACACACUCAACCCAACCACAUUUUGGGCUGAGUCUUGAGCCCAUUAAUCAUGGUCAUGCCUAUGCCUUGAGGAUGGCUUUUAUAGGAGUCAUUUGCAUCCUUAUUCCUCUCACUUUCCGAUGUGGGAUUGCUAACAUUAUCAAUGAAAAAAUUAUAUAACAAUCUCCACCAAGAAAGCUUGAACCUUGGACCUCCGGUACACUACCCUCCCUAAGAGACCACUCGGCUAUACCCAUUUUGUUAUCUACCAUGCCAAACUAAAUAAUAUAUUUUAGAUUUUAAAUUUUUUUUAUAAUAUUAAAUAAAAAUAAUAUAAUAUUUUUAAAAAUUAUAAAAUUAGUUUAAAUUUUCAAAUAUGUUCACAUUUAAAUAUUAUACAUAUUUCAUCUAAUAAAAUUUAAAAUUUUAAUUUGAUAAUAUCAAAGAUAUAAAAUUGAUUUUUAAUUUAUUCAUAUAUAUUUUAAAUUUUUUAUAAUUAUUUUUAAUUUUAAUAAUAUAUAAAUAAAAAAUUGCAUAGUUAUGAUGUCACCGGUUCAAUAGCGGUUCGACCACCGGUCCGACCGGUGAACCGUGAACCGGUAACUUUUCUGGUUCGAUGACUGGUCCGGUUCUGAAAACAUUGCUGCAAUGCCAACCACUGCACUUUUUUUCAUCUAUUUUAUUAUUUUAUUUAUUAUUCCCUCAUUUUUUUUUUAUAUCUCAAAUUAAUUUCCAAAGAUUCCAAUUAUUACAUUCAUUUGUUUAAUCACUUUUAUUUCCGUUAUCAUUAUUACUUUAUUUACUUAUUUGUUUAUUUAUUUAUUUUUAAAAUUCCAUCUUUAAAUAAUUCUUCAAAAUUCCAAUUUCUAAAUUUAAUUUCUAAUUUCCAAAAUUCCAAUUUUCGCAUUUAUUUAUUUAAUCAUUAUUAAUUUAGUUAUUAUUAUUAUUUUAUUUAUUUAUUCAUUUAUCUAUUUAUUUUUAAAAUAUAUAUAUAUUCUUAAAUAAUUCUCCAAAAUUUCAGUUUUCAAAUAACCUUUCAAAGUUCAACUUCCAUAAUUAAUUUUCAAAACUCUCAUUCUUAAGUUUAACUUUCGAAACUUUAAUUUUCUGAACUUUAGUUUUCAAAUUUAAUUUCUAAAAUUCCAAUUCUUAAAUUCAAUUUUCAGAACUCCAAUUUCUUUCAAAUAAUUUUCAAAAAUCCAAUUUUCAUAUUUAAUUUUUAAGAAAUCUCAUCCCCAAAUAUUUUUUCCAAGUUCCAGCUUUCAUGACUUCUAGUUUUAAAUUAUUUUUCUAAAAUUCCAAUUUUCGAAUUUAGUUCUUAAAACUUCAAUUUUCAAAUAAGUUUCAAAACUUGAUUUUCAAAAAUUUGUCUUUCAAAUGGUUUUAAAUCUUUUAAAUUUAUUUAUUUAAUUUGUUUAUCCACCUAAUUUAAUUAUUUUAUUUAUUCAUCUUUCAUAUAAUUAUUUAUUUAUUUCUCAUUAUUAUUAUUAUUAUUAUUAUUGUUAUUUUUUCUUUUCUUUCUUUUUCUUUUCUUCAUUAAAAUUCUAAUUCACCAAAACCUAAUUUUUUAAUAAACGUGCUGCCAUUUUUUAUUCAGGUAGACAUCUUGUGAUUUUCUUUGGUUUUUAAUUAUUUUCUUGUUUUUCACUAUUUUUAAUAAGCAUGAAUGAUUUUUUCAUAAUUUCAAAAGUAAUGGAAUUUGUGAGAUUAAUUUAUGCAAAAUAAAUUGGGCCUUGAUGAGGGCCCAACAUAUGCGAUAUCCUCAUUGAUUGAUUGAUUGCUUUACAUGAUUGACUUAUUCCACUCCAUGACAUGCAUGCGAUUAUUCCGUGUUUGUUUACUAACUUUUGUUUUCCAUAAAGUAAACUGACUCAUCACUUAGGUACACUCCUUGCCUCUCUUGUUUGUUUGGUUAUCUUGUUUUGAUUGAUAUUCAUUCGGUAUCCAUGUUUGAUCAAUCAAUUGCCAUACUUGCUUCAUCUCAUUAGUAGGGAUCCGUUCUUAGGGAUUUAGAGGGGUGCUAUGGUCUUUACUGUACCUUCCCAAUAAGUAACUUGACCCCCGAGCCCAUAUCUGGUUUUUCACGGACCUAUUUUUCCUUCAGGAGUCAUACUUAGGGUUUUUCCUUCUUAUUUUGUUUUUCCCUUAAAAAAUAAAACAAAAAUAAGUGGCGACUCCAAGUCUUUUAUAAAAAUCAUAAUUUUCACCAAAUAAAUAAAAAAAAGCGAGUUUUGCCAUUGAGUGGGAACACAUCAUGCAAAAUGAAGGGUUCAUAGUAACCUUUCUUGGUUUAAAAUUGUAAAUAAAAAACUUUAAAAAAAGUCAUAAUUUUUCUAAAAGAAAAUUGUUUUAACAUAAAUGGAUUUGUAUUUUUUAUGAAUGAUACUUUCAUUAGAAAAAUGUUGUCAUUUUCAUUAUUUUUUUUAAAAAUGAAAAGAAUUAUUCGAAAUGGAGAUUAUUUUAAUCAUACAUCUCAAACAAAAUAAGUAUGAGGUGUUAUAUUGAUGACAAAAACACAUUUGGGUUAGUAGUUAUAAUUUUUUAUACAUUUAUAAUUAUAAUAAAUUUUAAAUAUAUUCAAAUUGAUUCAAUUAUUAUCUUUGUUAAUUAUUAGGAUUUAAUUAUUGAUUUAGAUUAGUCCUAAUAGAAAUUAUACAAAUCAUAAUAAUCCAAAAUACGUUCAAUCAUAUAAGAAUAGAUGAUAUAUUUGAUAAAACACUUGCAAAUAUUAUUUCAACCUCAAUAGAUGCAGAAACAACAAAUUUAUCAACUUGCAAUAAAUAUUUCACUAAAUAAAAAAAAAAAUAUCUUGUAGAUUUUAUUAGCAUUUUUUUUUAUUUUACACCCCAAAAUGAAAUAAUUUUCAUACCUAAACCUGGGGUAUUUUACUUGUACCAUAUUUAAAAACUUAAUUUAGUGUAAAUUAUUCAUCUCAUAAUACCAUUAUACCAUUUUAAAACUCAAAACAUACUUAUACUUAAGCUUCAAAUUGUGUCUUCAACUUGAGUAUGUUAGUAUAAGACUCAUAGCGAAGUAGUCUCGAAUUAUUAAUCUUAGGAGCAAAAUUGUUGACCCAUUGUAAUACAUUAACAAAGUUAACACUAUAUAAAAAUAAAUAUAAAAAGAUUAUUUAUAUAAGAAAAUAGUAAGAAUUUUGGAAAACCCUAUAAUACCUCCAAACCCCUUAUUUUGCCCUUGACCCAUAUAGGUUACCCUCGUAGUAAUUAUUGUAUUUCAUUGACUUGUAGUCUUUAAUUAUUCCUUAGGAUAAUUAUGGAAUUUUAAUGUGAUCAUAUAAACUUUUUGAUUUUUUUUAAUUUAGAAUUUUUUGUUGUUUGAACUUAUCAUCUCCUUUAAUUAUAAAAAAGAAAUCUUGUUUUUAAAAGACAAAUUCAUGAUUUUAAUUAAUUAAUAAUUGGUUUCAUUUCUUUAAAAAUAUAGAAUAUAAUAAGAGUUUGAUAAUAAAGUAAGGCAAGAUCUUCUAUAAUAAUACUUUAACAUGAUUUAAUCAUUUUUGUUAUUAUCGCUUUAUAAAUUAUAGAAAUUGAGACGUUAACCAAUUUUGUUAAAUGGGUAAAUUGAAGAUUAAUGUAUUAUGACUCUUAAAAAUAUAUUUCAAGAUUUUAAAUCAUGCUAAAAUGAUUUUUCUUUUAACAUUAUGUGAACCAUAAAUUUAAAUAAAAAUUUGAGUUUACCAUAGCUAUUAAUUUCAUGCCUUAGAAUAUAAAAUAAGAUAAGUUAUUUCUUUGAUAAUACAUAUGCUAAACCAAUAUUCCUAUUAAUAUCCCAUUGAAUCAUAAACAAAGAAUUUUUUUAGUCCAUUACAUAAAAAUUCAUAUUUUAAAACAUGAAAUAAAUUAAUUUUUUUUUUCUAAUCAAUAAUAAACAUAUAAGUUAUAUGUAUUUAUAAAUAUUUUAUACUUAGCCUUUACAUAAUUUAAGACUUGCCAAAUACACCUCAUAUAAUCCAUGCACCAAUCGUUCAUCAUUAUGCCCCAUAAUCCAUCAAGGGAAACUUGUGUUUCCAGCCUAUGAUUAGGAAAAUAUAUGGUUUUGGAACUUUACGUGAAAUAUGACAUUUCUAUGUUAAUGGGGAAAAUAUUAUAUUUCUCAUGCACUAUAUACUGUUUAUAUAUUUAUUUCCAAAAUUGCCCUUUAAUGUUUCCCUAUCAACAACCAAGGGUGUCCAUGUCAGCAAGAAAUAAGCACCAAAAUCAUAAACUUGAACUUAUCUAAUUUGAGACCCACACUCGACACAAGAAACAUUUCAAAUUUGGGGAAACUCUCUCUAUCACUUCCUCUCAUUUUGCCCUAACCCGAUAUCAGGAAAUUCACAUUUUCAUAGCUCGUUUGAUACACCAAGAUAGGUAGUCGAACUAUUUAUUGACAUCCUAACCAGGCGAUGGAUACCCAUCUUCCCAAAGCCGUCUUCAUCUCAUUUUGGCCUAACCCUAGUGUGACUCUCUUCACGAGCUGACCACCCAAACCCGGGCAUCUUCCAAAAACCUUCAACGAAGCCAAAGUCAAGGCAUAUCUUCAUAUUUCUUCAUCAAAGGUGGAAUUUUUUUAAGGUUUCUGGAAACCAAAGUGGAGCUUCCUCUUGCUUUGGAUUAAUUAAUCACAGGUGAGUUUUCCAUUUAAGGAUUCGUUUGGCUGUUGAGAAAAUAUUGGGGCUAAGGUCUUAUAUUUUGGGAGUUUGUUGUAUUUUGAUUCAUUUUCAUAUGAAUGAAAUAGAGGGAAAAUUUGUUUUGAUUAAAAAAAAUUUCUGACGGAGUGAAAUUUGGAAACAAGAAUGGCUGUUUUUCGUUAACGACCCUGUGAUUUAGAAUAUUUGAGAUUUUUUUUUUGUUAUAUCUUAAAUUUUUAUGUUUACAAGGACUGCUGUUUGUCAGAAUUGUUUAGGAAAUUUUUUUUGAGAACCACACUCAUCAUUAAUUUGUUUUAUGUCAUAGAUAACUUGAGUGGAGAUGAAGAUAACUUGAGUAGUCCUUGGUUAGCAUUUUGGAAGUACUUUAGUGAAAGCAAAACCUGUUAAUCUUACUACUCCAAUUAGGAUUUAGAGUCCCUCGAUAUUUUAUGAGUUUCCUAUCGUGUGAUUUUGUUUUCAAAUAUUCUUCUACAUAGCUAGAGUUGAGCUACUGGCUAGUGAAUUUGGAUGGUUAGCAUUUCUCUUGCAUUUCUGGCUUUAUAUUUGAUGAUAAGGAGCACCUAUCCUUCAUGACUACAUUUAUAUCUUUAUGUUCACGCACAUUGGAUUCCUUUGCUUGUUUUUUUAUCGGUUUUUGAUUUGUCUGCGUUGCUGUAGGAUUUGUGGGUUAGGGAGCAUUGAAGUAGAGCAACUUACGUACUCAUUACCAAAUUUUUACUUUGUGAUCAGAAAGGAAGUUAAAUUAUGCAGACUCCAAAGCAAGGUAACUUCAAAUGCUUUUAUGAUUUCUCUCUGUCUUUGGGGGUGCUUGUCCCAUUUUCUUGGUUAAAUUGGAGGGAUUGUUUUGUUCUUUGAGGCAAUUUGAGGGUUGGUUGUUUCUCUUUUGUACUAUGUAAAGCUAAGCUUUAGAUUUUUAUCUAUUGUCCAAUUGAAAUUUUGGGGGCCAGUCUCAAUGAAAGCGAUAAAUAACUUUGUAGUUGUGCCUGAUAUUGAUGGCAGUUGUUAUUAGUGUUAGUAUUAAUCUUUACUCAUUUUAUUGUGAAGACUUUUCCUUCUUUUAUUAUUUCCUUUUUGUUUGCCAUAUAUUUAUCAUGCGUGCUAAUGAAUCCAUGAAACUUACAACAUCAAGCCACAAUUGAGGGCCAGAUUCUAUGGUAAGUGUCUGACUUGCAAUUUUAACAAAGAUUUAGUGUUGCCCACUUUCGCUUGGACCUACUGGGCUAUGCAGGGACAUCUUUUCAUAUCUUAUGCUUUUACUAUUGAGCUAUGUGCUAGUGGGGACAUGCAAAGCUUCAUGUCUAGAGAGAGAAUAAUCUUUUCAUAACUCUUUCUUUUACUGAUUUUUUUGUACUCUCUAGAGAAUGGAAAAGGUUUCUAUGUUACUGAGUCUGACUCUGCAUCCUCUUCGAAUCAAGCAAGUAGAACACCAAAAGACAGAAACCCUAAGGUUAUUGAGCGCAGGUCACCUAGAAGACCAGUGUCUGAGGUACUUUAGUUUACACAAUUGAUCUAUCAUGCUGUAGUUUUCAGUUUAAAGAAUGUUUGAGAACCUCUGGGAUUUAUCUUCGGAAUAUGUAAAGCACACAAGUGUUAAAUUUUUUCUCCUUUUUUUUUUUUUUUUUUUUUGUCUAUUACUGGCCUCAUACAAGUUCUCUGUGGAAAUUGUUUCACAAUAAUAUACAUUAAUUAUUUGAAGGUCCCUAGUAAUACAAAUAAUAUUAUGCAAGGUUAUUUCUUGAGCUUCCUGUUCCUUCUUGACAAUUUUAUGUUAGGAAGAGGAACGUUAGUUGUAUAGAGAAAUAUACUGCUGGAUUAAAUAAACUAUUUCCUCAUCUAUUAUUCAAUUGAUCUGUACGUAAAUAUAUACAACAUCACAGAGAACUAUUUUAGGAAAUAUUUACAGCAAUUACUAUAAAAAAAUAACUAUACACCAAUCUUGGCUAAUAAUCACAUAAAUAGAAACAGAUCAAAGACUUUAUUCAAAUGGCUUGAUUGUAGGCUGAAAUCAUGAAGGUUUGACUUGAUCUUGAUUUUGGCAAUCUUCCUUAAUACGCCCCCGCAAGAUUGAGCUUCCAUCGGCAAGACCAAUCUUGGUACGUAACAAUUCAGUCCAUUGCCGUGACAAGGGUUUUGUCAAGAGAUCAGCAAGUUGAUCUUGUGUGUGAACAUGACUAACAUGAAAGGUCCCAUUUUGAACAAGCUCUCGGACAAAGUGUAAAUCAAUCUGAAUAUGCUUCAUGCGAGAAUGAUUAACUGGAUUAAAACUCAGAUGCGUGGCGCCAAGAUUGUCACAUAGCAACAAGGGAGGCACCUUGAGUGGAAAACCGAGUUCAUGAAGUAAGGAGUUCAGCCACACAGUUUCAGACGCAACAUUGGCAAGAGCACGGUAUUCAGCUUACUAGAAACACAACUUCAGUUUUAACCACGUUCUCUGAUGCUGACUGGGCAGGGAAUGUGGAUGAUAGAACCUCUACUUCGGCUUAUAUUAGUUUUCUUGGCACAAAUCCCAUUUCUUGGAGCUCCAAGAAACAACGAGUUGUUGCUCGCUCAUCGCUUUCAAGAUCAAGUCAAACCUUCAUGAUUUCAGCCUACAAUCAAGCCAUUUGAAUAAAGUCUUUGAUCUGUUUCUAUUUAUGUGAUUAUUAGCCGAGAUUGGUGUAUAGUUAUUUUUUUAUAGUAAUUGCUGUAAAUAUUUCCUAAAAUAGUUCUCUGUGAUGUUGUAUAUAUUUACGUACAGAUCAAUUGAAUAAUAGAUGAGGAAAUAGUUUAUUUAAUCCAGUAGUAUAUUUCUCUAUAUGGUAUCAGAGCAACCCUUCUCCAACGAGUCGAUCCCUCCCAUUUCCCCAAUGUCUUCCUCACCCGAUCAACCUCAAAUUCAUCUCAACACCCACCCCAUUUCCUCCACUGAAAUCAUGAAGGUUUGACUUGAUCUUGAUUUUGGUAAUCUUCCUUAAUAAGUUGUAGUAUUCUUAUUAUUUUCUCUUGCCUUUUUAAUUCAUUUUGCAUACUAUGAAAUCACUGUUUUGAUGGAUUUGAUAAACACCCAUCAGAACAAGAAAUAUUUGAGUGUCAAAUGGCUGAACUGUAAUAAUGGUGCCGAAGAUCUCCUUGUUCCGUUUCUGUGAUACCCUGUUAAGUGGGAUUGUUAUGGCAGUGAUAGAUACUUUCAUUGAAUUAUCACUGAUGUCUAGGAGUCUCCGUUAGAUUUUUUACAGGCACAUCACAGAAACUAGGCUGGGUCCUGAAACCUAGUUAAAGUUUGCAUUAUAGAUAUCAUGCAUUUGGUUUCAGUUUUUGAGAAGUUCAAGGAGAGAUACAGCUUUGUAAUCUUAUUUUAAGAGAGUGAUUAUUCAAAUAAUUUUCAUGGAUACAGACACAUUAAUUUGCUGGACCAAAUGAUAGUUGCUGGUUUGGACAAUAGUAAGUUACUUCAGAAAGGCUGCAGAAUGGGUUUUUUUUUUUUUUUUUGUUAUGGGUUAUUGGGAAAGAGAAGACAAUACUUUUAAUGGGUGGAGUGAUUGACGUUAAUUGUCCAAAAAUCAAAGCUUUGUUCACAUGCUUCUGCAGUUUAAUCAGGAAUACUAAUCUUUGCUUUGUUGGGUUUGUUGUUGGAUUGGGUUUGGGUAUGUGUUUGGCCACUGGAAGCUCAUACUUUCUUUUUCUUUUGGCUUUGGUGUGUCUUGUACACUUCCCUUGUUUUUUUUUGCAACCCAUUUUAUUUGGCCCUUUACCAUAGGAAAAAAGUAGAAGAGCACAUAGAACUAAAGGAAGGUCCUUGGAAUGGAUUCCUAGUACUUUGAUAAGAAUGAAAACAAGAUAUAAACUCAUUAAUUUUAUGUUUCUCUUGUCCUAUAACUUUGCUGAAAAACUGAAAUCCAAUAUAGUACAAUUUAUUGUUUGAACUGUGCAACUUUCUUUAUCAAUUUCAGAUUCUUAUUUCAAUGACCAAUCCUUGUUGUAGAUAGACCAAUAAUAAGGUGAUACAUGGUUUUGUUAUCGAUCCAUUAUUAAUAACAUGUAGUAGAGAUCAAAGGACAUUUGAUGAUGGCCAUAUGAUGCAGAACAAAAAAAAAAUGAUGUGAAGUAAAGCUAAAUAGAAGCAUGUGAUUUACAAAUAGAUUUUGACACCAGGCACCAUAGUUAAAAUGAAGUGUAGACAAUUCAAGAGCAUAUACAAAAUGCAUAAUAUACAAUAUUUUACUAUAGCCAACAAAGAUGUAUAAAGAUAUAGGCACCUCAUGACCAUCAUUUUUUACUGUAGUAUGAGCACUUGUUUUGCAAGAAGUGAAGACUGUAAUCCACCAACUGAAGAAGAAAGAACCAAUGAGAGAGACAUUAGUUUAGACCAAAACCCUCUUCACUCUCCUCCACACUUGAUUAGCUCUUCGACACCAAUAGAUAGCCUCUAAUGCAAAAGUGCACACGUUUCUAAGGGUGGAUCAGUGAUAGUGAGCCUAAUGAAUUUUGUACCAAGCAACUCAUACUAGCUACAGUGAUGUAAUUGGAAUAGUUGAUACAUAGGAUGGAUUAACACAAUAAGAGCAGGUGGGAUGAGAAGCAUGAAUGAAGACCUUUUUGGUUGUUUUGUAUAUUUUUGAUGUUUUCUUUCUUCAGGACAAGAUGACUCUUAUGUUUUUUUUAUAGCAUUUUUAGAUGAAUGUUAGUAUGGUCCCUAUGGAGAAAGGUGAAAAAAACAUUGAAGAUAGGAGGAGGAAGGAAAAUAUUUUGUAUUUUAUUUUAUUUUAUUCCCAUUGUCCUCUAAAAAUAUCCUUGAAAAUGUAAUUUUCUCUUUUUUGGACAUUAUCAUGGGCGAUCAAACAAAGAGAAUUUUUUUCUGUAAACCAUAAAAAUGCAAGCUAUAUAAGAAAAUGCUUUGGAGAAUGUCUGUAAUGUUAGAGGAGAUGCCUUAGAUAAUGCUUGGAAGGUUGAAAUAUGAAAUGGAAAUGACAACCAAACCCAGUGUACUUAUCUCACACGCGAAAUGCACCCAAGACAAAUGACACAUUAGAAUCAUAAGGAAUCAAACAUAAGCCACUUAUUGUUUUUUAAGAAGGAAAACUUAAGAUUUGUAUGCAAAUUGUUUAUAUAAUAAGUUCUUAUUAUUUAAAAUAGAAAAUUGUAUUUUUACUUCGAAAAUAUUUUUAAUAUUUUUUUUUAAAAGAUAAGGAAUGAGAAGAGAAUUUGUGUAUUGUAUAAAUGUAUAGUCUCUUUUAGGGAAAAUAAGUCCAUAAAAUUGUUUUUUCAUUAUUUAAGUUCCCAAUAAAGGGGGGAUAUAUAUAUAUAUAUAUAUAUAUAUAUAUAUAUAUAUAUAUAUAUAUAUAUAUAUAUAUAUAUAUAUAUAUAUAUAUAUUUAAGGUUUUGAAAAACUUCACACAAAAAUAAUAAAGAAAAAAGAAUUCCUAUCAUUUUAUUGUCCAUGAAUAAAUUAUAGAUGUGGAAAAUUUCUUAGCCCUUCUUCUCUCUUUUUGUAAUUUUAAUUACAUUAAUUUUGCAUUAUCCAAAUAUAAUUUCUAUAAAAAAACAUAAUUUAAAUAAUUAGAAUUUUAUUUUAGCUUAUAUUGACAUAAUUUGUACAUAUUAGCCUUAAUUUAAAUUUGAAAAAUGCUAAAAUUUGAUUUCCCUAGAUAUAAUAGUUAGUUUUACAUCUCAACUAAAAUUUAUUACAAAGCUUAUGAUGUGUCAAAAAUUCUCAAUUUCUCUUAUGUUGUGACCUUUAACAAACAAAUUGUCUUAUGCUUCAAACGUUUGAGUGAUCAUUUUCAGUUUAACAAAGUUGAUAAUAAUAAUCACAUAGUACCUAUGAACAUUAUGAAAAAUACAUUACUAGACAUUCAUAUUAAUAACACAUUUCUACAACCUCUGUUAAACUAGAUAUUAUAAUAAGCAAAACAUAUGCUACAAAGAAGCUAGCAAAGAAACUUAUUACAUAUGUAUAUGAAAUAUUUUGCACGGAAUGCUGAUCAUCAACUGCAAGUUCAAACUUUUGUUUACCAGUUAAUGAACAUUUUUCACUUUGCUUCCAUCUUAGUGCCUAAAACACCCAAGCUCGGACAACAUCCUCUCUAGAAGUAUAUGAUUUGUAAACACUCUCCUUAUAAAGGAGCACAUUCUUUUGACAUUCAACCAAAGAAUUGUACACUCCAUGUCUAAGACCCACAAACACUACAUAGUAUGAUUGCAUGUUCAUCAUCUGAUGACAUAAUUGUUGUUGGUUAAUUUUUUAUAAUCAAUCAAGUAAUAACUAUUGAAAAAGAUAGUACGAAACAUAGAUAAUUCACACAUGUAUACCACAGUUUAGGAUAAUAACAAUGAUGAUUAACUACAAAAUUAAAAAUAUAACAAGUAAUGUCCGGGAUUCAAGGUCUGAGGUUUCGCAUAGGUAGAACCCAACUUAAACUAAGGUAGUACCUAAGGUCUGUUAAGGUAGUACCUAAGUUAGAUUAAGUUGGUUGAUUCGACUCAUGGUAGCUUAGCUUUAAAGGCGUAUCAACAAAAUUUAUACCUUAAAUACUAUUACUAAAGUAGCCAAGCUACUAUAGCAUAGUGGUUCUAGGAUCGUUCACUGGGAAGGGUUUUCGCAAACACUAGUGAUAUUCAAAUUAGGAAAAUAGGUGAUUUUCUUAUGGAUGUUAGCUUUAAAAGAAGAUGUAAAUGUUUUAGAAAGAUUUAAACUAAUCUAAGCUAACAUUAAAGACUAAAAUGAAAGGGUGUAAAAACAAGUUUCUCAAAUAUAGGAUAGCCAUGCUCUGGCUCUUAUGCAAAUUGGAAAUCUCAGGAUAGGCUCCUCGCGUUGGGGUUGCAACUAUGGUGAUGCUUGCUUCCCGAACCGGUAUNNNNNNNNNNNNNNNNNNNNNNNNNNNNNNNNNNNNNNNNNNNNNNNNNNNNNNNNNNNNNNNNNNNNNNNNNNNNNNNNNNNNNNNNNNNNNNNNNNNNUCGGCAAAAGCAGAGAAAUUCGCAACACGCAUGGGUUAUGCGAAUUUUGAAGGUGUUAUGCGAAUUUCGCAUAACCUGGAGCAGUUGGCUUCCGAAGGCCAUAUCUUCCUCAUUUCAACUCCAAAUCGUGCACGGUUUGAAGAGUUGGAUUCUUGACUUCCAGAGCUUUGAAAUGGUAUAUAGUAUGUAAAAAAUGGACUUCGGGAAGUGCUCCAAAAGUGCGAAAGAAGACUGCAGCUGCUGUCCUCUGAUUUUUUUCACUUAAUUUGCUUCACUUUGCUUGCAUACUUUGAACGACUUUGGCAAAGGGCUAUGGAGCUCCAAAGCUUGGUUCUUCAUGAAUUUGAGCUUCCAAAAGCUUUGCCAUAACUUGUCCAAGUAUCUCCUCCAUCAUUUGGCAUGCUUGAAUUGAUUCAUAAGCUGAUAAAAACAUGUAAACUUGCCACAAAAUGGUUAAAACCAAUUACUAAGGACCUUAAUGAAUUAAUUGGGUUAAAUGAAUAUGAUUACUACUCAAAGGUGCUUAAAACCAUUAUAAUUAGGUUUACAAAAUAUCACUUUUUGGUAGUAAUCAUUGGUACCUAAGGUCUAUUAAGAUAGUACCUAGAGUAUAGUUCAAAAAAAAAAAAAAAAAACAAAGGUCAACCAAUUAAACACACAAAAUAUUUACAUAAUGGCAUGCUCUAAGGGUCACAAGGUAGUACCCAACUUUAAGUAAGGUAGUACCUAAGGUUAGUUAAGGUAGUACCUAAGAUAGAAUAAGGUGGUACCUAAGGGCUAUUAAGAUAGUACCUAAGGUACAGUUUGCAAAAAACCAAAGGUGAACCACUUGCCUACACAAAAGAACCACAUAAUGGCAUGCUCUAAGGGUGACAAAGGAAAGGUCGAGGCUUUGAAUAGGUAGAACCCAACUUUAACUAAGGUAGUACCUAAGGUCGCUUAAGGUAGUACCUAAGGUAGAAUAAGGUGGUACCUAAGGGCUAUUAAGGUAGUACCUAAGGCAUAGUCCUCAAAAAACCAAAGGUGAACCACUUGACCACACAAAAGAAUCAUAUAAUGGCAUGCUCUAAGGGUCACAAAGGAAGGGUCGAGGCUUCGGAGAGGUAGAACCCAACUUUAACUAAGGUAGUACCUAAGAUCACUUAAGCUAGUACCUAAGGUAGAUUAAGGUGGUACCUAAGGGCUAUUAAGGUAGUACCUAGAGUACAGUUCGUAAAAAACCAAAGGUCCACACAAAAGAAUCACAUAAUGGCAUGGUCUAAGGGUCACAAAGAAAGGGUCGAGGCUUCGGAUAGGUAGAACCUAACUUUAACUAAGAUAGCACCUAAGGUCGCUUAAUGUAGUACCUAAGGUAUAAUAAGAUGGUACCUAAGGGCUAUUAAGGUAGUACCUAAGUUACAGUCCGCAAAAAACCAAAGGUGAACCACUUGAACACACAAAAGAAUCACAUAAUGGCAUCCUCUAAGGGUGACAAAGGAAGGCCCAAGUCUUCGGAUAGGUAGAACCCAAUUUUAACUAAGGUAGUAGCGAAGGUAGAUUAAAGUGGUACCUAAGGGCUAUUAAGGUAGUACCUAAGCUACAGUCUGCAAAAUAACAAUGCGACUUAUAACCAGAUAUGUUGUAAGUUCCAUCUGGAUUCAAUACGACUUGUGGGUCAUAUGGUUACUAGGGAAUAAUAUGGUUCCCACAACCCAACACAAAAGUUCAUGUCCACAAACGACUCUAAAAUUGUUGAUGUGCUCUAUUUCAAAUAAAUGAACCAAUGAACAAUAAAUGAAAAUAAUUUACCUUCAUAUUUUGAUUUGGGGUUAGGGCAAAAUGCCACUCAAUGACAGGAAGAGAUAUAUUGUUCACGAAGCCAAUAUUUUGGAUUCCACAUUUCCGUUCCGGUAUGCGCUGUUGUAGUAGUUUCACAAUCACAAAUAUGCCUCUUGAAGUCGUCUUUUAAUCGGACAUUCUUAGGAUGGAAUGCUCCUGUGGACCCGCAUUUUUCACAUGCGCCCCCACUCGAUCGGCGAGACUCGCUUUUAUUGGUGAAAAUUUUAAUUCUUAGAAAAGUCGGAGUCGCCACUUAUUUUAUUUUAUUUUAAAGGGAAAAUAAAACAAAAAAUAAAACCCUAAAAAAAUGACUCCAUAAUUUUUGGAAAAACAUGUCCUUGAAAAACUUGAGUCUAGGUGCGGGGAUCAGGUUACUUAUUGGGAAGGUACCUCUUGGAGGUAACACCCCUCUAAGCCCUAUAAAGGUCUCUACUAACUAAGUUGAGGGAAAUGUGACAAUUAAUUGGUUGAUUGAGGGUACUUAGGUAGAUUAAGGUGAUUUUUUAAAAAAAAUAGCAUGCUAAACAAGAAAACCGAUUACAAAUUAGAAAGAAAAUUUAGGGUGCAUACCUAGACUGCUUCUUAAGCGCUAUCAUAAGACACCAAAGUUAGUUCAAAUAAUAUAUCUCCAAUAUGUGCUUUAUCAAAAAUAAUUGAACAAUGAAACAAAUAUCAAGACACCCAAGCACUAUCAAACAUAGGCAUAGUUCACAAUGAAAAAUAUAUUCACUAAAUUUAGAAGCUGGGUGUUAGGGGGCGUACCUGGAUAGCAUAGAUAAUUUAUAAUGCAUUUCCACAAGAUAUGAGGCGUUAGAUAAUAAAUAAUAAAAUAAGAAAUCCUAGCAUGUUUAGUUUCUAAUUAGCAUAGAAAAAAUGAUCAAAGUAUACAAAAUCAUCAAUUAUCAAUUAUCAAUUAUAUCGGGUAUAGAAUUCCUAAAAAAAAAACAUAGAUAAACAUGAUUUCAAUAAGUAGCAAAGGUGGAAAAACAAAGUUUUGUAAAGAUUUUCUUAUGUAGGGAUUUCACCAAUUCCCCAAUUGAUAUACACGAAUCUAGCCUAGAAUUAUCCCAUUUGUUUGGGACUACAAGCUUGAAUUCGUAUUCCACUCAAAACCAGGAUUUUUAUUGAAAACUGAGGAAGAUGCAAAUCGACCAAAACAUGGUUGCAUAUUACUUGAGAAAAUGAGGUUUUGAUUCUAAGGGCUUUAAAUGAGUUUUUAAAAUAGAUUUUUAAAGGGAUAUUUGAAGAACAGUGUUAUAUUUUAAAAACAAGAGAAAUAAUUCUAAAAAUAAUAAAACAUAUGAGAAACAGAACACUAAACCAAACAAACAGAAACAAAAUCAUAAAUUAAAAUUUUUGGCAACCAAGCAAACUAAAGUGGUGUGAAUGAAGGCCAAUUUUCACAAUUUUUCGAUGGCCUCUGAAAAAUAAAUUUGACAAGAGACUACCAAAGUAAUAAACUAUUAAAACUUAGAUCAAAUAAGCUAACAUGAUACUCACCGAGAAUUAAUGACUAAUUUUCAAGAAACAUGUCAAUUAAGAGUAAAAAUCAAGAAUUAGCACGUGAUCAAUUAAACACACAAACGUAUCUAGAUUGAUUAAAAUGGACCAAAUUAAAUCAGGUUAAACAUGAAUUUUCAAUUAUAGAAUUAAUUUUAUUAGUGAGUUAAUAUUAUAGAAAAUAUCUAAACUGAAUAGAUGAGUGAAGCUAAAUCAGAGUAAAUAAAACACAGGUACCUUCUAAUGUGGAAUUGAUUUUGUUAAUAACUUAAAACUAUAAAAAAACACCUAAAAAUUAAAAUGAAUCAAAUGAAAUGAAAGGAAGCUAAAACAAAAUAUGAAUUCAUAGAAUCAGCUUCCUAAAUAAAUUUACAUUAUUAAAAUGAAACCUAAGCUUAACAAACGUUUUUACACUAAUUAAGGAAAGUCUCAAAUCUAAUAUUUAACAUAUAAAAUAAAUCAUUUCGACAAACUAAAAUUUUGCUUAAACCUAAAGUCAAAUCAAACUACCCAAAACAGGUUUUUUUUAAAUUGAAUCUUUAACCCAUAGGAUAAAUUUUAUUAAUAAAUAAGUGGAUAACGAAUCACUAAAUUAGUAGCAAAUAAAUAAAUAACUAAUAAAUAAUUAAAUGAAUCAACACUAAAUUAAAUAGGGGUCAAAUUAUAUUUUUUUUUUCUCAAAGUUAAAACUACAUAAAAUUGUAUUUUAUGAAUUUAAUAUAAAAAAAAUCAAAACUAACUUUAAACACAAUUCUAAUCUUUAAUAUAAUAAAUCAAAAAUUAAACAAGAGUGAGAUUCAUGCUGCCAUAUUAAAACAAAUAUAUGCUAAAACUAAUAAUAUAAGUCAAGCCACUCACCCAAUAUAAUAAUCCCACUUGAAAAAUAAACCAAACUUUAAAUUCUACUGAAAACCCAUAUAAAACAAACCAACUUACCUAGUCGGUUGUGAUGCUACCAAGGCAAGGUGGUGUGCAACUAGUGCGAUGAAGAAUGACUAAAGGAUCAACCUAGCCAACUGUGAUACUCCCAAGGCUAACUGAUGGUGUGCGGCUAGUGCGAUGAAGGACAAGUAGAGGAUCAACCUAGCUGGCUGUGAUGCUUUCAAGCAACCCAAAUGUGUACGACGUGAUCAGAGGUGCUAUGCUGGUGCAGGUCUCCAAUGGUGGUGGUACAUCCUCUUUUCAUAGAUGGAGAUGAUGUCAUUGGUGGACUGUGCUAGGUUGCAAGCAUCAAAGAUCACUCGUGACCUUUGUUUCGUCGCCCAGAACUCCUGAUUACUACUCAAAAAGCACUAUUCUAUAGCUUGAAACUAACUGUUUUAAAGACUUUUGAGUAGUAGUUAAUACCUUUUAACUCAAUUCGCACAUUAAGAAACCUAACAAAGGUUACUAAUCAGUUUUGGGUAAGUUUUGGUAUUUUUGGUAGCUAUUUGAUCAUUGAAACAAACCAAGAAUGAGGAGAAGUUGGUGAAAUCCAUGGCAAUGCAAGUUAAAGCUCAAAUGCAUGAAGAAUCCAAGCUUUGGAGCACUUCAUAGCCCUUUGCCAAACCAAUAAGAGAUACAAGGAGGAAAGCCAAAGGAAGAAAUCCAACAACAAGCAGUUUCGCAUGGUGUGCGAAAUUUCGCACACCAUGCGAAACCUCUUGAGGCAACCAGAGAAAUUUCGCACACCAUGCCAAAUUUCGCAUGGUAUGCGAAAUCUUCCCGUGCACCGACUACGUUAGAUUUUUAUCUUCAGAUAUUUUGUGUAAUUUCCUAGUUUCUCCUUGUAACCAACCUAGAUAUUUUCUUUUAUAUCUUUCUAUAUAUCUUUUAUGUAGCAGAUAUAUAAGGAGAGAGAUAGGUGUGAUAUGAGGAUGUAUGUUUUUCAUUAAACACUUGUAAUUUCCCGUAGUAAGAAAUAUACAGAGUUUUGCUCUUCCUUUCCUUCUCAUUUUGUCUUCACUUUUCUUACUAGCUAAACAACCUCUAAGGAUGAUUUCUCAGGGGAUGAGUGGCUAGGUUUUACUUUUCUUGGAGUGAUGGAAGUUAGGUGAAAGACCUGAAUGCAAAUGUGGGAGUUGUCCUUGCUUUAAAUGACAAUAGUUGUUAACCAUCAAUGGUUUCUAUUUCAAGGUUUAUCCUUAAAUCCCUUAAAAUCACCUUGAAUGGCCAAUACUUGGUAAGCUUUUCAGAUUCCAUGGAUGCUUAUUGCUAGAUCCAUUGAUGUCUAUUAGUUAUCAUUUACGAGCCAUUGGAAGGUGGUUCAAGGUGAGAGUCUUUAGUGUUUGAAGCCAUUAAUGGGAAGCGACUAUCAUUUUCCAUGAAACCUUUGGAUCAAAUCUAAUUGUUAAAUAUAAAACCGGUUUGGAAGAUAACCAUCCUUUAUGUUAUUAUCCCAAAUGCGAGGAGAAGAUCCGGAAUCUCCCCCUUUGCCUAAGGAAACCGAUCCUAAUGACCUACAUCUCCAAGAGACCUUUUCUUUGUAGUUAAUUUCACAUAUUGUUUCUCUUAACUUAAAAUCAAUCUUUGCAACCACAAUUCCAUUUUCUUUUAAAGCUAACUUUCAUAAGAAAAAGCACCAUGUUAUUUCCUUCAGUUAAGUCAACUAUACGAUGAAAACCCAUCUCUGUGGAUGAUCUUAGAGCCACUAUACUAUGUUAGCUAUGCUACCCUAGUGUGAGGUGAUUUAGGUUUUAUAAAUUUUGUUGAUAACACCCGUCUGAGCCAAAAUCAAAUGGCAUGACUGCAAUGGGGACGAAUCAACUCCUUUGAGACACUCCGACAUCGGUCUUCAUAACAUCUUCAACGGUCUUCCACUGCAAUUUUCGAAUCAGAUUACACAAUGAAUGUAUGAGACCAUCUGUGUUGAGAGGAGAUGAGGAUGGAAUUUCAGUUUGUUAUCCGUGGACUGAUCUCGGUGAGAAGUGGGUCCUUGGCGGGACUUCAAUGGUGCGGCUGAGUUGGAACCUUCCUCUCAUCCAAUGGUGCAGUUCAGUUGGAACCUUUCAAUGAUGCUACUGCAUUUCUUUUCUCUCUCUGAUACAUACCUUUCUUUCCUUCCUUCAUCAGUGUGGUUGUUCCGGAAUUACUCCCAAUGGUGCGACUGCCUUUCUCAUCUUCAAAUUCAAUAAGGUAGGUAUGUACUCAUCUUCCUGAUUCGUUCCCAAUUGGUGUCUCAGCUGAUUCAUGUCCAGCUGGUGCUCUUUGAUUGAGAGAGUAAUCAACAAAAUUUAUAACCUAUAUCACCAUGCAUUAGGAUAGCUUAGCUAAUAUAGCAUAGUGGCUCUAGGAUCGUUCACUGGGAAGGUUUUUCAACUCUCAACGGAUACCAAUUCAAAGUAAAUUGGUGCUUUUUCAUUUCAAGGUUAGCUUAAGAAAUAAACACAAACUUUGUUUAAAUGAGGUUUUGUUUAAAGCUAACUAAAAAGAAAGUAAUGGAAAUUACUUAUGAAGAAAAACAUUCCUUGGAGGUUUAGGUUCACAAGGGAGGUUCCUUAUGCAAAAACAGAGCUCCGGUCAUUUGGUUCGUUUCCUUGCAUUAGAGAAUUAACAUAUAGUCAAUUCUCUAACCGGUGUUGUACAGAUGUAACCUUUAAAUGGAUUUCAGCCCUAAUUCCCUCUCACUAAUGCAACUUGCAAUGGCUCGUGCCUCUCACCUAGCAUUUGCCAUUCAAGGUGAUCUUUAACUUUGGACUUCCCUUCUCAAGCUCGCAAGAGAUAACUAAUGGAUGUCUCCUUGGAGUCUAAAAGCUUACCAAGUGUUGGCAAUUCUAGAAAAUCCUACCUUCAAGCCACUUCCCAAAAGCUCGCAAGAGAUAAACAAGUGCAUCUCCAUGGACGGAGAUCACGUGCCUUACCACGUGUUGGCUCAAGUGAAUUGAAGGUGUUUUAAGUUAACUAAAAGCAUAGAAAUCAUUAAAGGAUCACACUUUCUCUUCAUUAAUGAUUUAAACCAAAAAGCUACCAAUUCAUGCACUUGGAACCUUUCCCGGCAACCUUAACUCCAAGGAACUAAAAGUCUAGCCACUCAUUCUCUGAGGAAAAUUCCUCAUAGCUUGUUUGGCUAGAAAGAAAACUAACGAGAAAACAAUUAUAUGAAGGAAAAACAGAGCAAGUGCUCUGUAAAAUAUAUUUCUUCCUUUCGCCGAUUACAUAAUAGAUAUCUUUGUAAAGAAAAUUACAAACUAUAUAUAUGAGGUUAUUCACCCUUUUCCUUGCUUAAAGACUAAGGAAUCCUAUGAUAGGUGGGUUACAAGGAGACUUUGGGGAUUUAGACAACAAAUAUCUAAAGCAAAAUAUCCCAAAAUAUCUCAAAAAUGUCGGUCGGAAAUAUCAGGAAGCUUCAGGAGAACACCGUUGCACUGUAUACUGAGAGAAAAACUCUCAUGGUAAGCGUUAUCAGAAGGUCCGGAUAUGUCUAUCCGGAGAAGUUGAAGCGUCCUCCUCUCCCAUUCAGCUGUGAGAUAUCCGGAUGUAAAAUGUCGGCGCACGCCAUGCUAUCCGGAGCAACUCCAUCCGGAUUCCCCAUCCGAGUGUGAGAUAUCCGCGCCGUCAGUCUAUCCGGAUCAACUCCAUCUGGAUUCCUCCAGAGGACAUGUGGGGGCUACCUUAUCCGGACUCCGAGAGGGAGAAGCACACGAAACUCGUGAACAUCACACCCGGACGAUAGCAUAUCCUAUCCGGAUAUGUUAUCCGGAAACUGACCAUGUUCCGCCGCCAUCCUGUCCGGACGCCUUGUCCGGACAUCUUUUACUCCUUGCAUUCCGGAUUGCUUAUGGAAAAGGACUUCAAAGCUUUAGUCCUUCGUGUUUCUGGACUUUCUAUUGCUUUGCCAUGGAUUCCAAAGAACUCUCCUCAAUCUCUGAUUGCUUUGGUGAUCAAAAAGCUAUCAAAACACCAAAACUUAACACAAUUUGAUUAGAAUUGAUUGCAAGGGUCCUUAAUAUGUUAAUUGGGUUAAAAGACGAUAACUACUACUCAAAAAUAUUUAAAAGAGUUAAUUACAUGCUAUCAAAUAGCACUUUUUGAGUAGUAAUCACUCCCCUCCCUUAGCAAUGAAGGAGUGAAAAAUAAAAAUAAAAAGUAUUAUAAUUUACAACAUCAUGCUGAUCAAAAAAACAAUUUUCAAGUGGCAUGAUGAUCUAACUCUCACAUGGAACAUUAAAGAAAUAAAAUUCAAACUUCAACAAGAUUUAUCAAAUAACUUGUCUAAUCACAAUUCUUAAAGAGAAGGCAUUACGCAAAUUUAAGCUUUAAAAGAGUUUCCGCUCCCAAAGGGUCAAACCUUACUCUUCCACAAAAAUCUAAGUGUUACUUAUUAGUUUCCGAAUAUAGUAUGUUGAACUAAUCUCUCCCCCUAACCUAGUUCUUUUUCAAAGCUUAGCAAGCUGAUCAACCUCCAAUAAGCUAAGAACGCACCUCUUUUUUCACAAUUUUUUCAUUGUAGGAGUACAAGGCUAAAGGUAUUUUUUUCUAAAUUGUCCAUGUAACGGGGGUCCAUCGAUGACUCCUAACCAAUUAAGGUUUAGGGCAUCAAGCUUUAAGGAUCUUUCAACCACUAACUCCUCGGAUUUUACCCCAAACUUUUGAGAAUGAAUUUUAAUACCCAAGCACCUACAGUAUAUUAAACUCCACCUAUUCACCCUUGUAACGAGCAUUGAGGUCGGUAACUCUCAACCAAUGAAGGCUUAGGGCACCAGGUUUUAAAGAUUUUCACCAUAUACCCCUCAGACCUUGCUCGGGUUUCAAGGCAAGUAAACAUUUUUCUUUUUUUUUUUCUCUUUUUUUUCAAAGGCUCAUUGGCCUUUUAUAAAGUGUCCCAACACUAUUAAAAUGAGGCCAAAGGUACCAAGUCUAAAAUUUUCCUAAGUCAAGAGGGAAAUAGUUUUUCAUCUUAUAAUCGGAACCUAUUGUGCACAGUGUGUGAAUAGCUUAAAGUGGAAGAACUAAGGUUGAAUUCAAUAGAAGCUUCAACAAUUCAUCAACUUUAGUAAGCAUAAUACAAAAUCUAAGUCAAGUGAAAAAAAAAUUCAAUUUCUCUCAUUUCAUUUUGAAAAUUUUUCCUUAAUAACCAUGGAGACUAAAAUAAAAAACUUUAAAAAUUUUAAAAUUAAGCAAAAAAUAACUAAAUUACCAAAAUAACUUAGCAUUUAUAACAAAAACUUCAUUCCUCAACUCUCCUCCCAACCAAACUGAACAUUGUCCUCAAUGUUAUCAAAAACGAUUGAAAAAUAGGGAGGAAGUGGUACCUCCUGAGUGACAUGGAGUGAUGCUGUGGAAAUAAUGGCUCAGCUGUCUCUCCUAUAGGAGGCUCCGGAUGAGGCAAAGGCUGAUCAACAAAAGGAGGGGCCUGUGAUGGCUCUGAGGAGCUGGGAGCAACUUCUUUCAAUUUUCUUGCAAUACCUCCUGAUUUUAAUCAUUCAAAAAGUUAAUUACAAUUAACAUAAUUUAAGACCAAAAUUACAAUCAAAUAAUUUACAAAACUUAAAAAUUAACAUAUUUAACAAAAUUAUGGACUUCGGUGAAACCAAGUCCAUCUAAUCCUUCUCUGAUCAGGAUUUUUGUGGCUCAAGGAGGUUGAUUUCCUCAUUUUCUGGCUUGAACGGCUCAAUGAAUGGCUUGAGGCGAUGACCAUUGACUUUAAAGGUGUCUAUGCCAUUGGAAUGUAGUAAUUCCACCACUCCAUUGAGGUGUACAUGGUGAAUAAUGAAAGGACCUAUCCACCUUGACUUGAGCUUCCCUGGAAAGAUAUGGAGCCUUGAGUCAUAGAGUAGAACUCUUUGUCCCUUCCUCAAUUCUUUGUUGGAGAUUAGUUGAUCAUGCCACUUCUUCAUCCUCUGUUUUGCAACUUUGGAAUUGAUGUAAGCAUCAUUUCUUAAUUCCUCCAUCUCAUUAAGGUCUAAGAACCUCUUUGCCCCAACUCUGAUCCAGUCCAUGUUCAACCUCUUGAUUGCCCACCAAGCCUUAUAUUCAACUUCCACAGGGAGGUGGCAUGCUUUGCCAUAGAUGAGACGAUAGGGGGACAUGCCAAGAAUAGUCUUAUAAGCUGUUCUAUAUGCCCAUAAUGAAUCAUGUAGCUUAAUUAACCAAUCUUUUCUGCUUGUAAUCACCACUUUCAUCAGUAUGUUCUUUAUUUCCCUGUUUGCUAGCUCUACUUGCCCGGAAGUUUGAGGAUGAUAAGGUGUAGCUAUCUUAUGCUUCACUCCAUACUUGGCUAAUAAGGCUUCAAAAGGUUUGUUGCAAAAAUGAGUACCUCCAUCACUGAUUAUGGCCUUGGGCACCCCAAAUCUUGAGAAUAUGUUCUCCUUAAGGAAUUUGAGAACCACCCUAUGAUCAUUAUGUUUACAGGGGAUUGCCUCCACCCAUUUGGAAACAUAGUCCACCCCCACAAAUAUAUAAGAGUUACCAAAGGACAUUGGGGAAAGGUCCCAUGAAGUCAAUACCCCAAACAUCAAAAAGAUCAACUAUAAGGAUGGGGUUCAUGGGCAUUUAGUUUCUUUUUGUAAGCUUCCCGAGUCUUUGGCAUCUAUCACAACUCCUACACAUGAUGUGGGAAUCUUUGAAAAGCGAUGGCCAAGUAAACCUUGAUUGCAAGACCUUCAUGGCUGUUUUUUGAGAGGCAAAGUGGCCUCCACAGGCAUUCUCAUGGCAAUGGCUAAGGAUCCCUUGUUGCUCUUCUUCAGGGACACACUUCCUUAUGAUCUAAUCUGCACAAUACUUGAAAAGAAAAGGCUCUUCCCAAUAAUAAGCAUGAAUCUUUGCAAAGAACUACUUCUUGUCUUGCGCUUUCCACUCACUUGGAACUUCACCAGUAACCAAAUAGUUAGUAAUAUGAGCAUACCAAGGAGCUUUCUCUAACAACAUAAGUGAUUCCACGGGAAAGUCAUCAUUAAUAGGUAAUACAUGGGAAUUAUGUGCUAUAGCCAACCUUGAAAGGUGGUCAGCUACCACAUUCUCCACCCCUUUCUUGUCUCUGAUUUGGAGAUCAAACUCUUGUAACAAAAGAAUCCAUCUAAUCAACCUUGCUUUUGCAUCUUGCUUUGUCAAUAAAUACUUCAAGGCCGAAUGGUCAGUGAAAACAAUGAUGAAAGACCCUACCAAAUAAGCACGAAACUUGUCUAAAGCAAACACCACAACUGACAAUUCUUUCUCUGUAGUUGUGUAGUUUCUUUGAGCCUCGUUCAAUGUUUUGCUUUCAUAGUAGAUCACAUAGGGCUUCCCAUCUUCUCUUUGGCCAAGUACAACUCCUAUAGCAAAGUCACUAGCAUCACACAUUACUUCAAAGGGUAAUUGCCAGUUAGGAGCCCUUACUAUUGGAGCGGUUGUCAAAAAUUGCUUCAAUUGAUCAAAAUUGUUUUGACAUCUUUCAUCCCAGACAAACUUAGCAUCCUUAGCUAAAAGUUCACAAAGAGGCCUUGAAAGCUUAGAGAAGUCUUGUAUAAAUCUCCUGUAGAACUUUGCAUGGCCAAGGAAUUGCCUUAUUUCUUUUACAGUGGUUGGGGAUGGCAAUUUGGCAAUAAGUUCCACCUUUGCUUUAUCAACUUCAAUGCCUUUCUCUGAGAUGAUAUGGCCAAGGACAAUUCCUUGACGUACCAUAAAAUGGCAUUUCUCCCAGUUGAGCACCAAGUCUUUUUCAAUGCAUCUUUUAAGAACCGCUUCCAAAUUUACUAAGCAUUCUUCAAAUGUACUUCCAUAUACGGUGAUAUCAUCCAUGAAAACCUCCAUAAUUCACUCCACCAUAUCACUGAAGAUACUAAGCAUACAUCUUUGGAAUGUUGCAGGUGCAUUGCAUAAACCAAAAGGCAUUUUUCUAUAGGCGUAUGUUCCAAACGAACAUGUGAAAGUGCUCUUCUCCUGAUCUUCAACAUCAAUUUCAAUUUGGAAAUACCUUGAGUACCUGUCUGAUUACUACCAAAAAGUGCUAUUUUGUAGACCUAAUUAUAAUGGUUUUAAGCACCUUUGAGUAGUAAUCAUAUUCAUUUAACACAAUUAAUUCAUUAAGGUCCUUAGUUAAUUGGUUUUAACCAUUUUGUGGCAAGUUUACAUGUUUUUAUCAGCUUAUGAAUCAAUUCAAGCAUGCCAAAUGAUGGAGGAGCUACUUGGACAAGUUAUGGCAAAGCUUUUGGAAGCUCAAAUUCAUGAAGAACCAAGCUUUGGAGCUCCAUAGCCCUUUGCCAAAGUCGUUCAAAGUAUGCAAGGAGAGAAGCAAAGUGAAGAGAAGCAAAGAGGACAGCAGCUGCAGUCUUCUUUCGCACUUUUGGAGCACUUUCCGAAGUCCAUUUUAUACAUGCUAUAUACCAUUUCAAAUCUCAGGAAGUCAAGAAUCCAACGCUUCAAACCGUGUACAAUUUGGAGCUGAAAUGAGGAAGAUAUGGCCUUCGGAAGCCAACUGCUCCAGGUUGUGCGAAAAUUUCGCACGACACAAGGUGUUAUGCGAAAUUCGCAUAACACCUUCAAAAUUUGCAUAACCCAUGCGUGGUGCGAAUUUUCCUCUGUUUUUGCCGACUCCACUUUAGAUAUUUUCCUUUGUAUUUUUUGAUGUAAUUUCCUUUCCUAUCCUUGUAACUAACCAAUCACAAGCUUUUGCUUUUGUAAAGACUAUAUAAGGGGUGGAAAUCACCUCUUGAAAUAAUAGAAGAUAUAUUACGUUUUACACUUAAAAUAUAUACGGAGCUCUCUCAUUUCUCUUUUCUCUUCCCCAUUUCUAUUUUCUUAGUAGCCAAACAGUCUCUGAGGGCUUUUCCUCAGAGGAUGAUUGGCUAAAACUUUUAGUUUCUCAAAGUAUGGAUGUUAUGUGAUGGCUUGGAUGCAAUCCCAUGGAAAUUUUUCGCACCCGGAAGGUAAGGUAGUCGUUUUUCAUUAAAGGCUCAUUAAUGCAAAGUUUGGUUUUUAUUUCCUUUGGACAACUUCCAACGGCCAAUACUUGAUAAGCUUUUGGAUUUCUAUCCAUUAGUUAUCUCCUACGAGCUAUUGGAAGGUGAGGUUUUCAAUUCCAAGUUUUGCAUUAAUCCGUUAGAACCAAUUUCAAUGGCCAUUGAAAGGUGAGUUUAUCACUUGGAAUGACUUUGAGUUGCCAAUAUUUGGUAAGCUUUUGGCUUUAGACCAUUAGUUAUCUCUUACGAGCCAUUCAAAGGAAGUCUAAGGUGAAUAACCAUUGAUGAAAUUCACUACCAUCUGUUUUGUCAUUUUAAAGGAUUAAAACUUGAUUUGCUAAAUCCAUACCGGUUCGAGAAGCAAGCAUCACCAUAGUUGCAACCCCAACGCGAGGAGCCUAUCCUAAGAUUUCCAAUUUGCAUAAGAGUCAGAGCAUAGCUAUCCUAUCUUUGAGAAACUUGUUUUUACACCCUUUCAUUUUAAUCUUUAAUGUUAGCUUAGAUUAGUUUAAAUCUUUCUAAAACAUUUACAUCUUCUUUUAAAGCUAACAUCCAUAAGAAAAUCAUCUAUUUUCCUAAUUUGAAUAUCACUAGUGUUUGCGAAAACCCUUCCCAGUGAACGAUCCUAAAACCACUAUGCUAUAGUAGCUUGGCUACUUUAGUAAUAGUAUUCAAGGUAUAAAUUUUGUUGAUACGCCUUUAAAGCUAAGCUACCAUGAGUCGAAUCAAAUGGCGCCGUUGCCGGGGAUCGACCAUGAGUCGAAUCAAAUGGCGUCGUUGCCGGGGAAGGUGCCACAAGCACAGUGAAGCAACCAUUAAGGGUAACUUGUGAUCUUCAUCACAAAUUUGGUGAGUUUUCUUAUAAUUUUUUUUUUAGUUUAGUUUUUAUUUAGUUAAAUUUUUUUUAUUCUCUUUUCUUUUAUUUUUGUUUUAAUUUCAAUUUGUGCAUUCCUUAUUGGAUUCGAGACCAAGAGAGAACCCUGGUACAAGUUGAAGAAAAGAGCCUUAGUUGAAUAUCAUUUUUUUAGAAAUGGAAAGUCUACAUGAAGAUCAAAGCUCUCAUUAUGAUCAUGAGAAGGACAAAUUCGCAUACCUAUCCAUGAGGGAUCGGAUUGAAUUAGGGAAAAGGCAAGUUCAACAAAGCCAAUGAGGUAGUAAGUAUGCUUUGAAUGGAGAUGAUUCAUAUGAGCAUAAGGUAAGGGAGUGCCCUACCAUUCCAACUGUGAGAGACAUGUACGGUUACCAAAGCUCCUACACCUCAAGUUGGAAUAACCAUCCCAACCUUACAAGCCAACCUCAACCUCAACCAUCAAUGAGUACAUUUUCAUUGGAGCAAGCCAUUUUGAAGAUAAGCAAAGUCAUGGAGGACUUUGUAGGUGAGCAACAAAAGAUCAGCUCUCAUCUUAAUGAAAAGAUUGAUAAUUUGGAGAGUUCAAUGAAUGUAAGAAUGGAGGGGGUUUAUAAUGAUCUAUCACUAAGGAUAGAAAAAGUUCAAGACUCCAUUGAGAAGCUCACCAAUCUUGACAUAGCAAGGGGGAAAAGGAAGCUUCCUCCUCAACCCCACCAUAACCUUCAAGGAACCAAUGCAAAAAGAUCAAGGAAAGUGUUGAAGAUCGACACUUUGGUGGGGGAUUGCUAUGACAACUCUAUGGACCAACCUUCCAUUGAAAAUCGUAAGAUUCAAGAUGACAAAGGGUUACUUGAACCCUUUAAAGCAUCCACUUCUCUGGGGAAGAGAAGAAAAAAAAAUUCCCUUGGACCAAAUGGGAAGGAUGCCAAUUUCGUUUGGGAUCCAGGGGGAAUUCAGCAUGAAGUGGGUGUGUGAGUGAGGAUGAGCUAAAUAGUUCAUCUUCUUUUUGGGGUACAUGCUAUCAGCUUCAUUUAAAUUUAUGCAUGUUUUAGUUUGAAUUCUUAGCUUUAAUUUAGUUUUAAUAUGUUUUUAAGAUGAGUUUUGAAGUGUUCAUGCAGGUAUGAUCCUUGCAAAAAUCGAAGUUAUGGUGAAAACAAGGGAAAACAGGGGAGAAAAGCCAAAACAGAGCAAUUCGCACCACCCCAUUUCGGCAACUGUUGGGAAUAUUUCGAUCACUUCCCGAAGUUCAUUUCAUGCGUACUAUAUCUCGUUUCAAAUCUUGGGAAGUCAGGAGUCCAUAGGUUCAAACAGUGCUCGAUUUGGAGUUGAAACGAAGAAGUUAUGGCCGUUUGAAGAUGACUAUGCAAAGCUAAACGGGAAUGUUGCAGCCGCACCCCAUUUUGCUACUGUUGGACACGUUUUUGGAGCACUUUAUGGAGCUCAAAUUAUGCAUACCAUAUCUCGUUUUGAAGCUUAGGAAGUCAGGAGUCCAGUGCUUUAAACGGUGUGCAAUUUGGAUUUGAAACAAAGAAGUUAUGACCAUUUGAAAGAAUCCAAUUUUGCAUUUGGGCGGAUGAAUAGUGCCUUGUGCGAAAUUUUCGCACCACUCUUCCUUUGUGCGAAUUUUUUAGCUUCUUCAUCCCUACCCUUCCCAAUCCCAAGCCUUUGAGCCUUGUCCUCAGCUGCUCAAAGUGGGACCCACUCAUCAUUUUUGUAAAUAUUUAGUAUAAAUUCCUCUCUCAUUCAAUUUUUGAAUUUUGAAACAGGUGGUUUACCUUCUCAACUCCAAGUCCACAUCACAUGAGGUGGUUCAACCUUCUCAACUCCAAGUCCACAUCACAUGAGGUACCACUUCCUUCCUCCUUAUUUUUGAUUCAAACAUUGAGGACAAUGUUCAUCUCGGUUGGGGAAAGAGAUGAGGAAGUAAGUAUUAGUUUAAAUUUUUAUCAUACUUAGUUAAAUUAGCUACUUUUUGUUUAAAUUUUAAAAUUUUUGCUUUAAACUCCAUGGAUAUUAAGGAUUAACUCUCAAAAUUAAAUGAGAGAAGUCGAGUUUCAACUUGAUUACAUGAGUCUUAGACUUUGUAUUAUGCUCUUCUAAAAGUUGAUGAAUUGUUGAAACUCCCAUUGCAUGCAAACUUAUCUCUUCCACCUUAAGCUAUUCGCACACACAUACAUUAGAUUCCGGUUAUAAGAUGUGAAACUAUCUCACCCUCUAAGCUUGAGAAAUCAUAAUUUGACACCUUUAACCUCUCUUUAAUAGUGUUGGGACACCUCAUAAAGACCAAUGAGUCUUUGAAAAAAAUAGAAAAAGAAAAAGAAAAAGAAAAAGAAAAAGAAAAAAAAUAGAAUAAACUUCUUUGCUUGCCUUGAAACUUGAGCAUGGUCCGAAGGGGUGGCGAAAGCCUUUAAAGCCUGGUGCCCUAAGCCUUUAUUGGUUGGGAGUCACCGAUCCUCUGCUUGUUACAUGGGUGAAUUGGUUAAGUUUAGUAAGUGAAAAGAAUUGUGAAUAAGAGGUGCGUUCCUAGCCUAUCAAGAGAUGGUUAAUUUUGCUAAGAUUAAAGAAAGACUUAGGUUGGGGGGAGAUGAUAGUUAUCCAUACUAUACUUGGAAGAUAAUCAUAUUAACACUUAGCUUUUAGUGGAAGAAUUUGAUUUGGAUCUUUUGAGAGUGGAAAUUCUUUUGAUGCUUAAACUUGCAUAAUAUCCAUUCUUUGUACUCUAUGAUCAAGUGAAUGCUUUGACAACUCUUAUUAUAGGUUGAGUUUCACAUCUUUAUUGAUCCAUGGAUAUCCAUCAUGCCACUCAUAUCAUUUUUUGGAGUGAUUUGCAUGAUCCCUUUUAUGUAUAUUAUUAUAGUUUACUUAGUUUUUAUCUCCUCCAUUGCUAAGGGACUAGCAAUGAGUCGGUUGGGGGGUGAAUCUAAGUGUUAUUUAUUAGUUUCCGGAUAUAGUAUGUCAAACUAAUCUCUCCCCUCAACCUAGUUCUUUUCAAAGCUUAGCAAACUAAUCAACCUCUAAUAGGCUAAGAACGCACCUCUUUUCUUUCACAAUUUUUUUCUUGUAGGAGUGCAAAGCUUAAAGGCAUUCUUUUCUAAAUUGUCCAUGUAAUGGGGGUCCAUCGAUGACUCCCAACCAAUCAAGGUUUAGGGCAUCAAGCUUUAAGGAUUUUUCAACCACUAACUCCUCGGAUUUCACCCCAGACUUUUGAGAAUGAAUUUUUAAUACCCAAGCACCUACAACAUGUUAAACUCCACCUAUUCACCCUUGUAACGAGCAUUGAGGUCGGUGACUCCCAACCAAUUAAGGCUUAGGGCACAGGUUUUAAAGAUUUUCACCAUAUACCCCUUAGACCUUGCUCGAGUUUCAAGGCAAGCAAACAUUUUUCUUUCUUUCUUUAUUUUCUUCAAAGACUCAUUGGCCUUUUACAAGGUGUCCCAACACUAUUAAAUGAGGUCAAAGGUACCAAGUCUAAAAUUUUCCUAAGUCAAGAGGGAAAUAGUUUUUCAUCUUAUAGAACAUGCGUGUUACGUUUUACACUGAGUGAUAUACAGAGCUCUCUCGUUUCUCUUUUCUCUUUACUAUUUUAUUUUCUUGGAAGCCAAACAGCCUCUGAGGGCUUUUCCUCAGAGGAUGAUUGGCUAAAACUUUUAGUUUCUCAAAGUAUGGAUGUUAUGUGAUGGCUUGGAUGCAAUCCCAUGGAAAUUUCUCGCACUUGGAAUGUAAGGUAGUCGUUUUUCAUUAAAGGUUCAUUAAAUGCAAAGUUUGAUUUUUAUUUCCUUUGGACAACUUCCAACGGCCAAUACUUGACAAGCUUUUGGAUUUCUAUCCAUUAGUUAUCUCCUACGAGCUAUUGGAAGGUGAGGUUUUCAAUUCCAAGUUUUGCAUUAAUCCGUUAGAACCAAUUUCAAUGGCCAUUGAAAGAUGAGUUUAUCACCUGGAAACGUCCAAGAAACAAUAGAAAGGAUGGUGAUUACUACUCAAAAAGUACUAUUUCAUAGCCUGUAAUAAACUCUUUUAAACACUUUUGAGUAGUAGUUAUCACUUUUUAACCCAAUUAACAUAUUAAGGACCCUUGCAAUCAAUUCUAAUCAAAUCGUGUUAAGUUUUGGUGUUUUGAUAGCUUUUUUAUCACCAAAGCAAUCUGUGAUUGAGGAGAGUUCUUUGAAAUCCUUGGCAAAGCAAUGGAAGGCUCAGAAACAUAUAGAACCAAAGCUUUGCAGUCCUUUGCCAUAAGAAAAUCCGGAAUACAAGGAGUAAAAGAUGUCCGGACAGGGCAUCCGAACACACCAUUAGAGAACGGCGGAACGUGGGCUGUAGCAAGGCUCGCUCACUCACUUUAGUCAAUGUUUUCCAUACGGACAACACAUCCAGAUAGGAUAUACUCUUGUCUGGGUGUGAUGUUCACGAGUGCUGUGUGUCUUUCCGCUUGGAGAAGUUGGAUAGCAUUGCGCCGCCUUUUCAUUUGGGGAAUCCGGAUGGAGUUGAGCCAGAUGGGUCCCUACACCUUGUACAUGCAGACGGUCCCCCUUGUGCAGCAUAGCUCAUUCUAGCCGGGGAGGAAUUCCGUGCGCCGACAUUUUACAUCCAAAUAUCUCACAAUCGGAUGGGAAAGGAGGACGUUUCAACUUCUCCUAAUAGACAUGUCCGGAUUCUCUGGUAAUGCCUACUCGGUCAGACAUGCACAGCUGCAGUGUUCUCUUGAAGCUUCCUGAUAUUUCUGACCGAAAUCUUGAGAUAUUUUCGACCGACAUUUUGUGAUAUUUUGGGAUAUUUUGCUUUAGAUAUUUGUUGUCUAAAUUCCCAAAAUAUCCUUGUAAUCCACCUAUCAUAGGAUUCCUUAGUCUUUAAGUAAGUAUAAAGGGUGAAUAACCUCAUAUAUAUAGUUUGUAAUUCUCUUUACAAAAGAGGAUCAUCUAAUAUAUGAUCAAUUAUGUAAUCGAUAGAAGAAAAAAAUAUAGUAGAGAGCAUUUGCUCUAUUUUUCCUUGAUAUAUUUGUUUUCUCGUUAUUUUUCUUUCUAGCCAAACAGGCUUUGAAGAAGUUUCCUUAGAGAAUGAGUGGCUAGACUUUUAAUUCCUUGGAGUUAAGGUUGUCGGGAAAGGUUCCAAGUGCAUGAAUUAGUAGCUUUGUGGUUUCAAUCAUUAAUGAAGAGAAGUGUGAUCCUUUACUGAUUUCUAUGUUUUUAGUUAACUUAAAACACCUUCAAUUCACUUGAGCCAACACUUGGUAAGGCCAGUGAUCUCCGUCCAUGGAGAUGAACUAGUUUUCCUCUUACGAGCUUUUGGGAAGUGACUUGAAGGUAGGAUUUUCUAGAAUUGCCAACACUUGGUAAGCUUUUGGACUCCAAGGAGACAUCCAUUAGUUAUCUCUUGCGAGCUUGAGAAGGGAAGUCCAAAGUUAAAGAUCACCUUAAAUGGCAAAUGCUAGGUGAGAGGCACGAGCCAUUGCAAGUUGUAUCAGUGAGAAGGAAUUAGAGCUGAAAUCCAUUUAAAGGAUACCUCUGUACAGCACCGGUUAGAGAAUUGACUAUAUGUUAAUUCUCUAAUGCGAGGAAAUGAACCAAAUGACCGGAGCUCUCUUUUGCAUAAGGAACUUCCCCUAUGAACCUAAACCUCCAAGGAAUGUUUUUCUUCAUAAGUAAUUUCAAUUACUUUCUUUUUAGUUAGCUUUAAACAAAACCUUUUUCAACCAAAGUUUGUGUUUUAUUUCUUCAGAUAACCCUGAAAUGAAAAAGCACCAAUUUACUUUGAAUUGGUAUCAGUUGAGAGUUGAAAACCCUUCCCAGUGAACGAUCCUAGAGCCACUAUGCUAUAUUAGCUAAGCUAUCCUAAUGCAUGGUGAUAUAGGUUAUAAAUUUUUUUGAUUACUCUCUCAAUCAAAGAGCACCAGCUGGACAUGAAUCAGCUGAGACACCAAUUGGGAACAAAUCAAAUGGCGCUGUUGCCGGGAAAGGUGCCAACUUCAUAUUGAUAUUAUUUCAGGGUACUUGUGGUUUUCAUCACAAGUUUGGUGAGUUUUCUGUUAUUUUACUAACUCUUUUAGUUGCUUCUUUUACUUGUUCAUAUUCUAGCAUAGAUUUUUAUUUAGUUUUAGUUAAUUGAACUCUUUUUGGUAGUUUUGUUUUUUGUUUUCCUCUGUUUUCGUUUUUGUUUUUUUUAGUUACAGUUGAUACUAGUUGUGUAUUCCAAAGUGGAUACGAGAUUGUGGAGGAAGGCUUGUUAAAUUUGAAAGACCUCAUAACAAGGAGUUGGAAGUAAUCUUGAACAUCAUGGAGACUACAUCUGAGGAUCAGCAUAGUCACCAUGAUCAUCAAGACAAUCCCAAUGAAUUCAGAUCGAUGAGGGACCGUAUGCAUCCACCUCGUAUGAGUGCACCAUCAUGUAUAGUGCCCCCUAUAGAGCAGCUAGUGAUCAGAUCCCAUAUUGUGCCACUUUUGCCAACUUUCCAUGGAAUGGAAAGUGAGAAUCCCUAUGCCCAUAUCAAGGAAUUUGAAGUUAUUUGUAAUACAUUCCGAGAGGGAGGAGCUUCUAUCGACCUGAUGAGGCUUAAAUUAUUUCCUUUUACUUUAAAGGAUAAGGCCAAGAUUUGGCUUAAUUCUUUAAGGCCAAGGAGUAUCCGUUCUUGGACUGAUUUACAAGCUGAAUUCCUCAAGAAGUUUUUUCCUACUCACAGAACAAAUAGCUUGAAAAGGCAAAUUUCAAACUUCUCAGCUAAAGAGAAUGAGAAAUUCUAUGAGUGUUGGGAAAGAUACAUGGAAGCCAUUAAUGCUUGUCCUCACCAUGGCUUUGAUACAUGGCUGUUUGUGAUUUAUUUCUAUGACAGGAUGUCUUCCUCAAUGAAACAACUCCUUGAAACCAUGUGUGGAGGGGAUUUCAUGAGUAAGAAUCCUGAGGAAGCUAUGGAUUUCUUGAGUUAUGUAGCUGAAGUCUCAAGGGGAUGGGAUGAACCGAACAGAUGAGAAGUGGGAAAGAUGAAGUCUCAACCAAAUGCUCUUCAUGCUAAGGCUGGGAUGUACACCUUGAAUGAAGAUGUUGAAAUGAAAGCAAAAUUUGCAGCUAUGACGAGAAGAUUGGAGGAGCUAGAACUGAAAAAGAUGAAUGAAGUGCAAGUUGUUGCUGAAACACCAGUGCAAGUAAAGCCAUGUUCGAUUUGUCAAUCUUAUGAACACUUGGUGGAGGAGUGCCCUACAAUUCCAGUUGCUAGAGAAAUGUUUGGAGAACAAGCAAAUGUCAUUAACCAAUUCAAGCCCAAUAGCAAUGCUUCAUAUGGCAAUACUUAGAACUCAAGUUGGAGGAAUCAUCCAAAUUUUUCAUGGAAGCCAAGAGCACCUCAAUAUCAACAGCCGACUCAACCAUCUCAACAAGCUUCAAGUCUUGAACAAGCAAUAGUGAAUCUCAACAAGGUUGUGGGAGAUUUUUUUGGAGAACAAAAAUCCAUCAAUUCUCAACUCAGUCAAAGAAUUGAUAGUGUAGAGAAUACUUUGAAUAAAAGGAUGGAUGGGAUGCAAAAUGACUUAUCUCAGAAGAUAGACAAUCUCCAAUACUCAAUCUCAAGGCUCACUAAUUUGAACACAGUGCAGGAGAAGGGUAGAUUUCCUUCUCAACCUCACCAAAACCCCAAGGGUAUCCACGAGGUGGAAACUCAUGAGGGAGAAUCUUCACAAGUGAGAGAUGUUAAAGCCUUGAUCACUCUAAAGAGUGGUAAAAAGGUUGAGUCACCAACACCCAAGCCAUAUGCAGAAGAGAAGGAAGAAGAAGAGACAAAGAAGAGGGAGGAAAUGAAAGGAAGGAAGAAAGAUAACAGUGAAGGGAAGAAGGACCGUGAUUCCACAGUGAAUGCAAAUAUGGAGAAAGAGCUUAUUAAGGAAGAAUUGAUGAAGAAACGCACAUCUCCACCUUUUCCUCAAGCUUUGCAUGGGAAAAAGGGGAUAAAAAAUGCAUCAUAAAUCCUUGAAGUAUUGAGUCAAGUGAAGGUCAACAUUCCAUUGCUGGAUAUGAUUAAGCAAGUUCCAUCAUAUGCAAAGUUCCUAAAAGACCUAUGUACUAUCAAAAAAGGGUUGAAUGUGAAUAAGAAAGCCUUCUUGACUGAACAAGUGAGUGCCAUCAUACAAUGCAAAUCUCCUUUGAAGUACAAAGAUCCGGGAUGUCCUACCAUUUCAGUCAUGAUUGGAGGAAAGGUAAUGGAAAAAGCUUUGCUAGAUUUGGGAGCAAGUGUGAAUUUGCUACCAUACUCUGUUUAUAAGCAAUUGGGACUUGGUGAGUUAAAGCCAACGUCAAUCACCCUAUCUUUAACUGAUAGGUCAGUGAAAAUUCCAAGGUGGAUAAUUGAGGAUGUAUUAGUUCAAGUUGACAAUUUCUACUAUCCAGUAGAUUUUGUUGUUCUUGAUACUGAUCUUUUAGUUAAGGAAGCUAAUUAUGUUCCUAUCAUCCUUGGAAGGCCAUUUCUUUCUACUUCAAAUGCAAUCAUAAAUUGUAGGAAUGGACUUAUGCAACUCACUUUUAGCAACAUGACACUUGAGCUUAAUAUCUUUCAUAUGUCAAAGAAGCUAAUUACUCCAAAAGAAGAAGAAGGUCCAGAAGAGGUAUGCAUUAUUGACACUCUAGUGGAGGAGCAUUAUAAUAAGAAUAUGCAAGACGAGUUUAAUGAAAGUCUUGAGGAUCUUGAAGAGGGGUUGUGUGAAACCGCUGAUGUGCUUGCUACUCUAUAAGGCUGGAGGAGGAAAGAAGAGAUCUUACCUCUAUUCAAUAAAGAGGAAGGACAAGAUGAUGUAAAAGAAGAAUUCCCGAAGCUCAAUUUGAAACCUCUGCCCAUGGAGUUAAAAUAUACAUACCUGGAAGAAAAUAACCAAUGUCCUAUUGUUAUAUCUUCAUCUCUUACCAGUCAUUAGGAGAUUUCUCUACUGGAAGUUCUAAAGAGGUGCAAGAAAGCAAUAUGAUGGCAAAUAUCUGACUUGAAAGGAAUCAGUCCUUUGGUUUGUACACAUCACAUAUAUAUGGAGGAAGAAGCUAAACCAAUUCGUCAACCUCAAAGAAGAUUGAAUCCUCAUUUACAAGAAGUGGUGCGAACUGAGGUACUGAACCUACUCCAAGCGGGUAUUAUUUAUCCCAUAUCUGACAGCCCUUGGGUGAGUCCUACUCAAGUGGUACCAAAGAAGUCAGGUAUUACUAUGGUUCAGAAUGAAAAGGGAGAAGAAAUUGCUACACGCCUCACUUCAGGUUGGAGGGUGUGUAUUGACUAUAGGAAACUGAAUGUUGUGACAAGGAAAGAUCAUUUUCCACUCCCGUUUAUUGAUCAGGUGCUGGAGAGAGUCUCUGGCCAUCCUUUCUAUUGUUUCUUGGACGGGUACUCAAGGUAUUUCCAAAUUGAAAUUGAUGUUGAAGAUCAGGAGAAGACCACUUUCACAUGUCCGUUUGGAACAUACGCCUACAGAAGAAUGUCGUUUGGUUUAUGCAAUGCACUUGCAACAUUCCAAAGAUGUAUGCUUAGUAUCUUCAGUGAUAUGGUGGAGUGAAUUAUGGAGGUUUUCAUGGAUGAUAUCACCAUAUAUGGGUACAUUUGAAGAAUGCUUAGUAAAUUUGGAAGCGGUUCUUGAAAAAUGCAUUGAAAAAGAUUUGGUGCCCAAUUGGGAGAAAUGCCAUUUUAUGGUACAUCAAGGAAUUGUCCUUGGCCAUAUCAUCUCCAAGAAAGGCAUUGAAGUUGAUAAAGCAAAUGUGGAACUUAUUGCCAAAUUGCCAUCCCCAACCACUAUCAAAGGAGUAAGGCAAUUCCUUGGCCAUGUAAGGUUCUACAGGAGGUUUAUACAAGAUUUCUCUAAGCUGUCAAGGCCUCUUUCUGAACUUUUGGCUAAGGAUGCUAAGUUUAUCUAGGAUGAAAGAUGUCAAAACAGUUUUGAUCAAUUGAAGCAAUUUUUGACAACCACUCCAAUAGUAAGGGCUCUUAACUGGCAAUUACCCUUUGAAGUAAUGUGUGAUGCCAGUGACUUUGCUAUGGGAGUUGUACUUGGCCAAAGAGAAGAUGGGAAACCCUAUGUGAUCUACUAUGCAAGCAAAACAUUGAACGAAGCUAAAAGAAACUACACAACUACAGAGAAAGAAUUGUUAGCUGUGGUGUUUGCUUUAGACAAGUUUUGUGCUUAUUUGGUAGGGUCUUUCAUCAUUGUUUUCAUUGACCAUUCAGCCUUGAAGUAUUUAUUGACGAAACAAGAUGCAAAAGCAAGGUUGAUUAGAUGGAUUCUUCUGUUACAAGAGUUUGAUCUCCAAAUCAGAGACAAGAAAAUGGUGGAGAAUGUGGUACCUGAUCACCUUUCAAGGUUGGCUAUAGCGCAUAAUUCCCACGUAUUACCUAUUAAUGAUGACUUUCCCAAGGAAUCACUUAUGUUGCUAGAGAAAGCUCCUUGGUAUGCUCAUAUUGCUAACGAUUUGGUUACUAGUGAAGUUCCAAGUGAGUGGAAAGCGCAAGAUAGGAAUCACUUCUUUGCAAAGAUUCAUGCCUAUUAUUGGGAAAAGCCUUUUCUUUUCAAGUAUUGUACAUAUCAGAUCAUAAGGAAGUGUGUCCCUGAAGAAGAGCAACAAGGGAUCCUCAGCCAUUGCCAUGAGAAUGCCUGUGGAGGCCACUUUGCCUCUCAGAAAAUAGCCAUGAAGGUCUUGCAAUCAGGGUUCGCUUUUCAAAGAAUCCCACAUCAUGUGUAGGAGUUGUGAUAGAUGCCAAAGACUCGGGAAGCUUACAAAAAGAAACCAAAUGCCCAUGAACCCCAUCCUUAUAGUAGAUCUUUUUGAUGUUUGGGGUAUUGAUUUCAUGGGACCUUUCCUAAUGUCUUUUGGUAACUCCUAUAUAUUGGUAAGGGUGGACUAUGUUUUCAAAUGGGUGGAGGCAAUCCCCUGUAAACAAAAUGAUCACAGAAUGGUUCUCAAAUUUCUCAAGGAGAACAUCUUCUCAAGAUUUGGGGUGCCCAAGGCCAUAAUCAGUGAUGGAGGUACUCAUUUUUGCAACAAACCUUUUGAAGCCUUAUUAGCCAAGUAUGGAGUGAAGCAUAAGGUAGCUACACCUUAUCAUCCUCAAACUUCCGGGCAGGUAGAGCUAGCAAACAGGGAAAUAAAAAACAUACUGAUGAAAGUGGUGAUUACAAGUAGAAAAGAUUGGUCUAUUAAGCUGCAUGAUUCAUUGUGGGCGUAUAGAACAGCUUAUAAGACUAUUCUUGGCAUGUCUCCCUAUCGUCUCGUCUAUGGCAAAGCGUGCCACCUCCCUGUGGAAAUUGAAUAUAAAGCUUGGUAGGCAAUCAAGAGGUUGAACAUGGACUGGAUCAGAGCUGGGACAAAGAGGUGCUUAGAUCUGAAUGAGAUGAAGGAAUUAAGAAAUGAUGCUUACAUCAAUUCCAAAGUUGCAAAACAGAGGAUGAAGAAGUGGCAUGAUCAACUAAUCUCCAACAAAGAAUUGCGGAAGGGGCAAAGAGUCCUACUCUAUGACUCAAGGCUCCAUAUCUUUCCAGGGAAGCUCAAGUCAAGGUGGAUAGGUCCUUUCACCAUUCACCAAGUACAUCUCAAUGGAGUGGUGGAAUUACUCAAUUCCAAUGGCAUAGACACCUUCAAAGUCAAUGGUCAUCGCCUCAAGCCAUUCAUUGAGUCGUUCAAGCCAGAAAAUGAGGAAAUCAACCUCCUUGAGCCAUAGAAAUCCUGAUCAGAGAAGGGUUAGAUGGACUUGGUUUCACCAAAGUCCACAAUUUUGUUAAAUAUGUAAAUUAUUUUAUAGUAAUUUUGGUCUUAAAUUAUAUUAUAUUAAUAGUAAUGAUUAAAAUCAGGAGCAGAUUCUUGCCACUCAAGCCCAGCACACUGCCAUCCUGAGGCAGAUUCAGCAUCAAUUGGCAGUACAUCAGUUCCUGAGCAUGCCAUUCUUACCUCAUCUGGAGCCUCCUACAACGAGACAGUUGAGCCAUUAUUUCCACAGCAUCAUUCCAUGUCUCUAAGGAGGUACCACUUCCUCCCUAUUUUUCAAUCGUUUUUGUCACAUUGAGGACAAUGUUCAACUUGGUUGGGGGGAGAGUUGAGGAAGGAUGUUUUUGUUAUUAAUGCUAAGCUAUUUUGGUAAUUUAGUUGCUUUUUGCUUAAUUUUAAAAAAAUUUUAAGUUUUUAUUCUACUCUCCAUGGUUAUUAAGGAAAAAUUUUCAAAAUGAAAUGGGAGAAAUUGAAUUUUUGUCUUUUUACUUGACUUAGAGUUUGUAUUAUACUUACUAAAGUUGAUGAAUUGUUGAAGCUUCUAUUGAAUUCAAGCUUAGUUCUUCCACUUUAAGCUAUUCACACACUGUGCACAAUAGGUUCCGAUUAUAAGAUGAAAAACUAUUUCCCUCUUGACUUAGGAAAAUUUUAGACUUGGUACUUUUGACCUCAUUUUAAUAGUGUUGGGACACCUUGUAAAGGGCCAAUGAGUCUUUGAAAAAAAAAGAAAGAAAGAAAAAUAUUUGCUUGCCUUGAAACCCGAACAAGGUCUGAGGGGUAUAUGGUGAAAAUCUUUAAAACCUGGUGCCCUAAGCCUUCAGUGGUUGGGAGUCAUCGACCUCAAUGCUCGUUACAAGGGUGGAUAGGUGGAGUUUAACAUACUGUAGGUGCUUGGGUAUAAAAACUCAUUCUCAAAAGUUCGGGGUAAAAUCCGAGGAGUUAGUGGUUGAAAGAUCCUUAAAGAUUGAUGCCCUAAACCUUAAUUGGUUGGGAGUCAUCGAUGGACCCCCGUGAUUCUUGCCCACUUGGUGUAUCAGCUGAUUCAUGUCCAGCUGGUGCUCCUUGAUUGAGGUAGUAAUCAACAAAAUUUAUAACCUAUUACACCAUGAACUAGGUAGCAAAGACAAAGCUACUAUAGCAUAGUGGCUCUAAGAUCGUUCACUGGGAUGGGUUUUCACUUCACAAUUGAUAUCAAUUCAAAGUAAAUUGGUGUCUUUUCAUUUCAAGGUUAGCUUUAAAAGAAAACAUAAAGAUGUUUAAAUGAAAAAGGUUUGGUUUUAAACUAACCAAAAAUAGUAAUUGAUUUUACUUACAAAGAAAAGUGUUUCUUGGAGUUUUAGAUCACUAGGCUCAAAUUCAUCAUACAAAAAGGAGAGUUUCGAUCACUUGUUUCUUUUCCUCGCGUUAGAGAAUUAACAUAUAGUUAAUUAUCUAACUGGUGUGGUACAGAUGCUUCCCUUUAAUGGGUUCAAACACUAAAUCCCUCUCACUGAUGCAACUUGCAAUGGCUCGUGCCUCUCACCUAGCAUUUUCCAUUCAAGGUGAUCUUUAACCUUGGAUUUCCCUUCACAAGCUCGCAAGAGAUAACUAAUGGAUGUCUCCGUGGAGUCCAAAAGCUUACCAAGUGUUGGCAAUUCUAGAAAAUCCUACCUUCAGGUCACUUCCCAAAAACUCGCAAGAGGUAAAUUAGUGCAUCUCCAUGGACGAAGAUCACUUGCCUUACCAAGUGUUGGCUUAAGUGAAUUGAAGGUAUUUUAAGUUAACUAAAAAGAUAAAAACCAUUAACGGGUUACACUUUCUCUUCAUUAAAAACUAAAACAACAAAACUUCCAAUUUAUGCACGAGGAAACUUACCCGACUUUCUUCACUCCAAUAGACGAAGAGCCUAGCCACCAAUCCUCUGAGGAAAAAUCCCCAGAGUUUGGUUGCUAGAAAGAAAACUAACGAGAAAAAAAAUAUAGGAAAAACAGAGCAAGUGCUCUGUUCGUCGAUUUCACAUAUAUUAUAUGAUCAAUGAUAUAUUCGACAUAUGGAUCGAUGUUUUGUAAAGGAAAUUACAAACUAUAUAUAAGAGGUUAUUCACCCCUUGUUCUUACUUAAGGACUAAGGAAUCCUAUGAUAGGUGGAUUACAAGAAAACUUUGGGGAUUUAGACAAAAAAUAUCUAAAGCAAAAUAUCCCAAAAUAUCUAAAGCAAAAUAUCUCAAGAUGUCGGUCGGAAAUAUCAGGAAGCUUCAGGAGAACACCGCUGCACUGUAUACUGAGAGAAAAACUCUAUGGGUAAGUGUUAUCAGAAGGUCCAGAUAUGUCUAUCCGGAGAAGUUGAAGCGUCCUCCUCUCCCAUCCGACUGUGAGAUAUCCGGAUGUAAAAUGUCGGUGCACGGAAUUCCUCCCCAGCUAGACUGAGCUAUGCUGCGCAAGGGGGACCGUCUACGUGUGCAAGGUGUAGGGACCCCUCUUCCGGAUGACACGGAGUAUGCAAGGCUAUCUGGAUCAACUCCAUCCAGAUUCACCCGGGUGGACUCGCGCCGCCAUGCUAUCCGGCAUUCGUGCACAUCAUACUCCGGAUAUGUUGUCCGGAUGGAAAACAUUGACUAAAGUGUGCAAGCCUUGCUACAGCCCACGUUCCGCCGCUCUCCAAUGGUGUGUCCGAACUCCCUGUCCGGACAUCUUUUGCCAUGGAUUCCUAAAGAACUCUCCUCAAUCUCGGAUUGCUUUGGUGAUAAAAAAGCUAUCAAAACACCAAAACUUAACACAAUUUGAUUAGAAUUGAUUGCAAGGGUCCUUAAUAUGUUAAUUGGGUAAAAAGGUGAUAACUACUACUCAAAAGUAUUUAAAAGAUUUAAUUAUAAGCUAUCAAAUAGCACUUUUUGAGUAGUAAUCACCCCGUUACAUGGACAAUUUAGAAAAGAAUACCUUUAAGCUUUGUACUCCUACAAUGAAAAAAAUUGUGAAAAAAAAUGUGCGUUCUUAGCCUAUUUGAGGUUGAUUAGUUUGCUAAGCUUUGAAAAAGAACUAGGUUGGGGGGGGGGGGGGGGAGAUUAGUUCAACAUACUAUAUUCGGAAACUAAUAAAUAACACUUAGAUUUUUGUGGAAUAGUAAGGUUUGGCCCUUUGAGAGUGGAAACUCUUUUAAAGCUUAAAUUUGCAUAAUGCAUUCUCUUUAAGAAUUGUGAUUAGAUAAGUUAUUUGAUAACUUCUUGAAGUUUGAGUUUUAUUUAUUUAAUGUUCCAUGUGAGAGUUAGAUCAUCAUGUCACUUGAAAAUUGUUUUUUGAUUAGCAUGAUGUUGUAAAAUUAUAGUACUGUUUAUUUUUAUUUUUCUCUCCUUCAUUGCUAAGGGACUAGCAAUAUGUCGAUUGGGAGGAGUGAUUACUACUCAAAAAGUACUAUUUCAUAGCCUGUAAUAAACUCUUUUAAACACUUUUGAGUAGUAGUUAUCACCUUUUAACCCAAUUAACAUAUUAAAGACCCUUGCAAUCAAUUCUAAUCAAAUUGUGUUAAGUUUUGGUGUUUUGAUAGCUUUUUGAUCACCAAAGCAAUCUGUGAUUGAGGAGAGUUCUUUGGAAUCCUUGGCAAAGCAAUGGAAGGCUUAGAAACAUAUAGAACCAAAGCUUUGAAGUCCUUUGCCAUAAGAAAAUCCGGAAUACAAGGAGUAAAAGAUGUCUGGACAGGGCGUCCGGACACACCAUUGGAGAACGGCCGAACGUGGGCUGUAGCAAGGCUCGCUCACUCACUUUAGUCAAUGUUUUCCAUACGGACAACACAUCCGAAUAGGAUAUACUCUUGUUUGGGUGUGGUGUUCACGAGUGUCCUGUGCCUUUCCGCUUGGGGAAUCCGGAUAGCAUUGCACCGCCUUUCCGUUUGGGGAAUCCAGAUGGAGUUCAGCCGGAUGGGUCCCUACACCUUGUACACGCAGACGGUCCCCCUUGCGCAGCAUAGCUCAUUCUAGCCGGGGAGGAAUUCCGUGCGCCGACAUUUUACAUCCGGAUAUCUCACAGUCAGAUAGGAGAAGAGGACGUUCAACUUCUCCUAAUAGACAUGUCCGGAUCCUCUGGUAGUGCCUACCCGGUCAGACAUGCACAACUGCAGUGUUCUCUUAAGCUUCCUGAUAUUUUCGACCGACAUCUUGAGAUAUUUCCGAUAGACAUUUUGUGAUAUUUUGGGAUAUUUUGCUUUAGAUAUUUGUUGUCUAAAUUCCCAAAAUCUCCUUGUAAUCCACCUAUCAUAGGAUUCCUUAGUCUUUAAGUAAGUACAAAGGGUAAAUAACCUCAUAUAUAUAGUUUGUAAUUCUCUUUACAAAAGAGGAUCAUCUAAUAUAUGAUCAAUUAUGUAAUCGGUAGAAGAAAAAAAUAUAGUAGAGAGCAUUUGCUCUAUUUUUCCUUGAUAUAUUUGUUUUCUCGUUAUUUUUCUUUUCUAGCCAAACAGGCUCUGAGGAAGUUUCCUCAUAGAAUGAGUGGCUAGACUUUUAGUUCCUUGGAGUUAAGGUUGCCGGGAAAGGUUCCAAGUGCAUGAAUUAGUAGCUUUGUGGUUUCAAUCAUUAAUGAAGAGAAAGUGUGAUCCUUUACUGAUUUCUAUGUUUUUAGUUAACUUAAAACACCUUCAAUUCACUUGAGCCAACACUUGGUAAGGCCAGUGAUCUCCAUCCAUGGAGAUGCACUAGUUUUCCUCUUGCGAGCUUUUGGGAAGUGACUUGAAGGUAGGAUUUUCUAGAAUUGCCAACACUUGGUAAGCUUUUGGACUCCAAGGAGACAUCCAUUAGUUAUCUCUUGCGAGCUUGAGAAGGGAAGUCCAAAGUUAAAGAUCACCUUGAAUGGCAAAUGCUAGGUGAGAGGCACGAGUCAUUGCAAGUUGUAUCAGUGAGAAGGAAUUAGAGCUGAAAUCCAUUUAAAGGAUACCUCUAUACAGCACCGGUUAGAGAAUUGACUAUAUGUUAAUUCUCUAAUGCGAGGAAAUGAACCAAAUGACCGAAGCUCUGUUUUGCAUAAGGAACUUCCCUUGUGAACCUAAACCUCCAAGGAAUGUUUUUCUUCAUAAGUAAUUUCAAUUACUUUCUUUUUAGUUAGCUUUAAACAAAACCUUUUUCAACCAAAGUUUGUGUUUUAUUUCUUAAGCUAACCUUGAAAUGAAAAAACACCAAUUUACUUUGAAUUGGUAUCAGUUGAGAGUUGAAAACCCUUCCCAGUGAACGAUCCUAGAGCCACUAUGCUAUAUUAGCUAAGCUAUCCUAAUGCAUGGUGAUAUAUGUUAUAAAUUUUGUUGAUUACUUUCUCAAUCAAAGAGCACCAGCUGGACAUGAAUCACUGAGACACCAAUUGGGAAUGAAUCAGAUGGCCAGAGACUCUCUCCAGCACCUGAUCAAUAAACGGGAGUGGAAAAUGAUAUUUUCUUGUCACAACAUUCAAUUUCUUAUAGUCAAUACAAACCCUCCAGCCUGAAGUGAGGCGUGUAGCAAUUUCUUCUCCUUUUUCAUUCUGAACCACAGUAAUCCCUGACUUCUUUGGUACCACUUGAGUAGGACUCACCCAAGGGCUGUCAGAUAUGGGAUAAAUAAUACCCGCUUGGAGUAGCUUCAGUACCUCAGUUUGAACCACUUCUUGUAAAUGAGGAUUCAAUCUUCUUUAAGGUUGACGAAUUGGUUUAGCUUCUUCCUCCAUAUAUAUGUGAUGUGUACAAACCAAAGGACUGAUUCCUUUCAAGUCAGAUAUUUGCCAUCCUAUUGCUUUCUUGCACCUCUUAAGAACUUCAAGUAGAGAAAUCUCCUGAUGACUGGUAAGAGAUGAAGAUAUAACAACAGGACAUUGGUUAUUUUCUUCUAGGUAUGUAUAUUUUAACUCCAUGGGCAGAGGUUUCAAGUUGAGCUUCGGGAAUUCUUCUGUUACAUCAUCUUGUCCCUCCUCUUUAUCGAAUAAAGGUAGGAUCUCUUCUUUCCUCCUCCAGCCUUGUAGAGUAGCAAGCACAUCAGUAGGUUCAGACAACCCUUCUUCAAGAUCCUCAAGACUUUCAUUCAACUCGUCUUGCAUAUUCUGAUCACAAUGCUCCUCCAGUAGAGUGUCAAUAAUGCAUACCUCCUCUGGACCUUCUUCUUCUUCCGGAGUAAUCAACUUCUUUGACAUAUGAAAGAUAUUAAGCUCAAGUGUCAUGUUGCCAAAAGUGAGUUGCAUAAGUCCAUUCCUAUAAUUUAUGAUUGCAUUUGAAGUAGCAAGAAAUGGCCUUCCAAGGAUGAUAGGAACAUAAUUAGCUUCCUUAACUAAAGGAUCAGUAUCAAGAACAACAAAAUCUACUGGAUAGUAGAAAUUAUCAACUUGAACUAAAACAUCCUCAAUUAUCCCCCUUGGAAUUUUCACUGACCUAUCAGCUAAAGAUAGGGUGAUUGAUGUUGGCUUUAACUCACCAAGUCCCAAUUGCUUAUAAACAGAGUAUGGUAGCAAAUUCACACUUGCUCCCAAAUCUAACAAAGCUUUUUCCACUACCUUUCCUCCAAUCAUGACUGAAAUGGUAGGACAUCCCGGAUCUUUGUACUUCAAAGGAGAUUUGCAUUGUAUGAUGGCACUUACUUGUUCAGUCAAGAAGGCUUUCUUAUUCACAUUCAACCCUCUUUUGAUAGUACACAGGUCUUUUAGGAACUUUGCAUAUGAUGGAACUUGCUUAAUCACAUCUAGCAAUGGAAUGUUGACCUUCACUUUAAUACUUCAAGGAUUUCUGAUGCAUUUUUUAUCUUCUUUUUCCCAUGCAAAGCUUGAGGAAAAGGUGGAGAUGUGCGUUUCUUCAUCAAUUCUUCCUUAAUAAGCUCUUUCUCCGGAUUUGCAUUCACUGUUGAAUCACGGUCCUUCUUCCCUUCACUGAUAUCUGUCUUCUUUCCUUUCAUUUCCUCCCUCUUCUUUGUCUCUUCUUCUUCCUUCUCUUCAACAUAUGGCUUGGGUGUUGGUGACUCAACCUUUUUACCACUCCUUAGAGUGAUCAAGGCUUUAACAUCUCUCACCUGUGAAGAUUCUCCCUCAUGAGUUUCCACCUCGUGGAUACCCUUGGGGUUUUGGUGAGGUUGAGAAGGAAAUCUACCCUUCUCUUGCACUGUGUUUUGAUUAGUGAGCCUUGAGAUUGAGUAUUGGAGAUUAUCUAUCUUCUGAGAUAAAUCAUUUUGCAUCUCAUCCAUCCUUUUGUUCAAAGUAUUCUCUACACUGUUAAUUCUUUGACUGAGUUGAGAAUUGAUGGAUUUUUAUUCUCCAACAAAAUCUCCCACAACCUUGCUGAGAUUCACUAUUGCUUGUUCAAGACUUGAAGCUUGUUAGGAUGGUUGAGAUGGUUGAGAUGGUUGAGCCGGCUGUUGGUACUGAGGUGCUCUUGGCUUCCAUGAAAAAUUUGGAUGUUUCCUCCAACUUGAGUUGUAAGUAUUGUCAUACGAAGCAUUGCUAUUGGGCUUGAAUUGUCCAAUGACAUUUACUUGUUCUCCAAACAUUUCUUUAGCAACUGGAAUUGUAGGGCACUCCUCCACCAAGUGUUCAUAAGAUUGACAAAUCGAACAUGGCUUUACUGGCACUGGUGUUUCAGCAACAGCUUACACUUCAUUCAUCUUUUUCAGUUCUAGCUUCUCCACUCUUCUUGUCAUAGCUGCAAAUUUUGCUUUCAUUUCAACAUCUUCAUUCAAGGUGUACAUCCCAGCCUUAGCAUGAAGAGCAUUUGGUUGAGACUUCAUCUUUCCCACUUCUCCUCUGUGCGGUUCAUCCCAUCCCCUUGAGACUUCAGCUACAUAACUCAAGAAAUCCAUAGCUUCCUCAGGAUUCUUACUCAUGAAAUCCCCUCCACACAUUGUUUCGAGGAGUUGCUUCAUUGAGGAAGACAUCCCAUCAUAGAAAUAACUCACCAACAGCCAUGGUGAGGACAAGCAUUAAUGGCUUCCAUGUAUCUUUCCCAACACUCAUAGAAUUUCUCAUUCUCUUUAGCUGAGAAGUUUGAAAUUUGUCUUUUCAAGCUAUUUGUUCUAUGAGUAGGAAAAAACAUCUUGAGGAAUUCAGCUUGUAAAUCAGUCCAAGUACGGAUACUCCUUGGCCUUAAAGAAUUAAGUCAAAUCUUGGCCUUAUCCUUUAAAGUAAAAGGAAAUAGUUUAAGCCUCAUCAGGUCGAUAGAAGCUCCUCCAUCUCAGAAUGUAUUACAAACAUCUUCAAAUUCCUUGAUAUAGGCAUAAGGAUCUCACUUUCCAUUCCAUGGAAAGUUGGCAGAAGUGGCACAAUAUGGGGUCUGAUCACUAGCUGCUCUAUAGGGAGCUAUACAUGAUGGUGCACUCAUACGAGGUGGAUGCAUACGGUCCCUCAUCGAUCUGAAUUCAUUGGGAUUGUCCUGAUGAUCAUGGUGACUAUGCUGAUCCUCAGGUGUAGUUUCCAUGAUGUUCAAGAUUACUUCCAACUCCUUGUUAUGAGGUGUUUCAAGUUUAACAAGCCUUCCUCCACAAUCUUGUAUCCACUUUGGCAUACACAACUAGUAUCAACUGUAACAAAGAAAGAAAAACAAAAACAGAGGAAAACAAAAAACAAAACUACCAAAAAGAGUUCGAUUAACUAAAACUAAAUUAAAAGCUAUGCUAGAAUAUAAACGAGUAAAAGAAACAACUAAAAGAGUUAGUAAAAUGACAGAAAACUCACCAAACUUGUGAUGAAAACCACAAGUACACUGAAAUAAUAUCACUAUGAAGUUGGCACCUUCCCCGGCAACAACCCCAUUUGAUUCGUUCCCAAUUGGUGUCUCAACUGAUUCAUGUCCAGCUGGUGCUCUUCGAUUGAGAGAGUAAUCAACAAAAUUUAUAACCUAUAUCACCAUGCAUUAGGAUAGCUUAGCUAAUAUAGCAUAAUGGCUCUAGGAUCGUUCACUGGGAAGGGUUUUCAACUCUCAACUGAUACCAAUUCAAAGUAAAUUGGUGUUUUUUCAUUUCAAGGUUAGCUUAAGAAAUAAACACAAACUUUGUUUAAAUGAGGUUUUGAUUAAAGCUAACUAAAAAGAAAGUAAUGGAAAUUACUUAUGAAGAAAAACAUUCCUUGGAGGUUUAGGUUCAUAGGGGAGGUUCCUUAUGCAAAAACAGAGCUCCGGUCAUUUGGUUCGUUUCCUCACAUUAGAGAAUUAACAUAUAGUCAAUUCUCUAACCAGUGUUGUACAGAUGUAACCUUUAAAUGGAUUUCAGCUCUAAUUCCUUCUCAUUGAUGCAACUUGCAAUGGCUCGUGCCUCUCACCUAGCAUUUGCAAUUCAAGGUGAUCUUUAACUUUGGACUUCCCUUCUCAAGCUCGCAAGAGAUAACUAAUGGAUGUCUCCUUGGAGUCUAAAAGCUUACCAAGUGUUGGCAAUUCUAGAAAAUUCUACCUUCAAGCCAUUUCCCAAAAGCUCGCAAGAGAUAAACAAGUGCAUCUCCAUGGAUGGAGAUCACGUGCUUUACCACGUGUUGGCUCAAGUGAAUUGAAGGUGUUUUAAGUUAACUAAAAACAUAGAAAUCAUUAAAGAAUCACAUUUUCUCUUCAUUAAUGAUUUAAACCAAAAAGCUACCAAUUCAUGCACUUGGAACCUUUCCCGGCAACCUUAACUCCAAGGAACUAAAAGUCUAGCCACUCAUUCUCUGAGGAAAAUUCCUCAGAGCUUGUUUGGCUAGAAAGAAAACUAACGAGAAAACAAUUAUAUGAAGGAAAAAUAGAGCAAGUGCUCUGUAAAAUAUAUUUCUUCUUUCCGCCGAUUACAUAAUAGAUAUCUUUGUAAAGAAAAUUACAAACUAUAUAUAUGAGAUUAUUCACCAUUUUCCUUGCUUAAAGACUAAGGAAUCCUAUGAUAGGUGGGUUACAAGAAGACUUUAGGGAUUUAGACAACAAAUAUCUAAAGCAAAAUAUCCCAAAAUAUCUCAAAAAUGUCAGUCGAAAAUAUCAGGAAGCUUCAGGAGAACACCGCUGCACUGUAUACUGAGAGAAAAACUCUCCUGGUAAGCGUUAUCAGAAGGUCUGGAUAUGUCUAUCCGGAGAAGUUGAAGCGUCCUCCUCUCCCAUCCGGCUGUGAGAUAUCUGGAUGUAAAAUGUCGGUGCACAGAACGUCCUCCUCUCCCAUCUGGCUGUGAGAUAUCCGAAUGUAAAAUGUCGGGGCACGCCAUGCUAUCCAAAGCAACUCCAUCCGGAUUCCCCAUCCAGGUGUGAGAUAUCUGCGCCUCUAGUCUAUCCGGAUCAACUCCAUCCGGAUUCCUCCAGAGGACAUGUGGGGGCUCCCCUAUCCGGACUCCGAGAGGGAGAAGCACACGGCACUCGUGAACAUCACACUCGGACGAUAGCAUAUCCUAUCCGGAUAUGUUGUCCGGACACAGACCAUGUUCCGCCGCCAUCCUGUCCGGACGCCCUGUCCGGACAUCUUUUACUCCUUGCAUUCCGGAUUGCUUAUGGCAAAGGACUUCCAAGCUUUAGUCCUUCAUGUUUCUAGACUUUCUAUUGCUUUGCCAUGGAUUCCAAAGAAGUCUCCUCAAUCUCUGAUUGCUUUGGUGAUCAAAAAGCUAUCAAAACACCAAAACACCAAAACUUAACACAAUUUGAUUAGAAUUGAUUGCAAGGGUCUUUAAUAUGUUAAUUGGGUUAAAAGGCGAUAACUACUACUCAAAAGUAUUUAAAAGAGUUAAUUACAGGCUAUCAAAUAACACUUUUUGAGUAGUAAUCACUUCCCCAUCGUGGGGUGAAUAGCCGGUGAAUAUCAACAAGUAGUUGCGUAUCUCUAUCCCAAAAUAGUAGCCUAAAUCCCCUCUAAAACUUGGACUCCUCCCAAACGGCAACCCCCUCUAUGCCUUUUCAAACCACAAACUGAUCCCCUCAAACAGCAGCCUCAAAUCCCCCUAAAACAUGAACUGAUCUUUCCCUUGAAAAUGAAAGCCUAACUUCACCAAAAUAAUCCUUUUGACCUCCUUCAAUCGUGCAUCUUCCUUCUUUUUCUUUUAUUUUUUUUCAUAAUAUUUUAUCCAUCACUUAGUCAGCUUCUCUACAGCCACAGUGAUGGAAAAAAAUGGCAGAAAAAGGUUUCCUUCUCCUCUUCCAAUCACCCUCCAUCCCCUCCAAUUUUCCUUCUUUUCUUUUUUUUUUCCUUUGUCUUUCCUUUUCUCUCUUCCUCUCUCUCCAAUCCACUGGUUGCCUCCAUCUUUUCUCUUAAUGGCAUUUUUCUUUUUCUUUUAUGGAGCACGUGGGAUCCAUGCAAAACAAAUAAUAAUAAUAAUAAUAAAGAAAAAACCAAUAAAAGAAAACUAAGGGUUAGAAUACUAAUAAAAAAAAACGUGUAACUAAGGAUUAAAAAUCCAAAAUAUGCAAUUUUAAACGAAAUUAAAAUAUAGAUCACAUGCAAAACUAAAAUGAAUUAUCAACUCAAGCAACUUUCUAUCAAAAUAAAUAAAUUAAUAAAUAAAUAAAAAUAAAAUGAAUAUGAUUAUUAAGCUCAUGCAAUUUCCUAAAAAUAAAUAAAUAAAUAAAUAAAUAAAACUAAUAAAUAGAGAAAGAUAAAAAAAACAAAAAUGAAAUCAAGCACAUGCAAGCUAUACGAGCUAUGCAACCAUGAAAGCCAUGCAAACCAUGCAUCCAUGCAAAAAAAUGAUCUAAAUGGGCCUAGGGUGCCUAAGUGGGCCUAAGGUGAUGCCUAAUGGGCCAAGUGUGCCUAAAUGGGCCUACGGUACCUAAUUGGGCUCAGGGUGCCUAAGUGGCCUAAGAUGGUGCCUAAUGGGCCAAGUGUGCCUAAAUGGGCCUAGUGUGCCUAUUUAGGAAAUUUUACAUGGGUCUCGGGAUUUUGUGGGUGAUGAAGCCGAGAGAGAGAGAGAGAGAGAGAAAUGCUCCCAAAUCAAAGAAAAAAAAAGUUUUAAAUUAAGGAAGUUACAGCUGGUUGUCGGGUCGGGUCGGGUCAUUUUUCAUAGGUUCCCAAUUCAGAUUUUUGUUUUAAAAAUUUUCACCCUCUCAUGUAACAGGGAGGGCUCCCUACUGAUAUGGAGACAAGGUUGCAGCUGAUAUGGAGGCAUGGAGGGGCAAUCUAGGAACAUAAAAUGGAGUCAACAAAAAUUGCAUGAGAAAGAUAAUAUUUUCCCCAUUAACAGGACAUCUCAUAUUUCAUUUACGUGGGUUUCCAAAACCAUAUAUCUUCCUAAUAGCAGCCUGCAAACACAAUUUUCCCAUCUAUCAACUAGCUGCACCCAUUCCUUUCAUCCAUGAACUGUCCUCCCACGCUAUAACUCAUUCUUUGAGCUACCCAAAAGGCCCCAUAACUGGUCAACCCAACUACACCUACCCUUUUAACUCGUACCAACCCAUAAUCCUACUUUCCUAGCUCCUUAUAGCACCCAUUCCAACCCAUAAUCCUACUUUCCUAGCUCUCUAUAGCUAUAAUAUAGAGCCCUUGUCAGACAUCCUAUCAAGCCACUUUUGUAGCGCCAUUUUGCUACCCAAGACCACUUCCCCACAGUUGUAUAAGCUGUCCUUGUCAACCCCUCACGUCAAGCCAUAAACUUGGUCUUUGGUAGCUAGCCCAACCUUCUAUUCAUUGGUCUCGCAUAUCAACGCAUAACUCCAAUAUUUAGCUUCACAUAGUUGUGCUAUAUAGAGUCCAUCAGUUGUACAAUCAAAAGCUCUCAACAUCAUUUCAAGUGUGCCUUAGCUAUCCCUAGAAUCCUUUUUUCCUAUCAAAGCCUCACCUUCGAGUUAUAAUGGCUGCAAGCAACCUACUGAUUAUAUAUUCUAUAAGUUUGAAAAAAAAAAUUUAAUGAUGUCUAAUUUGCAAGUUAGAACAAAUAAAGAAUACUAAUAUUUUAUGAAGUGUUUAAAAUUUUUUUAAUAUAUAUGAGAAAUAAUCUAAGUUUGAAAUAAAGAAUAAUAUUUAUUAUAUAUUAUGUAAGUUUGAAAAAAAAUAUUUGAUAAGGUAUUUAAAAAUUAUUUACUUCAAAAAUGCAUUUGACAAUAAUAAUUUUUAAUCAUUUAUCUUCCAUGUUCAAUUUGUUGGAGAAAAAUUAUUGGUAAAUCGUUCAACUUGGUCCCAUUAAUAAAUAGGUGAGAAAAAAAAUCAAAGAGAGAAUGAAAAAGGUAGGAGUGGUUAGUAGUUUUUUCAUUUAAUAGUCAAGGGUAUUUUAGGGAUAUUUUUAAAGAAAUGUCAUUUCCCUCAAUUUUUACUCUUUUUUUUGGGUUUUGAGUUUAAUUAUGGGUGAUUAGAGGACCUUAACUCAAUUAUCCAACCCAACUGGGAUGGAAACAUAAUUUUCCCAAAUAAUUAUAAUUAAUUUAUUCUCAAAAAUAUUCUUUUGUGCUGACUUUUAAUAUAUAUACAUUUGGUAUAAAUUAACAAAUGGCAUAAUUGCCUUAGUGGACAUAGGUUGUAGGAGUUCUUAUAUAUGGGCAAAGUCGAGAAUGGAGCAGGUGACUGGAGAAGAGGGAGGCCUAGACAGAGGUCCAGGUGACUUGGGUGGGUAGUUUGGGACAGAGGGAAGGCAUUUUUUUUCCAUAAAUAUUGCCAAAAAAUAGGCUAUAAAUUGGAGAAAUAUCAGCGAUUUUUUUCCAUGACAACCGAUUAAUGAAACAAAUCGAUGACUUAUCACCUCCAACCGAUAUAUCAACCUUUUUUUGGUGAUAUUUAUCAAAGUUUCCCCUCUCUGAUAUAUCACCAUGAUAUAUCGUGUCGAAACCUUCCGAAUAUAUUCUUCAAAUUGAUAAAUGGUAGUUUUUUUCAUUCAUACUUUCAUUCGUUCAUGUAUAGAGUAUAUAUAGAGGGUAAUCGCCAUUCUAAGAAUGGGAAAGAAUGAUACAAGGAAAGAAUGAUAUAAGAAAAUAACAACUAAUAUCCUAAUAUCUCAACUUUCCUAAUAUCUCAAUAUUCCUAAUAUCUCAAAUUUCCUAAUAUCUAAACAUUCCUAAUAUCUCAACACUGAAUAAUAUAAGGAAAACAUUCCUAAUAUCUCAACACUCCCCCUCAAGUUGGUGCAUAGAUGUCACACAUGCCCAACUUGUUUAAAAAUUUUGAAAACACUUGACUUGAGACAACUUUGGUAAGGAUAUCGGUCAAUUGAUCUUCUGAUUGAAUCUUAGGCAAUUCCACAAUCUUAUCAUCCAACUUUUCCUUAAUGAAGAAUCUAUCCACCUCGACAUGCUUUGUACGAUCAUGUUGUACUGGAUUAUGAGCAAUGUCACAUGCGGCUUUAUUGUCACAAAAAAAUCGGAUUGGUUGCCUAGAUAGGUAACCUAAAUCCUGUAAGAGGAGUCUUAGCCAUAAUGCCUCACAAAGUCCUAGAGUCAUACCUCUAAAUUCUGCUUCUGCACUUGAACGAGCGAUGACAUUCUGCUUCUUACUUUUCCAUGUCACAAGAUUACCACCUACAAAGGUAAAGUAACCAGAUGUAGAUCGCCUAUCAUCCACUGCACCGGCCCAAUCAGCAUCAGUAUAUACUUCUAUACUCUGAUGAUCAAUAUUUUAAGCGAACAAAAUUCCCUUCCUAGGAGCAUUCUUCAAAUACCUCAAAAUACGCAUGACUGCAUUCAUAUGUUGCUCUCCAUGAUUAUGCAUGUAUUGACUCACUACACUCAAUGCAUAAGCAAGAUCUGGUCUUGUAUGAGCUAAGUACAUUAAUCUCCCCACAAGUCUCUGGUAUCUUCCCUUAUCGGUUGAUACUUGAUUAAGCUCAACACACAAUUUCAGACCUUCUUCUAUUGAUGUAUUAACAGGUUGACAUCCUAACAUUCCAGUCUCUUGUAAAAGAUCUAAGGCAUACUUUCUUUGAGACAGAAAAAUUCCUUCACUUGAUCAAGAAACUUCAAUCCCAAGAAAGUAUUUCAGAGGACCUAAAUCUUUCAUUUCGAAUUCUUUAGAUAGAUAAUUUUGCAGAACUUUUCUUUCUUCAGGAUCAUUUCCUGUAACUACCAUGUCAUCCACAUAUACGAUGAGUGUCGUAAUCUUACCAUGUUGCUUUUUCAAGAACAAAGUGUGAUUUGAAUUACUUUGACGAUAUCCAAAAGCUCUCAUUGACUUUGUGAACCUUCCAAACCAUGCUCUCGGGGAUUGCUUCAACCCAUACAAUGACUUCUUCAAUUUGCACACCUUCCGACAUUGCUUUUCUGACACCAUGCAUCCUGGUGGAAGAUCCAUAUAUACUUUUUCAGAUAACUCGCCAUGCAAAAAGGCAUUUUUCACAUCAAAUUGUUGUAAUGGCCAAUCUAGGUUUGCAGCUAAAUACAAUAAUACUCAAACUGUGUUGAUCUUAGCUAUAGGUGCAAAUGUCUCUGUGUAGUCAAUUCCAUAAGUUUGAGUGUACCCUUUUGUUACCAGUCUUACUUUAUAUCAUUCAAUACUACCAUCUGCCUUAUACUUCACAAUAUAGAUCCAACGACACCCAACUGGCUUCUUUCCUGGUGGACAUUAUAUGAGUUCCCAUGUUUCAUUCUUUUGCAAUGAUUUCAUUUCUUCAUUCAUGGCUGCUUUCCACCUUGGAUCAGCUAAGGCUUCCUACACACUGUUAGGAAUAACUACAGUAGAUAAUUGAUUUACAAAUGACUUAUUUGAUUUAGACAAACGAUGGUUAGACACAUAGUUGCUCAUGGGAUAUUUGACUUUGGUAGACAAUUCAGGUUUAUAUGUGGGUUUAGGAAUACCUCUAUUAUGACGGUGUGGUAACCGUUUCAUGAAUGGAUCAGGUUCCAAAUUAAGAACACCUUCAACAAACGACGAUUGGUUUGGUAUUUCAGUGAAGACAUCUUCGGACCCAAAUUGUUGACCACUCAUAUCCAACUCACCCACUUCCUGGUUCACUAGUUCAGAUUGUCCAGAUUUAUCUUCCUUAGAAAUAUGAUAAUCAUAAUCGAGAGUCUGAAUUUCCUUAUAGUGCUCCCCUUGAAGUUCAGACUCAGAUGAAAAAUACAUCGAAUCUUCAUGAAACACCACAUCCAUUGUAAUAUACAUUUGUCGAGUUGGAUGAUGGUAACAUCAAUAUCCCUUUUUGUGCAAUGCAUAUCCAACAAACACACAUUUCAAUGCAUGGGAAGUUAACUUGGUGCGUUGGUGCUUGUGUAAAUGCACAAAUGCCACACAACCAAAAACACGAUGAGGUAGAUUUGGGACGGUUGGGGCAAUUACGACAUUAGUAAAAGCUUGUAGAGGUGUUUAAAAGGUAAUUGAGCUAGAGAAGUACUGGAUUGAUCAAGUAUGCGGCAGAUGUGAUUGCUUCUCCCCAAUAAGAUAUCGGUGUUUUUGCUGCUAUCAAGGAAGCAUGAACAACCUCUAACAAGUGCCAAUUUUUUUGUUCAGAGACUCAAUUUUGCUGGGGUGUAUUGGAACAAGUAGUCUAAUGAAUGAUGUCAUGUCCUUCCAAAUACUUUUGAAGAUCAGAACUUUGAUAUUCUCCACCAUUAUCACUACGUAGAACCCCAACCUUUACAUUAUAUUGAGUUUCAAUCAUUUUAUGAAAAUUUUGAAACAACAAGUUCACUUCAUCUUUGGUCUUCAUCAAGCAUAACCAUGUCAUUCUGGUACAAUCAUCAAUAAAAGUAACAAACCAACGUGAGCCACUCAAAGUUAGGACUUUGGAUGUGCCCCAAACAUCAGAAUGUAUAACCAUAAACGGAAACGGACUGUUAUUCAAAAUUAACGGAAACGAAGCACGAUGGCUUUUAGCCAAUUCACAAAUAUCACAACGGAAACCAGAAAUAUCACUCUUUGCAAACAAACUAGGAAACAAUUUUUUUAAAUAACCAAAGGAAGCAUGUCUCAGACGUCGAUGCCACAACCAAAUUUCAGACUUUUUCUUCUCCCUCUCAGAUCCAUUUGCCAUAAAGGCUUGUUGCAACUUAUUUGAAUGGCGAGGUUUUCUUGGAAUCCUUCUUCUGUUGAUCACAAUUAUUAUCAUUAAUAACAAAGUGUUGAUAGCCUAAACAUGAUCUAAAGGUCCAUGGUUCAAACCCUCGAUUCCUCAUUGUUUUCCUAGUCAUACCAAGAGUUGUUGCUUUGAAAUUGUGGGAUAUCCAGACUGGUGGGACUAGUCUUAUUGCAGUGAGUGCAUUUGAAGGUUGACUUAUCAAUAUUAGGGUUUGUCUUAGGAUGGUUGAUCGCUGUCGGACUACCAUAGCGACAAAAUAUCCAGGAUUUCAGUUCCAUGGCUCUAAUACCAUCUUCAAACUGAUAAAUGGUAGUUUUUUUCAUUCAUACUUUCAUUCGUUCAUGUACAGAGUAUAUAUAGAGGGUAAUCGCCAUUCUAAGAAUGGGAAAGAAUGAUACAAGGAAAGAAUGAUAUAAGGAAAUAACAACUAAUAUCCUAAUAUCUUAACUUUCCUAAUAUCUCAAUAUUCCUAAUAUCUCAACUUUCCUAAUAUCUAAACAUUCCUAAUAUCUCAACACUGAAUGAUAUAAGGAAAGAAUGAUAUAAGGAAAGCAUUCCUAAUAUCUCAACAUAUAUUAUGAGAUUUUCGUCCCUGCCCAUACCCACCAUCACUUCCACUUCUCCUUUUCAUCAAACCAUUACAAACCUAAUCUUCAUGCUCGGUAUUUCAAGUGUUGCUUCUCUAAAUCCUUAACUGUCGAUCCUCAACUAGUUUUCACCUCCAUGAAGUCUUUUGUAAUUUACACCCAUAACCAUUGCUAACCUCGAUCUUGAUUUCGAUUUUCUCAAUGUUGCUGUCGACGGUAUCCUGUAUUUCAUCUCCCUUUGCAUGGAUCUUGAUGUUCGACCUGAGGAGAUUUCGAUUUUCGACAUCGAUGGUGUCAGGGAUAGUGUCAAGAAGCUCAAUAAAAGUCCCAUCCGGAACUACGCCGACAUUGCCGCUAUCUCUGUCAUGAAAAUGUUCUCAGUAUUAUAGCAUUAGCCCUUAUGGGAUGAUUCAUGUUGAUUCGGAGUUGUGAUCCUUUGGAGUUGAUCCCGUUAAAGUUUCCAAGUGAGGAGUUGUUCCUCCUUUAGCAACUAGAGCUACUCUUGCUUCAUAGCCAUGCGUGUUAUCUUUUAUGUAUUUAUUCUAUUUAUUUGUUGUAUUAUUCAUACAGUUAAGGGGCAGGAAAUAAGGCCUUGUUUGGUGACUAGUUGGAACUGUUUGGUAUCUUAUUGAUUUUGUGUUAUUUAAUCUCAAAUAGAAAUCUAAAAUCUAUUACUAUUAGUUCAUAUUAAUUCAAUUGCACUAUAAAUUCAGAUUGUUUCCAUUGCUUUACAUUGAUUAUACUAAAUUGGGAGAUCCAAUUUUUUAUAUAUAUCUAUAUUAGUUUGAAUUAGUUGGAAUCAAUUGAAGGCUUAGGCUUAUUUCUGUUGAUUUGUGCUGGAUGAUUUAAAUUAAAGAUUCAGAUUUUGCCCCUGUUAUUUGGAAACAAUCUAGUCCCAUUAGAAAAGGAUUUACCCUAUUGUUUGGUAUUUGAUCAAAUUCAAUUCAGAAAUCUAAGAUAUCCCUAUUGAUUUUGGACUAAUUUAAUUCAAUGGAAAAUUCAGAAAUUGUUUUUAUUAAUAUGAUAUGAAUUUUUUAAAUUGAAACCUAAGUUAUGUCUCUAUUAACUUCUGAACUGAUUCAAUCCAAUUAGGCAUUUAAGUCAUGCCUAGUGCCCUAAACUUAUUUAAUCAAACUAGAAUUGAGAUUGUACCUUUGUUGAUUUGAAUGAAUUUAAUUAAAUUUGGAUUUAGGAAGUAUCAUUAUCAUUAAAUAAAUAAAAAUUGAAUAGAAGGGGGAGUGAAUAGGGUGAUGGUCUCUUUUAACAAAUUUAAACUAUGUGAAUGUAAGAGACAAAUAUAUGCAAGUAUAUAAUAAAACAAUGUCAAGGCAAUUGUAUAUAAAGUAAAGGAGAAGGGAAAAAAGAAUGCAAACACAAGAUUUUUAUAGUGGUUCGGAGCAACCCGACCUAAAUCCACUCUCCUCCAGCUUCAAUCCCAAGCUUGAGCUUCCACUAAUUCAAGGCUUCCAAACUAAGCCUUCAAGCAGUACAAAUGGAUUAUGGUUCCAAUCCACCAUCUUAGACUUUUGGCUUCAAGCAUCCUUUACACUUCUCAAGAGACACUCCACUCUUGAACAACCCCUCAAGUGAUACUCCACACUUGAGAAUACCUAAGUGAUACCUCACACUUAGAUUCUUCCUCUUAAAGAUAUACAAAUACUUUCACAAACUCCUAGUACAAAACUUUAGGCUCAAAUGAUACAAGUAAACUAGGAUUGAAUGGUGCACUAAUAAUAUGCAAGUUUUAAAACAAUGGUACACUUAAAAACACUCUUCCAAUGCUCAAAUAUAUUCAAGAAAGGUCUAGGAAGGUUAAGCUCAUGAAAUAAUGAAGAUUGGAGCCUUUUUAUAGAGAAAAAAAAAGUCAAACUAGCCGUUAGGGGUUUGACUAGUCGAGUUAGGGGUUGACCGGUUGACGGAAGCAUUUACUGCAUGGCAAGUGACCAUUGGACCUUGACCGCCACUUGACUAGACCUCGACCGGUUGAGGUGGCGGUCAACCAGUUGAGGUUCAACCUUGACCAGUUGAACAACCAUUCUGGAAGAGAGAAGGUUUUUUUUUUUUUGCACCCCAUGACCGGUUCAAUUGGGGGUCAACUAGUUUCUCAUUCGGUUCAACAACCAACUUUUUCAACUUAAAAACCUUUUAAACAAGUUUGGAAAAUAUUUAACACAAGGUUUUAGUUAAAAACAUGAAAUCGUCCAAUUUUAAAAUAUUUAAAACAAAAUAACUCUUGGAUAAUUUUGGUGCAUAAGUAAGGAAUGUAAUGCAAGAAAAUCCUAGUGCACCAACAAUCUUACAAAGAGAUCUUAUGAAUCUUGGCUCUUGAAAAACACUUCUCUUUGAGGUCUUCUUCUUCUUAAUGAUUUCUCUUUGGCUUGAUUUGUCUUUGUGAUUGCCACUUUGGAAAAUGUCUUGCCUAAUCACACUUUAUAUAUAAUCAUUAGUUCUAAACUUUGUUUUGUUAUCAUCAAAACCGAGUUUAACCAAACCAUGGUUUCACAAUCUCCCCUGUUUUGAUGAUGACAUAACCAAGGUUGCUAAAAAGCUCACCCUCAAUAUAUGCUCCUUUGAAUUUAGAAAAUAUUCAAGUUUAGAAACUUUAAGACGUAUAUUAAGGGUGCUAAAAAUGUUAUAAUCAAACAUAAAUUGCAUAAAGAGAAAUUUAGCAAUUUCCAAGAUAUUAUUAUUAAAUAUGAUGCAUAAUAAAGCACAUAACAUCAAUAUGAAUAGGAUUGCUAAAAUAAUAUUGACAUUUUUUUCCCAAGUUAGCAACCUACCAUUACUUCUCCUCCUUUUUGUCAUCAAUAAAAAAUUUCAAUAGAGUAUAUAAGGGGAAUCACAUAAUAUCAAAAGUUAAAAAUAAAUAAUAAGCAUAAUAUAAUUUCUCAUGUAAAUGAAUCUCCCCCAUUUUUCAUUUGAGAACAUUUUCCAAAUAAAAGAUUUCCCACUUUAGAGCAUUCCCAAUUUAAAGUAUGAUUUGGAAAAGAUAUAUGGGAGAACAUAUGCAUUUAAAAAGAUGUAUAACAUGCACUGAAUAACACUAUUAGAGCACACAAGCAUAUGAUCAUUCAAUUUUACCUAGGUAUAUAUUUAAAAAAAAUCUUCUUUUUAAUCCAAACCUUGGUUUAACAAAUAUACCAAUUUUAUCAAUAUGAUACCGAAUGUUAUAUUAUUAACAAAAAUUAUACCAAGUGUUAGCAAAAUGAUAAAAUGAUAUUGCAAAUUAAGCUUUAGAAGGGAUACCAUUACCAAUAUUAUCAAUGCUUUCUUUCCAAGGUAAGCAUAUCCUCCUUCUUGCAUGGAUCCCUACAAAACAAAUUAAAUAACCUUUGGUACCCAUAUCUUUUUAGGUCUUAGAGGGUUAGCCUUUCCUCCAUUUAGAAUCCAAAAUAAUUUAGAGUUUUAAAGAACAUGAGGAGAUUUUCUUAAGGGAAAAAUGUCACUAAUGUGACCUCUUCUUCCACAAAAAUUGCAAAUAAUUGAAAGUGAAAAACUAGAGGCUUCCUUUACAAAAUAAUUCUUAAAAUAUUUUUUAUUUUUGAAAGGCUUGUAACCUAGCCCCUUUUUAUCAAAAAUGCACUUUUGACUUGCCAAAAAUCAUAUCAAAAGUCUUUUUACCAUUUGAGAAUUUUUGUAGAUAGGAUGUUAACUAUUCAUUUUUCUUUUUCAACUCCUCAUUUUCCUUUUCAAAAGAGAUUUUUGUCUUCUCAAUAUUUUCAAAUAUUUCCUUAAGCUCAUUAAGGUCAUUUUGAAGACAAUAAAUCUUUUUCGUGAGAGAGACAUUUUUGAACCCAAGUUUUUCAAAAUCAAAAUAUAAUUCUUGAAGUAUAUCUUGAAACUCACUAUAGUUAGAGUUGGAAUUUACCUCAUCUUCAUGUUCCUCCAAAGCCAUGAAGCAUAUGUUGGCAUCCUCAUUUGUUCAUUCUUCUUCCAUGGAGUUUUCAUCACUUUCACUUUCACUCUCUUUCUCAUCAUCAUCAUUUUUUGAAGCCUUAGAAUCUAUAUUUUUCUUAUUUUCUUUAACUCUUUGAUGAUUGUUCAAAUUUAUCUCAUGAGUCAUGAGUGACCCAAUAAGUUCUUCAAGUGGGAGCUUGGUGAGAUCCUUUGCUUCUUGAAUAGCCGUCACUUUUAUUUCCCAUUCCUUUGUGGUAGAGACCUUUAAGAUCUUCAUGACUUUCUCUACUUCAAUGUAGGUCUUUCCCAAGGCUUCAAGUUCAUUCAUAAUCACCAUGAACCUAGAAAACAUCUCUACAAUAGAUUCAAAAUCCUUCAUAGAAAAUAAUUCAUAAUCAUGUACAAGGAUGUUGAUUGUAGACUCUUUAACUUGGUUGGUUCCCUCAUGAGUGUUUUCUAAUAGUCUCCAAAUUUCUUUAGCUAACUUACAUUUCCAAACACAAUUAAAUUCAUUUCUAUCAAUAACACAUUGUAAGAUAUAAACAACUUUGCCAUUUAAUUGAACUUUCUUUUUAUUAAGCUCAUCCCAUUCUUGCUUAGGUUUUGGAACCAUCACUCCAUUUUCUAAUUUUGAAGGAAUGUGGAGACCAUCUUCAAUGACAUCCCAUAGAUCAAGAUUAAUAGAUUUUAAAAAUUAGGACAUUUUUCCUUUCCAAUAGGAAUAAUCGGUUCCCGUAAAGAAUGGAGGUCAAGUGGUUGAAAAACUUUAAAUUUGAGAUGAGCUUAAUGGAUUAGCCAUUACCUCUUAGACUGUUAAGUCUUAAACAAAAGGCCUAAUUCAUAUAGCAAUUGUUAGAAAAAUUAGGCUAAUCCAAACCUAUGGUAAUCACCCUAGAAGGGGGGAGGGGGUGAAUAGGGUGAUGGUCUCUUUUAGCAAAUUUAAACUAUGUGAAUGUAAGAGAAAAAUAUAUGCAAGUAUAUAAUAAAACAAUGCAAAGGCAAUUGCAUAUAAAGUAAAGGAGUAUGAAAGAGAGAAUGCAAACACAAGAUUUUUAUAAUGGUUCAACGCAACCCAGCUUACAUCCAUUCUCAUAUAGCUUUAAUCCCAAGCUUGAGGUUCCACUAAUUCAAGGCUUCCAAACCAAGCCUUCAAGCAAUACAAUUGGGUUAUGGUUCAAAUCCACCAUCUUGGAAUUUUGGCUCCAAGCACCCUUUACACUUCUCAAGAGAUACCCCGCUCUUGAAUAACCCCUCAAGUGAUAAUCCACACUUGAGAAUCCCUAAGUGAUACCUCACACUUAGAUUCUUCCUCUCAAAGAUAUACAAUAAUUUCGCAAACUCCUAGCACAAAACUUUAGGCUCAAAUGAUACAAGUAAACUAGGAUUGAAUGGUGCACUAAUAAUAUGCAAGUUUUAAAACAAUGGUGCACUAAAAAACACUCUUUCAAGGCUCAAAUUUAUUCAAGAAAGGUUUGGGAAGGUUAAGUUCAUGAAACAAUGAAGAUUGAAGUCUUUUUAUAAAGGAAAAAAGUCAAACUAGCCGUUAGGGGGUUCGAUCAGUCGAGCUGGGGGUCCACUGGUUGACUAGCUGUUAGCAUUUACUACUUGGCAGGUGAUUGUUGGACCUUGAUCGCCCCUUGACCAGACCUCGACCAGUUGAGGUGGGGGUUGACUGGUUGAAUAACCAUUUUGAAAGAGAGAGAAAGUGUUUUUUUUUUUGCACCCCUUGACCGGUUAAGCUGGGGGUCGACGGCUUCCUUAUCCGAUUCAUCUGGUUGAGCCGUUUUUGGCUCAACAACCAACUUUUUCAACUUAAAAACCUUUUGAACAAGGUUGGAAAACAUUUGACACAAGGUUUUAGUUUAAAACAUGAAAUUAUCCAAUUUUAAAAUAUUUAAAACAAAAUAACUCUUGGAUGAUUUUGGUGCAUAAGUAAAGAAUGUAAUGCAUGAAAAUCCUAGUACACCAACAAUCUUACAAAAAGAUCUUAUGAAGCUUGGGUCUUGAAAAUCACUUCUCUUUGAGGUCUUCUUCUUCUUAAUGAUUUCUCUUUAGCUUGAUUUGUCUUUGUGAUUACCACUUUGGAAAACCUCUUGCCUAAUCACACUUAAAAUAUAAUCAUUAGUUCUAAACUUUGUUUUGUUAUCAUCAAAACUGAGAUUAACCAAACCUUGGUUUCAUAAUAAUGAUGAUAGAUAUUAAGUUAAUAAAAAAAAUAAAAUUUAAUAAAUGAAAUUAAAUUGUAGUUUAAUUAAAUUAGUGGUGUAUUCUUAGAAACAAAUUUGGGAAAAGAGUUUUAUAUAAGUGAGAAAUUUAUUAAUUUUACUUAAAUAAGGAAUAAAUUAAUUAAAUAAUGAAUGGUACUUAGAAAUAUUAAUAUUAAUACAUAAUUUUUUUUUUUGGAUUUUCAAAGUUAUAAUUUUAAAUAAAUAAUUAAUAGUGAUAGUUGUGUAUGAUAUUAUGAUAGAUGAGAAGUAUAUUCUUCAAGAUCUUAAGUGUUUCUUCAAUGUAAGGGAAAUGAAUGCAGAUUUUAUAAAAGAAAAUAAUUUUAUUUUUAUAUGUUAUUUUGAAAUGUGUAAAAUGUUGUUUUUGUUUAUAACAAAAAAAUAUGGAGAUCUUAUAUUUUUUUUGUAAGUUUGAAUAAAUGAAACAAAGUAUUUGACUCUGAUUUGUUUGACCCUAGUCAAUAAGAUAUAAUAAUUGACCUUUCGACCAUAGUCAAUGUGAUAUAAUAGUGGACUUUCUGAUGCUUGUCAAUGUGAUAUAAUAGUUUACCUUUAAAUUUCAUGGUGGGGAAUGUAAUUGAUUUGCACUCCAACCUUUAGGGGUUUGGUUAAAGAUUACUAAUACUAAUAGUGUUUGGUUCUGUCCACCUUAAAAGGAACAAAUUUGAGGCUAACCACCUAUUUGUAAAGUCCCACCUAACUCAACACCAUUUAUUAUUCAAUAAUCAUAGUAAAAAUAUUUUGAUUGUAUUUGAUUUGAAUUUGAUAUGAAAUUGUUUUAACAUAAAUAUGAAAAUGUUUGCUUGAAAAGUUAUGAAUGUACUAGAAUGUUUGAACUCAAAAGUUUUUAUGAAAAGGAUUAUACAUUAUAUCUCCUAUUUUCAAUUUUAAUUGAAAACGUUUAAUCCAUGAAAAAAUAUUAAUAUUCUUUAUUGGGCUUUGAGCUCAUUCCUCUUAGUUGACAAUUUUUCAAGUACCCUCAGUUCGGGUAAGGAGUGACUAUUAGCAUGUGAUUUUAGCAUUAUUAGGACUUUUGGUUUAAAUUUUAUUUUUUUUAGACAUUAUUUAUAAGUUAGAAUUUAAUGAUUGUUUAGAUUGUUAAGUUUGAAGUUGUUUGGACAAUAGCACUUUAGUUGAUGUGUUAAUUUUAAAAUUGAGAUUUGAAGAUUAUAAACUUUUAUUCUACUAUGAAUAGGAAUUUAGUAAUUGGUAACUUCCACUUAUAAAAUGAAUGUUUAUGUUAUUUCUAGUUUGAACCUUUGGGCUUUAGGUGUGAAAUGAUUGUCACACCCUUAGGGUGGGUCUUAGGGCGUGACACAGUGGUAUCAAAAAUAAGUUUAUGAUCUUAUUGGGAACUUAUUUUAGUUUACUUUAGGAAUAGAUGAAUAACACAUUAUUUUAAGUUUCAGCUUCAUCUAAUACAAAUUCCUAUUAUUCAUUAUAAUUAUAAAUUGCCUAAUUGGUUUCUUAGCGAGUAAUUCAACUAUACCCUAUUCUUUAUGAGACAAGAUGUCAUCAAGAAGACCAACAUCAAUCUUUUCAAAACAAUCAAGUUAAAAGUGAUGUACCUUCUCCACUUGAGGGUUUGCCUCCUAUGAAUGCAUAAAGGUUUUAUAGGUACCUUAGGACUUUGGCUAGUUUGGUUGAGUGUUAGGUUAGAGUUGUUGAGAACCAAGCUCAUGGUCAAUCCUCAUCUUCUAAGGAUAGCUCCUUUGAUGACUUUAAGAAGUUGGGUCCUCCUUACUUUUCUACUACUUUAGAUCCAGCGGAUACAGAGUCUUACAUUCUUAAGAUGGAGAAAUUGUUUAACAUCAUAGAUUGCUUUGAGGAGCAAAACGCCUCUUAUGCAACAUUUAUGUUAGACAAUGAGGCAGAUCAAUAAUGGCAUAUGACCAAAAAGGUUUUAGAGGAUUAGAGACUUAUAGUUUGAGGAUAAUUUAAGUAGACUUUCUAUAAGAAGUACUUCCUUGAUAGUGUUAGAUGAUAAAAGGUAGUAGAGUUCAUUCAUUUGGAAUAAGGGGGUAUCUGUGGCUCAAUAUGAGGCCAAAUUUAUAGAGUUGUCACAUUUUGCCUAAUAAGUGAUUGUUAUAGAGGAGAAAAAGACAUUCAAGACUUAGGAUGGAUUGAAUCCCUACUUGAAGAACAAGAUAUCUAUUCUAAAGCUUGGUGUCUAUUAAGAGGUUGUGGACAAAUCCCUUAUUGUAGAAAAGGAUAAUGAGAAGCUUCAUCAGUAUAGGGAACAACAAAGGAAGAGGAAUAAGAGUGAGGGUGCUUAUGGUAACCAAUCAAAGAAAAGGUCUACUUCAACUAGGAUUUAGAAUAAAGGGAAAGUAGUGCCAAAUUCAUAUGUGAUUUGUCUUACUUGUGGCAAGAAGCAUGGGGGUAGGUCAUACUAUAGAGAGACUAGAGCUUACUUUCGUUAUGGGAAGCAAGGACAUAUGAUUUAGGAUUGUCCAAAGAAUAAGGAGUUUAUAAUUAGGAAGCCUAAAGAGGAGAAUAAGGAGGAUAAACAGUCCAAUGCUAGGUGUUUACUAUGACUCAACAAGAUGCUAGUGCCAAUUCUGAUGUGGUGACAGGUACUAUUCGAAUUCACACUUUAUUUACUAGAGCCUUUGAUCUAGGCUUGACACACUCUUUUGUUUCAAUAUCUUUUGCUGGUUUGUUAGGUAUGCCUCUUGCUAGCAUGUACUUUGAUUUGAUAUGCUACUCUUAUGAGAUAUUCUAUUGUGGCUAGUAGAAUGCUUAGAGAUUGUUUGGUGAUGAUUGGUUAUAGGGAAAUGUCAGCUGACUUAGUACUCCUUGACCUUUUGGAUUUUCAUGUGAUUUUAGGGAUAGAUUGGUUAGCUUCCUACCACCCCCCUAUGGAUUGUUUUGGGAAAAGGGUGAUGUUUCACAUUCUUAGCCAAUCUAAGUUUAGUUUUGAGGGGAAACAUGUGGACUGCCCACUACGUAUUAUUUCAACCUUACAAGCUAGUUUCUUGGUUAGGUAAGAUUUUCAAGGCUUUUUGGAUUAUGUGGUGAGUAAUGAAAAUGAUUUAAAGUUGGAGGACAUACCCAUUGUAAGGGAUUACCUUGAUGUCUUUCUAGAUAAUUUGUUUGGCUUACCAUCAGAGAAGGGGGUGGAGUUCACCAUUGAUUUGGUAUUAGUAAUAACUCCUAUCUCUAAGAUUCCAUACAGGAUGGCACUUGUGGAGAUUAAGGAGUUGAAGGUUUAGCUUUAGAAGUUGUUAGAUAAGGGUUUAUUAUGCUGAGUGUUUCACCUGGGGCAUGGACUCACAUUUUUCAUGUGCAUCCUUAAUCGUCAAUAAGACUUGCUUUCUUAAGUGAAAAAUAGUAUUUUGUAAAAAAACUAAAGUCACCACUUAUUUUUAUUUUUUUUAAGGGAAAAUAAAAUAUGAAAAUAAAACCCUAAGAAAAAUGAAUUCUUCAAAAACUUUUGGAAAAAUUUAUCAUUUAAAAACCUGAGUCUAGGUUUGGGGAUCAAGUAACCUAUCGGGAAGGUACAUUAAAAAGGUAGCACCCCUCUAAACUUAAGAAGGUCUCUACUAACUAGGUUGAGAAAAGUGUGACAAUUAAUUGAUUGACUUAGGGUACCAAGAAAGGCUAAGUUGUUUACCUAAAUUCUAAUAACAUAUUGAGCAAACAAACAAUUAUUCUCAAUCUCAAACAUAAUGCAAAGUUAGCAAGCGUUCUUGAGGGGCUUCUUAAAGCCCUAUCAUAAGAUUAUGAGGUUAGAUCAAACAACAAGAUAUAUAAUAUGCAUCUCAUAAAUACAAAAUCAAGUAACAACCAAAGAAAUCAAGGAUAGUAUCAGACAUGGAUGAAGUUCACACAAAACAUGUAUGCUCAUAGAAUUAAAAGGUGAAAGGUCGAGAGCAUACCUGAACAACAUAUCUUAAACACAAUGCACUUCCAAUACAAAUAGAAAUGGUUGGGAUGAAAGAUAAUGAAAAGCAAUUAUGUGAAUAAAACCUAACAUGUAUGAUAUCUACUUGGCAAAAGCAUCAAUAUUCCUACAAGACAUGCGUACAACUUCUAGAUAUAUAAAAAAUGUAAGAAACAAGCAUUAUAACAAAGCAUAUAACCAACUAAUCAAAAUAUGGGCAUCACAAGUAUAAUUCUAAAUUAUUACUUACUCAUCAUUUGACCAAAAAACAAACAAAAGGCAACAUUCCUAUCCAUUCAUCAUGAAUUUUACACCACUAUCAAUUAGUAUGCAAAGAUUCAACAUAUGACUAGAAUUGAUUGUCUUUAGAAAUAAAUUCCAAAAAAAAAAAAAAGGAAAUUAAGAAUAUGAUUUUGACCAUGCCAAAGCACAAAUGACCACUCCUAGACAUCUAGAACAACAAACAAAAGUCCAAAUGCUCAUUCAAAUAUCAAAUUUAUUUUAAAAAAAAAUAAAAAUCAAUAGCUUCAGAAGGUCUAGAAUUGGGCAAAAAGUAAUGAUAUACAUAAACUGAAUUUAAAAAAGAAAAAUCUAAUGGCCUUAUAAAUUCAUACAGAAAAUCACACAUGUUCUUUAAGGGUCUAGAUUACAUUACAAAAAACAAAAAAAACAAAAAAGGCACCAAACUAAGGAGCAUCAGAAUAAUUUUUAAAACACUCAAAUUGAUCAAUUCUCCAUAAUCAAUCAUGUAAAGUACAAAUUUGAAAAAUCAUAUCUCUUUCUAGAAAACAUAUAUUUCAAUAUUUUGUGUCAAAUUCAAUUUCACAAAGUCAAGAAUUUAUGAAAAAUAUUCAUUUAAAUUAAAAAGGCCAAAAGACGGUUUAAAUUUACAAAAUUCUCUCAUAUAUAUAGUAUAAAACCAAAACAAAACAUGCUGAAAGAAAAUAUCAUAACUCAACUUUGAGAAAAGUCCUUUGAUUCAAAUAAAAUUCUAGAAUCAACUUUAAAAAGUGAGUAACAUCAUACAAAUUUUGUUUUUUUAACACUCUAAAAUAAUUAAAACAAAUUUUUUUUCUAAUGGGUAAUAGUUGAGUUGAAACUAGCAACAAAGAUGAGUUUUUAAAAAAAUCUUUCAUGUAGGGGUUUUAUCAAAUCCCCAUUCAAUAUCCUUAAGUUUAAUCCAUGUAUUCUCAACCUCAAAUAAAAAUAUUCACCAAAGCCAAGAAUAGUGCCAUUAGUUUGGGGGCACAAGUUCAAACCUAUGGGAAUAAAAACAAAGUUUUGGAAAACUAAAAAAAGAAUGCAACUUGGAUGAAAUUAAGUUGCAUAUUUUUUAAAAGGGAGUGAUAUAUUUGCCCUAAAAGCCUAGACUGAUUUUUUUUUUUUUUUUUUUUGAUGUCUUUAGAUGUUUAAAUUCUUUUGAAAAUGAUUUUAGGAGAAGCCAAAGGAACCAAGUGAAUUAAUAAAUCCCAAUUAAUAGGCACAAAGAGGAUUUUUAAGUUUUUAACUUGAAGGGAUUAAAAAAAACAUAAGAAAUGCUAACUUGGAUCACCUUUUGGCUACCUUUCAUUUGAGAUCAAGGAGUCAUGCUCAAGUGGAAACAACUCUAAUUCUAAUCCUAAAGCAACAAUCAACAAACAUAAAUAAAACAAUAACAUGUGGCAUUCAUAAUUGAUAGCAAACGAGUUAUUUUCACAAAGUAUCUUGACCAAUAGUUAGGGUUUGACAUAAUUGACAUCUAAAUGCUUUUAAGAGAAAUCCCAACUUAUGAUCAUUACAAUUAAAACAAGCCAAUCAAAAAAUCAAAUCAAUAUCCAAAAGAUUCUAAAGGCAUGAAUUAGGAAGAGAUGAAUAUAAGUUAACUUUAUUGAUUUUAAGGAUGUAAACCAACAAUCAAAUGGAUAAACCAACAAAAUGAGAAAAUAAAACAAGAGUUACCUGGUAGCCAAUAUAAAUCAAUCCUAGAGCCUUCAAGAGCUCCAACUAACAUUCAAAUUGAAGAACUAGCAAGAUGAGGUAUUAAAGAUAAAACAAGAAUUAUCAAAGGAUAAAAAACCUAACCCUAAAACUUUCAAGAACAUAAGUUAGUAACUAAAUCGAACGAAAUAACAAAACGAAACAAGAUAAGAAUUAUUAAAUUAUCAAAAAGCUAAUCUUAAAUCUUUCAAAAGCAUGAGUAAAAAAUUAAGUUAAAUGAAUUAAUUAAUAACACAAAAUAUUUAAAACAAGACAAGAAUUAUUAAAUUAUCAAGAAACUAAUCCUAAAUCUUUCAAGAGCAUGCAUCAACAGCUAAGUUAAAUGAAUUAAUAAAACAAAUUAUUUAAAACAAGACAAGAAUUAUUAAAUUAUCAAGAAGCUAAUCCUAAAUCUUUCAAGAACAUGAAUCAACAAUUAAGCUAAAUGAACUAAUAAGACAAAAUAAAUAAAACAAGACAAGAAUUAUUAAAUCAUCGAGAGACUAAUCCUAAAAGAAAACAUGUAAAACAAGACAAGAAUUAUUAAAUCAUCAAGAGACUAAUCCUCAAACAAAAUAUCUAAUAUCAACAUAACAUUUCUUCCUCAUUUUGUUAGGCUAAUGAAAAAUCAUUAGAAAAAAAAAAUUAGAUAUUUGAUUAAAAUGAUUAAAAUAGUCUCUAAUUCGAACAAGGCUCUUCCUUUUUGUUUUUUUUUUUAAAUAUAAAAAAUGAUAAUAUUUUUUUAAUAAAAAUAUCAUUCAUUUAUGUUAAAGAAAUUUUAUUUAUUUAUUUUAAAUAUUAAGAUAUUUUUAUUCAUUAAUAAUUUUUUUAAUAAAAAUAUUAUUCAUUUAUGUUAAAGCAUUUUUUUUUUAUAAAUAAUAAGAUUUUUUAUUCAUUUUCAAUUUUUAUUUAGAACUUUAAACCAAUAGAAGUUGGCUUUACAAAUUUUGGCCCAAAUAUCCCCAAGAACUUUAUUUGAAAGGUGUAGCAUAUUCGAACCCUUCGUCCAGGGAACAUGAAUCAUAAUUUCGUUGCUGGUUUUAUAUUAAAAUACAUGGGAUACAUCGAGAAACCCACUUUUGCCUCAAUUUUCAACCAAGACCAACCACAAUCAUAGAAAAACGACAAGGAAAAUAAAUUGAACCAGCAAAGCCCUGACGUCACUUCCUUUGUCCUCCAAUACUAUCCAGCCACAAGUAUAAGAGUGUCACACCACUGCAAAGCCCUCAAAACAUCCCAUUUUUCCUCUCUUUGCAGUAACUGCUAGUUAGUGAUGGAGCAAACUGAGCUGGUCUUCAUCCCAUUUCCUAUCAUCGGCCACCUUACGUCUGCACUGGAGAUUGCAAAGCUGAUUACUUAGCGAGACCCCCGAUUCUCAAUCACGAUCAUCAUCAUGAAGUUUCCGUUUGAGUCCAUUGAUGGUAUGGACACGGACUCUGAUUCCAUACGUUUCGUUACACUUCCUCCUGUAGAGGUCGGCUCCAGUACGACGCCGUCUGGUUUCUUCCUCUCUGAAUUUCUCAAAGCUCACAUACCAAUAGUCAGAGACGCCAUCCACGAGCUCACUCGCUCCAACUCGGUUCGUCUCGCUGGGUUCGUUAUUGAUAUGUUCUGCACCCACAUGAUUGAUGUGGCCGAUGUGUUUGGGGUGCCUUCCUAUCUCUUCUUCGCUUCCAGCGCUGCUUUUCUUGGCUUCCUGUUGCAUCUUCAGUUCCUCCAUGAUUAUGAGGGCUUGGAUUUCAAUGAGUUCAAGGACUCGGAUGCUGAGUUGGAGGUUCCGAGUUUUGCUAACUCAGUUCCGGGUAAGGCCUUCCCUUCUUUGAUGAUUGACAAGGAAAGCGGAGGGGCUGAGAUGCUUCUUUAUCACACGAGGAGAUUCAGACAAGUCAAGGGUAUUCUGGUAAAUACAUUUAUUGAGCUUGAAUCACAUGCUAUUCAAUCACUUUCCGGCAGUACAGUACCCGUGGUGUAUCCGGUUGGACCCAUACUCAACACCCAAAUGGGAUCUGGUGGGGGUCAACAAGAUGCUAGUGUCAUCAUGAGCUGGCUUGACGAUCAGCCUCCAUCGUCAGUUGUUUUCCUGUGCUUCGGGAGCAGGGGAACCUUUGGUGCGGAUCAGAUCAAGGAGAUAGCGUAUGGGCUAGAGCACAGUGGGCAUCGCUUCUUGUGGUCCCUUCGCCAACCUCCCCCAAAGGGUAAAAUGGAUUUUCCAAGCGACUAUGAAAGUAUUGAGGAAGUUCUACCAGAAGGAUUUUUACAUCGGACAGCUAGAAUUGGAAAGGUGAUUGGAUGGGCUCCACAAGCAGCGGUUUUAUCCCACUCAGCUGUUGGAGGAUUUGUAUCUCAUUGUGGAUGGAAUUCUUUGCUAGAAAGCGUAUGGUAUGGCGUUCCAGUAGCCACUUGGCCAAUAUAUGCAGAACAACAAAUCAACGCAUUUCAAAUGGUGAAAGAUUUGGGGUUGGCGAUAGAAAUUAAAAUAGAUUACAAUAAGGAUAGUGAUUAUGUUGUAAGUGCUCAUGAGAUUGAAAAUGGAUUAAGGAACCUAAUGAAUAUUGAUAGUGAAGUGAGGCAGAAGAGGAAAGAAAUGCAAAAAAUAAGUAGAAGAGUCAUGAUAGAUGGUGGGUCCUCGCACUUUUCUUUAGGCCAUUUUAUUGAAGACAUGGUGGCUAACAUUCCAUGCAAGCAACAAAGACGUGAUACCUAAUGUAUGAAUUAGUUUAUACUAAUAUGAAAUAAAAAGGUGCAUUGUAGGCUCUAAUAAAUUAAUUUAUCAUCUCCUUUAUUUGAAUGCUCAAAUAUUUCUUUGAUGAUGUCAAGAAAUUUGACCUUUCAAACUAGGAAAUGUGUUCUUUCUUUAUUAUUUAGUGAAACAAGUUUACAAGGGCAUGAAUUUAGUUAUAUGUGGAUCUCAUUGAUCAAUGAAUACACAAUUGAGCAUUUUCCUGUAGGAAGCUGGACUAGUGAUAAAAUCAACUAUAUAACUAAAAAUCCACAAACCCUAUUGAAUUUGGUUUGAUGGGGAUGAAUAGAUAUAAGAAUUUUUAUAAGAAUUUGUUCAAUUGGAUCACUAUUAAUUUGAUGCUUGCCUUCAGAUUAGAGACAACUAUCCACUUGAGAAAUUUAAUUAAUUUCUGGGCAGUGUUUAUCUUCUUUUCUACAAGCAUGAUGCUCGAAGAGCAAAUUAAUGUUCUCAAACUAUUUGGUGUGUUGGUAUGGAUUUAAGAAACUAACGUCUCAUCAAUGCAUAUCAAGGCAUCUACGCAUGUGAGAGAUCAAUAGAUUCAAAAUGAUUCUAAUUGGAGCAUUUUUGAAUUAAGAGGUAUUACCUUGAGUCUUGUGAGAAAGAAAAUAAGUAGAUGAAGAAGGUAAUUGCUAUUAUGGAGAUGAGGAUUUAGAAUUAUAAGUUCUUUAGAUUUGAUUAUGGAGAGAGUUGGCAGAAUAUAAUUUUUUUUUAAUAAGAAAAUUACUAAGAGAUGUGAAAAAAGUCUUUAAAAAAAUGAUAAUAAUAAUUUAAACACGAAAAUGAUUAUGUAUAUAGUAUUGAAUUAUCAAUUUGUCCUUUCCUUUCUUUUAAUGAAAAAUAAAUACAUAUGAAAAUUGAUAAUUGAAGUUGUUAUUCAAUCAUCUAAAGAUUAGCUUAGAUGGAAUAUAUUGUAAUGAUCUACUCCUAAUCGUGUAAAUAUUGUUUACUUUGAGUCCAACCUGUCAUAUCCCAUAAGAUUAGGGUGGUCAAACAAAUUUUCACACUGGGGGAUCAAGGAUCAACUUUGAUACUAUUUGUAAUGGCUCACUCCCAAUAGUAUAGAUAUUAUCUUCCCAAUUGUAAAUAUUGUUCAUUCUAAACCCAAAAAUCUUUCAUAGCUUUAAAACGUGUGUAUAAAAUUAAAAAGAGCUUAUACAUAUAUGAUGUUAGGAUUUUUUUUCCUCAUUUGAUGAAAGAUACCACAUGUAUUCCCUCAAAAUACUGAUUCCAAUUAGAUGUGAAGAGGAACCAUUUAGUAUUAGAAAGAAAAGAAAUACAUAGAUGGUAAUAUGUAUUAUUUCUAUUCCUUAGUCUUGUUGCAAGGACACUCAUUGCUAUAUAAUAUAUAUAUAUAUUUUUAAAGAACUUUGAAAAUUAAUUUUUUUAUAUACAAAAUUAACUUAUAAUUAAAAUAAAAUCAUUUAUAAUACAAAUAUUGGAUUGAUAAAUAAUUAUAUAAGUAAUUAUCUUAAUUUAGCUCAAUUUUAAGUCUUAAAAUUUCACUUAAAUCUUACAUGGAUAAAUAGAAAUAAUAACUUCUAUACAAAAAAUAAAAAAUUUUAUAGAAAAAAUUGAAAGCUUAUCUUAUUUUCUUUCUAUAACUAAAAUUCGAGUGAACAAAAAAUUGUUAACUUCAAAUUUUUAAGCUAUUUUAAGAUAAAUCUCUAUUAUUUACCUAAGAACUCAUACUAUCUUUAAUUUUCAAAAAUAAAAAUAUAUCCAAAUGUGCACUUAAAUUUUGUAGAAAAUGAACCUUGAGCAAACUCUCCUAAUCACAUUAUUUUAUCAUUUACCCAAAGAUUUAUGCUUAUCAAAAAUCAAUCAACCACAUUGAGAAUUGAUAAUUUUAGGUAACUAGUAACAUGUGCAAUCAGAAGAAAGUCAAUGAAGAGUACAUAUAUUCACAUCUCUUCUUUUUUGAAUUCCUCAAAAGACAUCAUCCAUGAGCUCAUUAAUCACACCCAUAAAACAAUGAACAAGAAGAGACCAAGAAAAGAUCAUAUUGUAGGCACAUCGCCAAAAGGUUUGUUGAAAUAACUUAUACCUUCACCCUCUGAGCUCUAGAAUAGUGUCGAAAAGAACAACCUAAUCUUUCUUUCCUUUGUCUGAACUACUUUUUACCAAGAUCCCAAAGCCUUAGAUGCUAUUUAUAUUUGGACUUAGAGAAUACUUAAAAAUAAAUAGCCCAACUAUGGGCUUAGAGAACUUUUCAAGGGUUGGAUAAACAUAGCUCAACAAAAUUAGCUUAAAAUAACCUUUAAAAUUACCCAUUCAAGAUCUAUCAAAUCAAAAGAAAAAUAAAAUAAAACUUUUGGAAACCUUUUCUAUGCAAAAAUUUCAAAAAAAAAAUUUAUAUAAAAAAUUGAAAACUUAUCUUAUAUGCUUUCUAUAACUGAAAUUUUGAGUGAACAAAAAACUAUAAAAUUCAAAAUUUUCAUCUAUUUUUCAUAACAUUUAUUUUUAAGAUAAAUCUCUAUUAUUUAUAUAACAACUUAUACUAUCUUUUAUUUUCAAAAAUAAAAAAUUUAUUCAAAGUCCACUUAAAUUUUGUUGAUAAUGAACCUUGAGCAAACUCUCAUGGUCACAUUAUUUAAUCAUUUACCUAAAGAUUUAUGCUUAAAGAAAAUCAAUCAACCACAUUCAGAAUUGAUAAUUCUAAGUAGUUAGUAACACAUGGAGUCACAAUUCCAUACAACAAAUACAUAUAUAUAGAAAAAUUUGAAAUCUUAUCUUAUAUGCUCUUUAUAACUAAAAUUUCGAGUGAACCAAAAACUUUUAAAUUCAAAAUUUUAAGCUAUUUAAAAGUUGUUUAUGUUUAAGAUAAAUCUCUAUUAUUCAUAUAAGAACUCAUACUAUCUUUUUAUUUUCAAAAAUAAAAAAUGUUUUGAAAGUCCACUUAAAUUUUGUAGAAAAUGAACCUUGAACAAACUCUCUCAAUCAAAUAAUUUUAUCAUUUACCUAAAGAUUUAUACUUAUAAAAAACCAAUUAACCGCAUCGAGAAAUGAUAAUUCUGGAUAGCUAGUAACACAUGGAAUCACAAGAAAGAUGAUGAAGAUUAUGUAUAUUAAUUCUGGUCUCUUCUUUUCUGAAUUCCUCACAAAUCACAUCAAUUGGUCUUUGAUGUUGUCUAUGAGCUCACUUGUCACACCCACAAAACAAUAAAUAGGAAGAGAUCAAGAAGAUCAUACCACAAGGGCUUCCCUAAAAGAUUGAUGAAAGAACUUAUACCUUCACCCUUUGAGCUCCAAAACAAUGCCCAAAAACCAACCUAAUCUUUUUUUUUUUUUCCCUUUUUCUGAACUAUUUCAUCAAGAUCUAAAUGCCCUAGAUGUUAUUUAUAUUUGAACAUAGAGAAUACCUAAAAUAAUCAAUCCAACGCAUGGGCGGGAUAAACUUAGCUCAAUAAAUUUGGCUUAAUAUUAACCCUUAAAGUUACCCAUUCAUGGUCUAUUAAUGAAUAUAAAUAAAAAUUUUUGAAAACCUUUUCAAUACAAAAAAUAAAAGAUUUGAUAACAAAAAUUGAAAACUCACCUUAUAUGCUUUCUAUAACUGAAAUUUCGAGUGAACAAAAAACUAUUAACUUCAACUUUUUCAGCUAUUUUUAAAAUUAUUUAUUUUUAAUAUAAAUCUCUAUUAUUUAUAUAAACACUCGUACUAUCUUUUAUUUUCAAAAAUAAAAAAUAUACUCAAAGUCCAAUUAAAUUUUGUAGAAAAUGAAUCUUGAGCAAACUCUCUCGACCACGUUAUUUUAUUAUUUACCUAAACAAUGCUUAUCGAAAAUCAAUCAACCAUGUUGAGAAUUGAUAAUUUUGGGUAACUAGUAACACAUGGAAUCACAAGAAAGUUGAUGAAGUUGUUUUCCUCUCUAAAUUCCUAAAAGCUCACAUGCCACUCAUCCUUGAUGUUGUCAGCUCACUCAUCACACCCAUAAAACAAUAAACAAGAAGAGAUAAGGAAGAUCAUACCGCAACGACUUUCACAAAAGGUUGAUGAAAUAACUUAUACCUUCACCCUUUGAGCUCUAGAAUAGUGUCAAAAAAACAACCUAAUCUUUCUUUCCUUUUUCUAAACUACAUUUUACCAAGAUCCAAAAGCCCUAAAUUUUAUUUAUAUUUGGACAAAGAGAAUACCUAAAAUAAAUAGCCUAAUGCAUGGGCUUAGAAAUAAACUAAGCUCAACAAAUUUAGCAUAUAAUAUUAACCUUAAAAUUACCCAUUCAAGGUUUAUUAAAUCAAAAUCAAAAUAAUUUUUCAAAAACCUUUUCUAUACAAAAAAUGAAAAAUUUGAUAGAAAAUUUUCAAAGCCUAUGUUAUAUGCUUUCUAUAACUAAAGUUUCAUGUGAACAAAAAAUUGCUAACUUCAAAAUUUUAAGCUAUUUUAAAAAUUAUUUAAUUUUAAAAUAAAUCACUAUUAUUUCUAUAAGAACACAUAUUAUCUUUUAUUUUCAAAAAUGAAAAAUGUAAAGUCCACUUAAAUUUUGUAGAAAAUGAACCUUGAGCAAACUUUCCUGGUGACAUUAUUUUAUCAUUUACUUACAAAUUUAUGUUUACCAAAAAUCAAUCAACGAACUGAGAAUUGAUAAUUCUAGGUAGCUAGCAAAAUAUAGAAUCACAAGACAACUGAUGAAGAGUAUGUAUAUUCUGGUCUCUACCUCUCUGAAUUCCUCAAAGCACACAUAUCACUUAUCAAAGAUGUAAUCCAUGAACACGCUCGUCACACCCAUAAAACAAUCAAUAAGAAGAGAUCAUACUAUAAGGGUUUCCCCAAAAGAUUGGUGAAAGAACUUAUACCUUAACCCAUGUAGCUCUAAAGCAAUGCCUAGAAAACAACCUAAUUUUUCUUUCUUUUUUUUGCACCCAUUUUCACCAAGAUCCCAAAGGCCUAGGUGUUAUUUAUAUUUAGACUUACAGAAUUCCUAAAACAAAUUAAUAGGCAAAUGCAUGGGAGGAGAAAACUUUUCAUGGGCAGGAUAAACUUAGCUCAACAAAUUAAGCUUAAUAUUAAACCUUAAAAUUACCAUUCAACAUGUAUUACAUAAAAAUAAAAUAAAAUUUUUCGAAAACCAUUUGUAUACAAAAAAUAAGAAAAUUUAGAGAAAAGAUUGAAAACUUAUAUUAUAUGCUCUUUAUAACUAAAAUUUCAAGUGAACUAAAAAAUGUCAACUUCAAAUUUUUAAGCUAUUUUUAAAAUUAGUUAUUUUUAAGGCAAAUCUCUAUUAUUUAUAUAAGGACUAAUACUAUCUUUUAUUUUUAAAAAUAAAAUAUGUAUUUAGAGUUCAUUAAAAUUUUGUAGAAAAUGAAUCUUCAGGGAAACUCUCCUGGUCACAUUAUUUUAUCAUUUUCCUAAAGAUUUAAGCUUAUUGAAAAUCAAUUAACCACACUGAGAAUUAAUAAUUCUGGGUAGCUAGUAACACAUGGAAUCACAAGAAAGCUAAUGGAGACUAUGUAUAUUCUGGUAUCUUACUUUUUGAAUUCCUCAAAUCUCGCACACUAAUCAUCAAAGAUGGCGUCCAUGAGUUCACUCGUCAGGCCCCAUGAAACAAUGAACAAGAAGAGAUUAGGUAGAUCAUACCGUAGGGGCUUCCCCUAAAUGUUGAUGAAAGAACUCAUACCUUCACCCUUUGUGCUCUGGAACAAUGCCCAGAAAACAAUGUAAUUUUUCUUUUCUUUUCCUGAAACACUUUUAACAAAGAUCCAAAAGCCCUAGAUGCUAUUUAUAUUUGGACAUAGAGAAUAACUAAAAGAAAUAGUCCAAUGCAUAGGCUUAGAAAACUUAAAUAGUUAUCAAAGAGUUGUUAACACAUUAUCUAUAAUACAAAUGUCAACCACAACACUUAAAUAGUUACUCAAAAUAUAACAUGUCAAUAUUUGAGUAUUCAUGAAGAGUUUUUCAUACUAAUAAAUAUAAAAUUCAUGUCUUUAUUCAUUUUGAAAAUUGGGAUAUGGUGAUUCAAAUUGAGCAUUUGAAAAACCAAAGUUCUCCAAAUCAACCACUUCUAGAGUCAUGUCACCACCAUCCUCGUCAUCUACAAAAAUAUUAAAUAUAUAUUAACAAGAGAUCAUUUUUAAAGAAAAAAAUAGUAAUUGUUGAACUUUUAUAAGUUUACAUAUUCUACUAAUCAAUGAGAGCUUGCAGCUGAACUUGAACCUUCUACUUCAUUUAUUGGAAUUAAUCAUUCUUCAUAUAGAAGAUUUUCUAAUUCUUCCACAUCUAGCUCUCUUGGCUCAUCCUCAUCAACUAAACAAAAAUCAGUUUCAUCAAUACAUAAUCAAUGGGAUCAUAGGUCAUUUUCUUGUUGUACAACCUAAAAAAGAAAAACAUAUAAUUAUUCAUAAUUGUCAAUGAAAAAUUUUAAAUUCAAAACAACUAAGAAAGUAUUUACAUUGAAUUUGUAGCCACAAAUUGUAAUGAACGUAUACAAGAUCAUUAAGUCUUUCAUUUUUCAAUCUAUUCCUUUUUUUGGUAUAUGUGUAUAUGUUCAAACACACUCCAAGUCCUCUCACAUCCAAAAGAAGAUGAAGUUUGACUCAAUAUUUGAAUGACCAACUUUUGAAAAUAUGGUGCAUUAUAUCCAUGUAGCCUCUAUUAUUCAUCUAGUUACUAUUUUCACAUUAAAAUAAGGGAAAAAAAAAAACAACUUCAAUUCAUUCAUCGUUUCAUGCUUUCCUUUCAUAACUUUUUGAUUAAUAACAUCUAUGACAUCUCCAAUAACUUCUUGCUUAUUACAAUUUUUUUUUUUUUAUCAUAUUGGAAACAUGGAUUCAACCAAUAAGCUACUGAAUGAAUGCUUUUCUUUGGUUGUUCAUCCUAACGUUCCUUUAUGAUCUGUGUAUAAGGCUUGUAUAGUCUUUUAUUGUGUUUAAAUAAUUUCUUGAUACCCAAACGAGCAUUAUAAAUGCCUUUAUACACAUAUCCCAUCGAAGGCCUCUCAUCACAAUCAACAAUAUGUAAUAAGAGCACACGUGGAGCAAUGAGAUUCAUAACUAUCAAACAAUCAUUUCAAAAUCUAUUAUCCAAGAUGAUAGAAACUACAACUCUGCUUUUAUUAUCCAUUAAAUAUUUAGAGUCCACAAAAAACUUGCUAGUCACCAAAGCUUGCAAGUCAUGUUUAUGAUCAUGAAGACUCUUUACUGCAAUGAAUGCAGUAGCAAAGUGAGUUGCACUAGGUUGAAGAAUCUCUAUCCAUCCUUCUCUUUUUCUCAACCAACUUAACAAAGCAACAUGAUUACACACAAAAAUUGUCACCUUUGAUGCAUGUCUUACAAGUUCAGCAACAUAGUCCAUCUUACUAAUAUCCUUAAAGAUCAAAUUAAGACAAUAAGUUGUACAAGGUGACCAAUUGAUUUGUUUAUACUUCUAAGAAAUCAAUCUCCUUAAGACCACAUAAUUUGUUGCAUUAUCAGUCACUACAUGAACUACAUUGAGUGAACCAACCCAUUCAAUCCCUCAUCAAAUAGCAUAAACAAAGUAGUUGCAUCAUUCACAAUAUUCGAAGCAUCAACAGAUUUCACAAACGAUAUUCCUUGAGGACAGUAAACAAUGUUCAUUGUUUGUUAUCUGUCCAACAUCACCCAUUAUUAUACACCCAAUUUUUACCCAAAUUUUACAAUAAGAAUUCACAAGUAACUGAACUUCCUUCUUGGCAUCCUUUAAAUUAUUAAACCAUAGUUGAAGGUAAGUUGAACCCUUAUAUCCAAGACAAAUUACGAAUAUAGCAUCCAACAUUGGCGUGAAGUAGAAGGAAUUCACAACAUUAAUAAGAACGCAUGCAUCAUAAAAGAAUCUCUCAACAACCAUAUCUACUCUCCAAAUAGCUUAUUUCCUAGCUAAUACACUCCUAAUGGAAGGUUGAGCUCCUUAAGUAGUUCUUGGUGCAAAAUACUUAUCCAUUGUUGAUUUUUUUCUUUUUCCACUAUAGUUGCCAUAGGAUUUUACAUAUCUUGAACCUCUUCUCCACAUUUUGGCAUAUCCCCUUCAAAUUGUGACACCUUAAGACCAUAAUUCAUAUGUUUCUUGGAUUUCACAAACUCCUACAAAGAAUUUUCCAUUUGAAAUCUACAUUAGGAGGAAUUGAUUUACAUGGACCAAUAUAUUGUUUCACUCCAACAAGGUGUUGUUUCCGUUUUAUGAAUUCCCCUACCUUUUGCAACUUUUUUACAAUAUAAACAAACAAGAACUUUCCUUCCAUUUGUAUUUUUUUCUUUAGAAACAUGCUCCUAUGUAGGGUUGGUGUUGUCUCUACUUGUUUGUGAAUUUGUAUUUGAAUCUUGACCAGAGGAUGGGGUCAAGUUUGAUUCCAUUUUGAUUUUUCUAUAAAAUUGUAAACAAAAACAACAAUUUUAAUCACCAUUCAAUGCAUUCAUCAAUAAAAAAAUAUGACUUCAAUCAAGUCAUCCACAAUUUAAAAAAAAAUAAAAGAAUUAAAGAAUUUAUUAUAGAAAAUUCUUUCAAAAUCAGAAAUUUACUUUCAAAUAAAAAAUUUAUUUAAAAUAUAAAAAUAAUAUUUUUAUUUAAAAAUUAGAAAAUUUAAAUUUAUUUAAAAUUAUCUAAAAAACGCAACAUAAUGUUUGAUUCAUUGAUUAUUUCCAAAAAAAUUAUUUUAAUUUCUAAUGUUUUUAAUUAUUUUAAUAAUUUAUUUAAACUCAAAUAAGAUAUUUUAAAAAUCAAUAUAAAAUUUAAAAAAAUAAAAUGAAAAUAAAGUAAAGAAAUAAAUAAAUCUAAACAAAUGAUUCAAUUAUUCAAAUGAAAUUUCAAUGAAUAUUGAUAUUGUAAUUUAAUAAAUCAAUAUGCAAUAAAAUUAUAAAAUAUUAAAUAUUAAAUAAAUUAAAUAAAUUGCAAGAUUCCAAAGUUUAAACUCAUAAUGGGAGAUUUGGAAUCCAGUGCGGUCGUCGGCAUGUGGAGGCGAUGGCUUCUCCAAUGUGGUGCAACUAUUGGAGACGUGCGUGCUAGUAAGGAGGGAAGGUAAAAAAAUGGCUUAUAUACAGAGCAAAACGACGUUGUUUCGAUGCCAAAUGCAUCAAAACAACGCUAUUUUGAUGGCAAAAAAAUAAAAAAGGUAUGAACCAUUUAGUUUGGGGGAAACCAGCUGAUUCACCAAUAAGAUCGCUAAUUUCGACGGUUGGAGGCUAGUCCAACCCUUCGACGGUUUAAAUCACCAAAGCAAACCGAAAAAUUGACUGAUCGAAAGUCAAACCAAUUGGAUCGACCGGUCUGAUCCGAUUUCUAAAAUCAUGUUCAUACCUUUAAAAUUUGUUUAGAAAAUUAAGAGAAACUCAUACAUAUAUAGUGUUUGAAACAUUUUUUCCAAUUUGAUGUGGAAUAAAUAUCACAUAUAUUCCCUCAAAAUGUUGAUUCCAAGUAGAUGGGCAAAUGAACAAUUUAGUAUUAAAAAGAAAAAAAAAUACAUGGAUGGUAAUGUGUAUUAAUUCAUUUUUGACUCUUGUUAUAACACCCCACAUUUAUUGUUAGGGCAAAACUGUAAAUUAGAAUAAAAUAUAAAUAAAUAAAUUUAAUAAGGGUAUAAAGACCUUUUUUGCAUUAAAAGUCCUAGUUAUAAAUUAGAUUUUCUUUGUCUUUUUCAUUCAGAAAACCCUAUUAUACAUGGAUGGAAAUUCAAAAAUCAACAAAUCUCAACUUUUAAACCAACAUAUCAACAAUAGAAUUUUUUUGUCCAAGCAAUUUCAAACUUAAAACAAUAGCUAACAGUAAUCAAAUUCUAACAUUUAACAAAGUACCAAAAAGAGAGUUUAAACAAAUGUCUUAAUAAGGCCAAAUUUAUCAUCCUAACUGUCACUCCUCGCCUGAAUUGAGAGUACUUGAAAUAUUAUCAACAAAGGGGAAUGAGCUCAAAACCCAAUAAAGAACAUUAAUGUACAAUUUCAUGGAUCAAAUAGUUUCAAUCAUGCUUACAAAUAGGAGAUAUUAAGUUCAAAUAUUCUAAUACAUUUUCAUCUGUUCAACCAAACAUUUUCAUAUAUAUCAAAACCAUUUCACAUCAAAUCCAAAUCAAACACAUUUAAAAUAUUUUCACUCUUAUUAUCAUAUAACAAAUGGUGCAUAAUUGGGUGAGAUUUUACAAAUGAGUUACUAGUUUCAAAUUAGUUCUAUUUAAGGUGAACAAAACCAAAUGUCAACAAUUACAACCCAUUGCCUAGGGUCGUAUAAUAUCAAUUAUUAUAACCCAUUGACUAGGGUUGAAAAUGUCAACAAUUAUAACUCGUUGACUAGAGUUAUUAAAACUAGAGUCAAACACUUCAUUUCAUUAAUUCAAACUUACAAAACAAAAUCUCAUAUUUCUACAAUUUUUAUCUUUCAUAAACAAAGAAAAUGCUCAAACAUAUUUUUCAUACAAAACAUAUAUUUGAUCCAUGUAUAAAAAUAAAAAUAAAAAUUUUCAUAAAUCAAAAUAAAAUUUAAAAAAAAAUACUUUCUUUUACAAAAUCUAUAUUAAUUUCCCUUACCUCAUAGAAGCACUAAAAAACCUUGAAGUAUUUAAUCCUAAAGAGUUUUGCCCCAAAAAACCUAUUUCAAACUUAACAAAAAAAGACAUAACUAUUACUAUUAACUAUUUAUCUAAAUUUAAGGGCUUGAGAAUCCUAAUAAUUUUAUAUGUUAUGUCAUCUAUAUUAUUUUUAACUUCUUAAUCAAUAACAAUUUAAUACAUAAGUUUCUAAAUUCUUAUAGAAGUUUGAUUCUUUCCAAAAUUUAUUCCUAAGAUUCUAUUAAUUUAUUAUUAUUUUUUUAAAAUUAAAUUUCUCAAAAAUAUAUUUUUUCUAUUUAUUACAUUAAACUAUUAUUAUUAUUAUUACUAAUAUUUCAUUUAUUAGCUUAAAAUUAAAUAUUAUUAGUUUUAUUAAUUUUCAGAUUCAUUACAUAACCAACGCAUUACCCUCUAUAUUCAGUGCAUACACAAAACCCAAAAUAAAAACAAGUUUUCUUCCUACUGUCAUCAUUAUCAUUUAUUAUUAUAAUACUUUUUAUUUUCAACAUCUAACUUCCUUUCCGGUGCACACGCUUUUUCUUUCUCUUUUGUUUUUUUUCUUCUCAAGCCUACACUACACUGCCACUCCACGUCCCCUCAUGUCUUCUAUUUAUUUAUUUAUUAUUAUUAUUAUAAUCCAUUUGUUUUCCUUUUCAAAAACAAUCUCGUGGUCAAUGAUUCAUUUUUCUUUCUUAUAUUUUUUUUUUUCCUCAAUCUAAAGCCGACAUAACUGAACUAUUUUAUUUAUUUAGUUAUUUAUUUCGUUUAAACCUAUAAUUUAUUUUCUUCUAUUUGUAUUUAUUUAUUUUAUCUAUGCAGUUGAAUAUUCAAAAUUUUCUUAUCUUCAUUAAUAAAUUAAUCUAUAUUGAUAAAUUUUUAAUAUUUUAAUCUAAAAAAAAUUAAAUAAACAAAUUAUAAUUUAGAUUGAAAUCUUUUAAAGAAUUUUUAAACGAAUCAAAACUAAUUAAUGAAUUUAAAAUAAUAAUCUAAAUAUUAAAAUUUUAUUUAAAAAAUUUGGAACUUUUAAAUCUUUAUCUCUAGGUUUUUCAAUUCUUAAGAUAAAAGAGUUUUACUCAAGAGAAAAAAUAAAGAAAAUCUAAUUUAUAGGUAAAAUUUUUAAUAAGGAAAAGAUUUUUUUAUCAUUAUUAAAUUAAUUAUUUUUUAAUUAUGAUUUUAGCCUUGGAUUUGGUGCAUUACAGAAAAUUUUUAAAAGGGUAAGAAAUUUUUAUUCAUUAAAUUUUUUUUAAAAAAACUUCAAACCUUGACUUUACAAAUUUUGGCCCAUAAAUCGAAGAACUUUAUGUGGAAGGUGUAGCUAUCCGAACCCUUCCUCGAGGGAACGUGAAUCAUGUCCUGCACCCACAUGAUUGAUGUGACCGAUGAGUUUGGGGUGCCUUCCUAUCUCUUCUUCCCUCCCAGUGCUGCUUUUCUUGGCUUCCUGUUGCAUCUGGCAGUUCCUCCAUGAUUAUGAGGGCUUGGAUAUUAAUGAGUUCAAGGACUCGGAUGCUGAGUUGGAGGUUCCAAGUUUUGCUAACUCAGUUCCGGGUAAGGCCUUUCCUUCUUUGAUGAUUGACAAGGAAAGUGGAGGGGCCGAGAUGCUUCUUCAUCACACGAGGAGAUUCAGACACGUCAAGGGUAUUCUGGUAAAUACAUUUAUUGAGCUUGAAUCACAUGCUAUUCAAUCACUUUCUGGCAGUACAGUACCCGUAGUGUAUCCGGUUGGACCCAUACUCAACACCCGAAGGGGAUCUGAUGGGGGUCAACAAGAUGCUAGUGCCAUCAUGAGCUGGCUUGAUGAUCAGCCUCCAUCAUCCGUGGUUUUCCUGUGCUUCGGGAGCAUGGGAAGCUUUGGUGCGGAUCAAAUCAAGGAGAUAUCACAUGCGUUAGAGCACAGUCGGCAUCGCUUCUUGUGGUCCCUUCGCCAACCUCCCCCAAAGGGUAAAGUGAUUACAAGCGACUAUGAAAAUAUUGAGCAAGUUCUACCAGAAGGAUUUUUACAUCGGACGGCUAGAAUUGGAAAGGUGAUUGGAUGGGCUCCACAAAUAGCGGUUUUAGCCCACUCAGCUGUUGAAGGAUUUGUAUCUCAUUGUGGAUGGAAUUCUUUACUAGAAAGCAUAUGGUAUCGUGUUCCAGUAGCCACAUGGCCAAUAUAUGCAGAAUAACAAAUCAACGCAUUUCAAAUGGUGAAAGAUUUGGGGUUGACGGUAAAAAUUAAAAUUGAUUACAAUAAGGAUCAUGAUCAUAUUGUAAGUGCUCAUUGUAGGGACCCCUCCCCUUGGGAAACACGUGGCACGCGGCUCAUGGUGACGCGUGGCACGUACUAUCGGCCGGACCAUCAUCAUCCGGAUUCCCCUACAGAUAUGUAUGGUGCGGCUAUCCUAUCCGGAACCCCAAAGGAAAGACAAACAACGUUUCAGCUUCUCCUAUCCAAGGAAGAGCAAACGACGCUGGCAGAGCGUAGACACCCGGAUAGUCUCCACAAACACAUCCGGAUAUUCAGCAUGAUCCAUCCGGAUAUAAAUCGUCUGGAUGAUCAAUUAAAGUAAAGCGAGUCUUACACGCAAUCACAACAAGCAGCCAUGGCCCACAUCCCAUCACCUGCAGAAUGAGAAGACAAGAGGAAGUGACAGCAAGUCACUUCCCACGAUCAUUCUACAUAAUCGCUUCCCACGAUCUCUGACAGCCGCAUCAUCUACCAUGGUCUCUGACAGCCAUUCGUAGGAUGAUAGUGCUCCUACUAACACCUAUUGUCAUCAUCACAACAGAAAAUAUCUCCCCACCAUUAAUGAGAGGAACAGUACCCCUGAAGCUGUAUAUAUAUGACUUCACACGAAGAAGAAAGGGAUGAUCUCCUAGUAACCUCUUGAUACCUAGUAAAAGGCCAACUGCCUCAUAUAUCUUAUUCUCUUACUAUGGCUAACAACAUCAUCGGAGGGUGCAUCCGGACACCCUGUCCGGAUGCCUUUUUGCAGGUACAACCACUGAAUCAAGAACCCCUUGUGUGUUGAGAAUCGCGUGUCCAUCCAUCUAGCAGCAACGCGGCCCACCUGAUACGCGAGGUGACAACACUCAUGAGAUUGAAAAUGGAUUAAGGAACCUAAUGAAUACCAACAGUGAAGUGAGGCUGAGGCAAAAGAAGAAAGAAAUGCAAAAAAUAAGUAGAAGAGUCAUGAUAGAUGGUGGGUCCUCGCACUUUUCUUUAGGCCAUUUUAUUGAAGACAUGGUGGCCAACAUUUCAUACAAGCAACAAAGUCGUGAUACCUAUUGUAUGAAUUAUUUUGUACUAGUAUGAAAGGAAAAGGUGCAUUGUAGGCUCUAAUAAAUUAAUUUAUCAUAUGCUUUAUUUUAAUGCUCAAAUAAUUUCUUUGAUAAAGUCAAGAAAUUUGACCUUUCAAACUAGGAAAUGUGUUAUCUCUUUAUUAUUUAGUAAAACAAGUUUACAAGUGAAUGAAUUUAGUAAUAUGUCGAUCUCAUUGAUCAAUGAAUACACAAUUGAACAUUUUCCGGUACUAGUAAUAAAAUUAACUAUAUAAUUACAAAUCAACAAACCCUAUUGGUUUGAGACAAUCUUCAUAAGUGUUUUUUCUAAAUAUUUUUUAUAUUCUUAUGUGAUUGAAUAUAUUUUGGAUUAUGACUUAUAUAAUUUCUCACAUUCUAAUCAAAAGCAAUAAUUAAAUCUCAAUAAUCAACCUAUAUGAUAACGGAAUCAGUUUAAAUAGGUUUAAAAGUUACUAAUUUAAUAUAUCCUAUUUAUGUACAAAAAAAUUGUGAGUAUUGUCCCGAAAUAUGUUUCUAAUAUCAACAUAACAUUUCUUCCUCAUUUUGUUUGGCUAAUGAAAAGCCAUUAGAAAAAAAAUAUAUAGAUAUUUGAUUAAAAUGAUUAAAAUAGUCUCUAAUUCGAACAAUGCUCUUUUUUUUAAAAAAAAAUAUCGAAAAUGAUAAUAUUUUUUUAAUAAAAAUAUCAUUCAUUUAUGUUAAAGCAAUUUGAAAAAAAGAUAUUUUUAUUCACUUAUAUUUUUUAUUAAUAAAAAUAUCAUUCAUUUAUGUCAAAGCAUUUUAUUUAUUUAUAAGUAUUAAGAUAUUUUUAUUCAUUUAUAAUUUUUAUUUAGAACUUUAAACCAAUAGAAGAUGGCUUUACAAAUUUUGGCCCAAAGAUCCCCAAGAACUUUAUUUGAAAGGUGUAGCAUAUUCGAACCCUUCGUCCAGGGAACAUGAAUCAUAAUUUCGUUGCUGGUUUUAUAUUAAAAUACAUGGGAUACAUCGAGAACCACCCACUUUUGCCUCAAUCUUCAACCAAGACCAACCACAAUCAUACAAAAACGAUAAGGAAAAUAAAUUGAACCAGCAAAGCCCUGACAUCACUUCCUUUGUCCUCCAAUACUAUCCAGCCACAAGUAUAAGAGUGUCACACCACUGCAAAGCCCUCAAAACAUCCCAUUUUUCCUCUCUUUGCAGUAACUGCUAGUUAGUGAUGGAGCAAACUGAGCUGGUCUUCAUCCCAUUUCCUAUCAUCGGCCACCUUACGUCUGCACUGGAGAUUGCAAAGCUGAUUACUCAGCGAGACCCCCGAUUCUCAAUCACGAUCAUCAUCAUGAAGUUUCCGUUUGAGUCCAUUGAUGGUAUGGACACGGACUCUGAUUCCAUACGUUUCGUUACACUUCCUCCUGUAGAGGUCUGCUCCAGUACGACGCCGUCUGGUUUCUUCCUCUCUGAAUUCCUCAAAGCUCACAUCCCAGUCGUCAGAGACGCCAUCCACGAGCUCACUCGCUCCAACUCGGUUCGUCUCGCAGGGUUCGUUAUUGAUAUGUUCUGCACCCACAUGAUCGAUGUGGCCGAUGAGUUUGGGGUGCCUUCCUAUCUCUUCUUCACUUCCAGCGCUGCUUUUCUUGGCUUCCUGUUGCAUCUUCAGUUCCUCCAUGAUUAUGAGGGCUUGGAUUUCAAUAAGUUCAAGGACUCGGAUGCUGAGUUGGAUGUUCCGAGUUUCGCGAACUCAGUUCCGGGUAAGGUCUUCCCUUCUCGGAUGUUUGACAAGGAAGGCGGAGGGGCUGAGACGCUUCUUUAUCACACGAGGAGAUUCAGAGAAGUCAAAGGUAUUCUGGUAAAUACAUUUAUUGAGCUUGAAUUACAUGCUGUUCGAUCACUUUCUGACAGUACAGUACCCGAGGUGUAUCCCGUUGGACCCAUACUCAACACCCGAAUGGGAUCUGGUGGGUGUCAACAAGAUGCUAGUGCCAUCAUGAGCUGGCUUGAUGAUCAGCCUCCAUCGUCAGUUGUUUUCCUGUGCUUCGGGAGCAGGGGAACCUUUGGUGCGGAACAGAUCAAGGAGAUAGCGUAUGGGCUAGAGCACAGUGGGCAUCGCUUCUUGUGGUCCCUUCGCCAACCUCCCCCAAAGGGUAAAAUGGAUUUUCCAAGCGACUAUGAAAGUAUUGAGGAAGUUCUACCAGAAGGAUUUUUACAUCGGACAGCUAGAAUUGGAAAGGUGAUUGGAUGGGCUCCACAAGCAGCGGUUUUAUCCCACUCAGCUGUUGGAGGAUUUGUAUCUCAUUGUGGAUGGAAUUCUUUGCUAGAAAGCGUAUGGUAUGGUGUUCCUGUGGCCACUUGGCCAAUCUAUGCAGAGCAACAAAUCAACGCAUUUCAAAUGGUGAAAGAUUUGGGGUUGGCCACAGAAAUUAAAAUAGAUUACAAUAAGGAUAAUGAUUAUGUUGUAAGUGCUCAUGAGAUUGAAAAUGGAUUGAGGAACCUAAUGAAUAUUGAUAGUGAAGUGAGGCAAAAGAGGAAAGAAAUGCAAAAAAUAAGUAGAAGAGUCAUGAUAGAUGGUGGGUCCUCG